CGGGGGAGUAGGGGAAUCUCUUCCUCCGCGAGUGGUCCUUGAAGAGGAAGACCCCCACCCCAAAUGUGUGGCCAAGUAAGGAUUUCGUCCCCCGACGGUUGCGGAAACUUGUGGAGCUGGGUGUGCGCCUGUGAGGGAGAACAAAGUAGGCGGGGUCACUGGAAAGCAUGUUCUGAAAACUCAGUUUAGUGCCGUUGAGCAGAUGGAAUUGAGGAGAACGCCCUUCUUCAUUUCACCCUAACCUUGAAAUUAGUGAAUCGACCCUAGGCUUUAGGAGUUGUGCUAGAAUAUAUGUAGCACCUUAAUUACAACACCAUGCCUAAAGACUUAAGUGUCUUUGGUGUGGUGGGCACAAUACUAUAGAAAAUUGAACUUCUAGUUCUUUCCCAGUUUAUGCCGGGUUCUUAUCCCAGAGGAACAUAUACCGUAUCUCUGGAAGUCGCCAUAGGGACAGGGUUGUGCCUUUUUAUGGAAUUUGGAGUAUCUCCUUUCAAAGGACCAUUUAAAUUAGACCUGGGCUUGACCUAAAUUAAAAGAUACAUCUACAGCUGUCAUUUUUCGGCUUUGUUUGAACUCUGCCCAUUUUAUUCCACAGGGAUGUGGGAAAACCUAGCUAGGGCUUAAGCAAUUGGAGGUUAAGUAGAGGAGCUGGUGGUGUGAGGGUGUGCGGAGGCUGGGCAUACUUUUCCGUUCCUCGCGGUGCUCCGUGUGUAGGCGUGGCUAAAGCAGCCUGAUCCAGAGCCCUCUUCAGGCUCUGUUUGGGUAGACUGACAGGCUUCCUGUCGGAGAGCAAGAAUUAACAGGGUGAUGUGAAACACCAGAUGAAAACAAACCAUUGAAAGAAUUCAAACCGUUAAAAGGCAGUGUAAAAAAUUUACUUUAAAAAAAUUGAUAACGGUUGUUGUUUCCAUCAGAUUGUAAAACCUUAUUGUGUUUUAUAGGGAUUCCCCAGAAAAAUUGAUAGGCAGUUAAACAGUUUUUCCACCCUUUUAAAUUGGAUAGGGCUGUGAUUUUCCCGAAAGAUCCAAGUGGGAGUUUUUCAUCAUCACCCCCCCACCCCCCACCUGAAUUAAUCCCUUCCCCAGCCUAAAGGUACAUUGCCUUUUGAUUCAGACCUUCAAGAAUUGAAUGUAUGUAAAAUGAAUUACAGAACUAAUUCUCCUUCCACAGAGUAUAGGUUAAGUGGAAACAUCUGUAUUAACUGUUGGUUACAUCACAGGAGAGCAUUUUUAAAAUUGACUUAAUUCCAACCCACUAGAAUUUGCUAGCUGUUAAGACAUGAUUAACAUUUAUUAAUUCAGUUUACUAAAGUGUAAAUUAUCUUAAAUUCAUUGAAUAGAGAAAUUAAGGCAAUCACUGAAAAUAAUUUCGUAUUUGAAUUAUUCUUUUCUUAUGUUUACUUUACUUUAAUAGGGAAGGACUGACCACAUAUCUAAAUCUAAAACCUUAAUUAUCUGGGGGAGGGGGUGGGGAAUGAGGGGGAGAGAUUUGACCAGAACAAGGAGAACCUGUGUCUCAAUACUUUUCUGGUGAAAGUGGGUAAAUCCCUGCCCACAUGUCAUCUUGGCCUCUUGUUACUCAGGACUUCUGAUGACACACAGAAGGUGGUGGAAGAUCAAGGGUGAUUUUCACUGUAGUUUUCAAAUGUCUGACCUGCAGCACCUUACCAGUAACUGAUUUUUUUUUUCCUCUGUUGCAGUAGGAAUAUUUUUCUCAUACCCGAUUUAGUAGGUAACAUAAUAUUUCACUGUGUAAUAUUAUUAAGAUAUCAGGAAUAUGUUAUCACUUAUUAUUAGUGAAUUAUUGUUUGUUUAUAUUUUUCCCCUUUUGAGCUUUUCAAAUAAGGAAGGAAGCGAUAACCAUGUACAAAGUAAUACAGUAAUCUAGUACUGUGUCUCUUCAUUGUGUAGUACCAUUAUGCUUACCUGAAUCAGAUGGGCAAGCUGAUAAGGGUAAUUGGUUUAGGGGAGGGGGACUCUGAUAAAAGUUGCUCUUUGGGAAGUUUUCCAGUUUAUAGAUAUUUUCUGUAUCAUUCAGAGUAAAUAAUUAGCAAAUAAUUAUUGAAGGCUAAUUAAGUGUAAAAUGCUGUCGAGGAUUUAAAAAUUGAACUGCAUAGUCUUUUAUUUAAAGGAAUUUUGUCUCUAAAUCUGGCAAAUGGACCAAUGCACUCAAAGCAAAGCAAUUGAGAAUUAGUAAAUGCUAAUUUGGGUGGUGGUGGUGGUGAUCAGCUCAAAAAUUCAAAGAAAGAAGUCUGGAGUCAGUGGAACUUGAAUCCCUCUAUAGGGCUGAGUAGAUUCUAGAUAAGAAGACCUGGUAUAGAUGGGGAGAGGCCAACUAAAAAUUAUCUUAAUGGUAAUUCUAGUUGAACACAUUCAUAUUAUGAGUGAGGAAACUGAGAUUUUGUUUAUUAAAAAAGCACCCUAUUAAAACCUGGAAAGGUAGGUCUGAAUUGGCUUUUCUAGUCACUAUAUACACUAAGUAGCUCUUUGGGGCGCCUGGGUGGCUCAAUCGGUUGAGCCUCCGACUUCCGCUCAGGUCAUGAUCUCACGGUCUGUGAGUUCGAGCCCCACAUCAGGCUCUGUGCUGACAGCUCAGAGCCUGAAGCCUGCUUCAGAUUCUGUGUCUCCCUCUCUCUCUGCCCCUCCCCUGCUCAUGGUCUGUGUCUCUCUCUGUCAAAAAUAAAUAAACAUUAAAAAAAAAUACACUACGUACCUCUUUGGAAUUAAUAACUGAGAAGAAAUAAAUAUUAUAUGAUAAUUUAGUGCAAAGAAAAGGCAAAAAGAAGUAAACUGAUAUAAGGCCUGCUUCAUUUGUUAUAUUUAGCGUACAAAAUGGAAAAAGUUCAGGGUGCCUGGGUGGCUCAGUCGGUUAAGUUUCUGACUUUGGCUCAGGUCAUGAUCUUGCAAUUCAUGAGUUUGAGCCCCUCGUUGGGUUCUGCGCUGACAGCUCAGAGCCUGGAGCCUGGAGCCUGCUUCGGAUUCUGUGUCUCCCUCUCUCUCUACCUCUUGCCUGCUCACACUCUGUCACUUUCUAUCUCAAAGAUAAACAUUAAAAAAAAUUUUUUUUUUCAAAAUGAAAAUAGGACUGUGAACAUCAAAGUCUUUGCUCGUCUUGAAAUGCCAGGCCAUGCCUCUUUCCUGAUCGCCAUGUAUUUAAUGACCAUUUCUUACUUCUCUAUUGGAGCUGAGAUCACCAGUUCAGAUGCCUUCAGGUGUUAUUAGGUUCACAAGAUAAAUGAAGUGGACCAGACAGUGCCACAGGGACUGAAGGUGCUGGACUGUGGUGAGCUAGGGGUGUUGAAAGAGUUUAGCAGUUUCCUAGUCCAGCUGAUUUUUGUAGGGUGAACAUGAAGGGGCCCAGUGUUGUCCAGUUUUUAAAGAAAACUUGAAAAUCUCAGAUUUUUAUGUGAGCUUUCUGAUUUCUACUUGUUGGCACCUACCUGAAAUUUUCCAUAAACAUUUUGUGAAUAUUUAAAAAAACUCUUUGGGCCUCAGGUAACCCACAGCUAUCUGGUUUUCAACCUUUGCUUUAAUGAUUUCCAGUGCACAAGGCCAUUCUUUCUUAUACCUGUCUUGGUAGUUUUGUGAGUGUUUCUUUAAGGUACCUAUAAAACAAUUCCUACUAAUGUCUUAAUAUAAUGCAUGGGCUCCUGUUAGGAAAAGACAACAUAUAACCUUAUAGAAAUACAGCAGAGGAGCUCUCUGGAAGAAGAAUUUCCAGGUGGAAAUUCUUCCCCUUGGAAUUCUCUCUCCUUGAUGCCUCAUGUCCCCAUUAUGUUUGACCUUUUACCAUUACACUGCUCUCCUUUCAAGGACUUCCCUAAUUCUGUGCAAAAAGUCUCUUCCUAUCCUUAGACACAAGUGAAGUAGGAGCUCUAUGGUUUUAAAAGAAAUUCACUAAAUAUUCAUGGAGAAAGUGAAAUACCUACAGGAGAGACAUAAAUAUUUGUUGCCUAAACACAGAUUUUAAGCUAAACAAUUAUUAUAUCACAUGUGAUUAUUUUCUACUCCACUCCAUUUAAGUGUAAGAAAUGUCACAUUGUGUUGCUUAUCGUCAUCAUCAUCAUUGCUAAAUCUGGCUCUAAGCGCCCCCCCCCCCCCCAUCUCACUGUGUGGUAGAACAAUAAAUCCACAGGUGUUACAAAGGUCCCAGAAUAUAUGGGGAAGACUAUCUGGUCUAUGUCUAUCACUGCUGACGUAAUUCAUGAGAAGCUCAAAAAUUUCCCUUCAGGAAGGGUUUAUUGGGUAUGAUCUAGAUGGAAGGAACCAGAUGACCUGAAUUGAAACUGGGCUUAUGUAGCAAACAUACUGGUUUUACUUAGAUUGUGUAUUUGUUUGGCAGUUGGGUUGAGGGUGGCACUGAUGGAAAUUAUAGAAAGGGAGACUGAAACUCUAACUGCUGCUUGGCACAAAAUAUAUAUGAUGAUGGUCCGUUUGAUUUUCUGGAAGGUAUGCGCAUCUGGGAACCUUGCUGAGACUGGCAACUUUGGGGGACCAAGUCUAACCUUCUCCAGGUGUGGUCUUUCUAGAGGAGCUGAAAGGGGACUUGGGGUGUAGUCUUCCUGGAAUUGGCAGCCUUUGCCCUUCCUCAUCCUGGGGGAAGCUAUUUAAACUCUAGACUUCUACCUCUACACUCUCUUAGUCUCUAAAGUCUUUUCCUUUUCUUAGGACAGUAGGGUUCUUCUCAAAAGUUGUGAUGUGGGAGUGACGAAAGUACCCCUCACCACACUUUUAUCCUCCCCUCCAGUUCAGAUCCCUUCUUCUUGGUGGAGCUGAGUAGAGAAGGCUAGGUGGGCAGAGCUGUCACUCAAUCUUCCAGAUAUACCAAAGACAAAACUCUGAGAGGGCGAUGAUCGGUAUUCACUAAUACUUCUUUGGACUGCUUUCCCUCUUUGUUGCUUGCCUUCUCCUACUUGAAAAGCAGUCUCAAGGAAGUUGUAUGUUCUUUGGAAGCAAAAGACUCAGAGUUAAUUCUCCUGCACACGAGGAAAGUUCUCCCCUCCCAUACUGAUUGAGAAACAUGUCCUGUCCAUAGAAUUGCACACUAUAGUGACCAAAGUGUCCCUUUCUUGCACACAAGAGUUGUUUUUAUGGCUUUUCAGUGCAAUUCAAGAUGCCCUGAAAGGUGUCAAAUAAGUUCUGAAAAGGGGAAGGGUGAUAGAGUGACCUCACAAUUCUUAUUGUUUCCAUGUUGUUUUGUACUAAAAAGGAACACAAAUGUAUAUCUGAAUAAACUGAGGAAGUAGGAAGACCAGAGGAGACAAAACACCUCUUCACCUUUUCACUUUUAAACAUGCUAAUAGUGAGCCAGAUGCCAUCAACAUGAAGAACAAUAUUGAUAAUUAAUAAUAGCUUAUUUUUUUAAGAGUUUGAUUUUAAGUAAUGUCUACACCCAAAACUCAAACUCACAACCCUGACAUCAAGAGUCAUAUGCUUCACCAACUGAGCCAGUCAGGCCCUUCUAUAAUAGCUUAUUCUUGAUGGAACUUUACAGCUUAAAAACAACAAAGUUCCAUUGUGUUUUUGAAUUCUCUCCCUAUUCUGUGAGGUAGCCAUUGUUUUAUAUAUUCAUUUUACCUUUGAGGUACCUGAGACUCAGAGACACUGUUGGUUUUGUUGUUGGUCUUGAAAGUAAAACUAAGUUGAAGAGGGCAUCUUUUGGGAUGAGCACUGGGUAUUGUAUGGAAACCAAUUUGACAAUAAAUUUCAUAUAUUAAAAAAAAAAAAAGAAAGUAAAACUAGUCAUUUGAGUCACCUACCCCCCCCCACACAAACAUCAAAUAUCAUAUUAAAUAGUAAGAUGGCAAAUAAAGUGAUCAAUUCAUCUUAGGUUCAUUAUAAUUAGCAUAUUGACUUUACUGAGAUUUAUGAAAACUAAUUCUAUUUUUUUGUUCAGCAUAGAUAAUUUGUGAUAUAUUAGAACCUCAGUAUAAUAAAUAUGCAUAGUAUGUGGACACCCAUUUGAAAAUGCUCAUAUUAUAAUUUUAAAUUAUAAAGGUUUACAGUUGUUAUAUCUUUGUUUUUAUUGAAUGUUGCUCCUAUCUAUGAUUUAUUUGAUAAUGAGUCUUUGUUGAAAAGCACAAUCCCCAAAAAUAUCACUGUUCCCAUGGGAAAGUGAUACUUUAUGCCCUGGUUUCUAGAACAUGUUAUGGUGAAAAGCACAGAAUAAAUAUAUCACACAUAUAAAUUCAGAAGGCUUUUUGUUUCUACUUAAAGAAUUAGAAUUGCAGGCUGCCUUGAUUCCAUUUUGUUUUUUUUUUAAUUUUUUUUUUCAACUUUUAUUUAUUUUUGGGACAGAGAGAGACAGAGCAUGAACAGGGGAGGGGCAGAGAGAGAGGGAGACACAGAAUCGGAAACAGGCUCCAGGCUCUGAGCCAUCAGCCCAGAGCCUGACGCGGGGCUCGAACUCACAGACCGCGAGAUCGUGACCUGGCUGAAGUCGGACGCUUAACCGACUGCGCCACCCAGGCGCCCCGAUUCCAUUUUGUUUUUAAUCAAGUAUCAUAUUUAUCAUCUUUGAUCUUUUGAUCUGUUAUGGCCUACUAUUUUGGGAGCUUUUGCCAUUGCUUUGGAUUUUGGAAAUUUAAGAGUCGACAUGACCCUUACAGGAUAAAAUAUUUACAAAAUUAGAAACAAAGCAGGGCAAAGUAUGAAGAUGAGUGUUAUUAGAUGAGAAGUACCAUAAAGGCACUGAUUCAGUGGUAUAGGAAGUUCUGGAUUGCUAGAACAUAUUCAGCUUAGGUGUUGGUGUUGGGUGUUGGGAAAAGCUUCAUGGGAAAGUUAGCUUUGGAACGUCAGAGAUUUGUAGUUGUGAUAAUGAGAUUAUUGAAACAUUCCUUUUUUUUUUUUUUUUAAAGAUACUGGCUCCUGUUUUCUUUUUAAUUUUUUUUUUUUUUAACAUUUAUUUAUUGUUGAGAGACAGAGACAGAGUGUGAGCAGGGAAGGGACAGAGAGAGAGGGAGACACAGAAUCUGAAGCAAGUUCCAGGCUCUGGGCUGUCAGCACAGAGCCCAUUGUGGGGCUCGAACUGACAAACCGUGAGAUCAUGCCCGGAGCUGAAGUCAGACGCUUAACCAACUGAGCCACCCAGGUGCCCCUGAAACAUUCCGAAUUUAGGGGUCUUAAGAAUACUGGUUUGCUAUCACGAGGUGUUUUGGUGAAAGACUGUAAUCUGGUUUAACUGAUAUACAGGGCAUAUGAAAGCCGUUGUGACAGAUGCAGAUAGAAAGAUGUGUUGAUGACAGAUUGUGAAGAGAGUUUUCAUUAUUGAAUUAAGUACUAUGGACUUUUAUCUGUGAGCAAUGCAGAACCAUUGGCAUCUUCUGACCGGAUCGUGAUAUACUCGAAUCCAUAGGUUAGGACUAUCCAGAUGAUAGCAGUAUGAUUAAUGAAUUGGAAUGGGGAAAUACUGGAAAAAGGAAGCUAAAUUAGAAAGGCAAAAGGUAAUGAGGCCUAUGCUAGGAUAUUGAUAAUGGGAACAGAGACGAGAAGAAGGAUAUGAAAGACUUUCUGAAGGCAGAGUUGACUGAUUUGACAGCUUUAUUUGGGCAUGAGAGGUGAGUGAGCAUGAGGAACCAAAAAUAAGUAGUAGCUUCAAGUUUGUUUGCUAGAAGAUAGUAUUGAUUUGAAAAGAAAUAAGGAAAUCAGAAGAGGGAGCUGAUUUAGGUUAGAGGUGGUGGUACAAUAUAUGAGUGAAAAUGUUCAGACAUUUGGAAUUGUGGGCCUUAGGCCUCGGAGUCAAUCCCACUGAAAUAAUAGUAAGAGUCAUAGAACUGGACAAGUCUUCUGAGGGAAGUUUUGAGGAAAGAGGAGGAGAAGAAAAAGAACAGGGGAGUGUACCCAAACUACACCUACUACAAGGGCUGUACACCUCUUUCACAUUGAGAACCAUGGCUAUGGUGGGCCACUGUUACUGACAGGAGUAUUUAAUACCUACGAUAUGUAUGUAUCCCUGUAUAUAGUUCCAAGAUUUUCCCAGUAGUACCAUCAUUCUCAGUCAUUUACAUUCAAAUGUAUUUUGGAGUGGGGAAAAAAAAAAAGAGGGUAGGAAAUUAACAGGUGCUUCUCAGGCAUUGCGCUUAUUUAGGAUACACCCAUGAGAAUGUGUUGACCUUGGACACUUUAUCCAUUAGAUAUAUUAUGACAGAAAGUAAGUGUUGUAGGCAGUAAUGGGGUAGCCUGAAGGCACAUUGGUCUGAAAUGUACAGGGAACAUGAGAUGAUUGGGGAGAGAAUAAGCAGGGCGACCAAUGAUCAGAGGUGGCUGUAUAUAUCAUUUGGAAGGUGAAACAGUACUAUCAGUCGAAUAAUGACAGUGUGAAGCUGAAGUGAUAAUUUGCAAAAAGAAUUUAGUAAGAGGUCAUUGCUGUUGGUAGUAGCCGCAUACUUACUGAAUAAAUUUCGCUGGGUGUACAUUGUACUUAAAGUGAUAAUGCCCCCUUUAAGUUGUCGGAGCAAAUUAUUUUAAUGAUAACUUAUUAACAGAAAUGUUUUUGUUUUGUGUUUGUGAUCUUGAAAGCAAGGCCAUUAAAAUUAAUAAGAUAAGUUGCUCUCUGUUUUUGAUUCUGUCCUUCUAACCUUUACCUUGAAUAAAUCACUUCUCUUAUGUGUAAAAUGAUUUAGGUGAUUUAAAUAUGCUGGGUAUUUGAAUUGUGAUUUAUCUUCAGGAUUUCUCAAUUGAGCCAACAUUAAAAAAUGUAAAAGGUAUAAGGUAUGAUAUGAUUUACCUGCCAAAGAGUUUUAGCCUCUAACAGGGAUAUUCACAUUUCUUAAAAACAACAACUGUCCAGAAUGUUAAUGAUUUGUUAUAACUCUGACUCCUGGUGAAAAUACUGGUACUACAGUCAGUGGAUUGUAUCAAACUUCAAUAGUAUAGAAAGCUAAGCAGCAUGAUGUAACUUUGUUAAAUGUUGACAAAUUGUACAUGGAAGAAGAGGUCUGUCCUAUGUAAUUUUCACUUGGUCAGUAUCUUUGCUUCAUUUUUAGGGUCCUGAACCUUUAAAAAAAAGUUUUUAUUUUGUGAUUUAAAAAUUAACCUUUUUUGGGUGCGCCUGGGUGGCUCAGUCAGUUGAGCAUCUGGCUUCGGCUCAGGUCAUGAUCUCACAGUUUGUGAGUUCGAGCCCCGCGUUGGGCUCUGUGCUGACAGCUCAGAGCCUGGAGCCUGUUUCGGAUUCUGUGUCUCCCUCUCUCUCUGCUCCUCCCCUGCUCAUGCUCUGUCUCUCUCUCUCUCUCUCUCUCUCUCUCUCUCAAAAAUACAUAAAUAAAUAUUAAAAAAAUUAAAAAAAUUAACCUUUUUUGUUUUACAUACUCUCUCUAAACAUAUAGGUUUCAACAGAUAGAUGUUAUUUUCUAAUAUUUGCCAAAAAAGAAACAUGCCAUUGGAAACUUACUUUAAAAAUAGAAAAUUUGAGGGUUUUUUUGGUUUGCAAUGACAGAUAUCUCUGAAAGUUUACUGUAAAGUAUUCAAGUGUUAGUUCAGAAUAAACUCUUUAAAAUUUAUUUUUAAUUUACAUAUGGUAAAAUUUACUUUUUUUAAUACAUUUGACAAGCAGGGCAGUUCUGUCACCCCCAGAAAACUCCCUCGUGCUGUUCCUUUGUAGUCAGACUUUUCUUCUUGACUCUUGUGACAACCACUGAUGUGUUCUCUAUCCCUAUGGUUUUGCUUCUCUAGAAUGUUGUAUGAAUGGACUCAUACAGAUGUAGCCGUUUCAGUGUAACUUUUUGCACUUAGCAUAAUACAUUUGAGAUUUAUCCAUGUUGUUGCAUGUAUCUGUAGUUUGUUCCUUUUUAUUUACUAAUCAGUAUUUCAUUGUAUGCAUAUUCCACAGUUUUUAGCCACUAGUUGAAGAACAUUUAUUUGCAUCGUAUUCAGUUUUUGGUGAUUUGGAAUAGAGCCACUAUAAACAUUCACAAAUGAUUUUUAUGUCAACAUAAGUCUUACUUCUCUUGGGCAAAUACCUAAGAGUGGAAUUAACUGCAUAUAGUAAGUGUAUAUUUACCUUUUAAGAAACUGCCAAACUGUUUUCCAAAGUGGCAGUACUGUUUUGCAUUUGAGUUCAGGUUUCUCUGCAUACUAACCAGCACUUGGUAUUGUUAGUCUUUUGGUUUUAAUUUUAGUCAUUCUACAGGGUCCAUAUUAGUAUCACGUCGUGGUUUAACUUGAAUUCCCCUAAUGACUAAUGAUGUAGAGCAUCUUUUCAUGUGCUUAUUUACCAUCCUCAUAUCUUCUUUGCUGAAUUGUCUUUUCAAAUAUUUAGUCCAUUUUUAAAAUCAGGUUGUUUGUUUUCAUAUUGUUGAGGUCUGAAGAUUCUUUAUAUAAUCUGGAUAUAAGUUCUUUGGCAGACAGGUGAUUUGCAAAUGUUUUGCUCCGGUCUGUGGCAUAUUUUAAAUUCUUUUAAAGCGUCUUAAGCAGGGGGACCUGGGUGGCUCAGUCAGUUAAGCAUCUGACUCUGGAUUUCUGCUCAGGUCAUGAUCUCACAGUUUGUGAGUUCGAGCCCUGUGUAGGGCUCUGCACUGAAAGCGCGAAGCCUGCUUGGGAUUCUCUUUCCCUCCCUCUUUGCCCCUUCCCCGCUCAUGUAUAAGCAUUUUCUCUCUCAAAAUAAAUAAACUUAAAAAAAAAAAAGUGUCUUAUGCAAAGCAAAAUGUGUCUUUAUAGGGCAAUUUUUUUUUUUUUUAAUUUUGAUGAAGUCCAGUUUAUAAGUUUUUUAUGGGUAGUGCUUUUGGUGUUAUAUCUAAGAACUCUGCCUAGCUAAAAGUCACAAAAUUUUUUGCAUCUAUUUUCCCUAAUGUGUUAUAGUUUUACAUUUACACUGAAGUCUGUAGCCCAUUUUGAGUUAAUCUUUGUGUAAGAUGUGAGGUAUAUGUCUAGGUCCUUUUUUUUUUUUGCGUAUAGAUUUGUACAAAGUAGAUGAUCUUUUCUCUAUUGAACUGCCUUUGCAUCUAUGUCAAAAUUAAUUGAUCAUAGUAUUUAUGAUAUGGUUAUAUUUCUGGGCUCUCUAUUCUUUAUUGAUCUAUGUGUCUAUCCUUUUGCUAAAUACCACACAAUGUCCUUAUCAUAGCUUUAUAGUAGAAUUAGCUUUCAACCAUCUCUGGCAGAAAGAAACAAGUUCUCUGCAGCACACUAGUCAAAUUCCUUUUCAAUUUUCUUCCAAACAAAUAGAUUAUUCCUACUAUCUUCAUUCAGUUUACAUAUUCAUUAUAAAUUCAGCGUGGGCUGUGGUCAUACUUCUUAUAUCCCUUUCCUAGAUAGAGAAAAAGCUGUGGACUAUGGUAUUCAAUUAUAGCAUUCUCUGCAUCACCAUCAAACUGCAAAUUUUUAAAAAGAACCAUUUUCUAUGCUGCUCAUCUACAGAAGUUCCCCUGAUGGGCUUCCCCUCCUCUUACAAACCCACCACCCAGCCUGAGCUGCCUGGACACCCUAACCCCCAUUGACAGCCAGCUUCCUGUCUGGUGGAGUGGCGGUUGGUAGAAACCAGCUGUCAUGAUUCAUCCCAUUUAAGAUUUCUGCCUUUUGAGAAGUGACAUUAAUAGAGCCAGGCUGAAUGAUGUCUGAUUGAGAGAAUUUUAUGAAAGAGGUUUGAUUUCUGGUGCCUCAGCAAUUGAACUUUUUAUUUUUUAACAGGUACCUUCCAGUUUCCAGAGUAUGUAUGAGCUCAGUUAGAUAGAUAAAUGUUUUCAUCAAGUGUUUGAACCAGCUGUCAGUUCUUCCUGAAAAACAAACAGGCAUGGAAACUUCUGUAAAAAAGUUCUUGCAUUACCAAUUCUUUAAUAGUUACAUAAGCUUUUAGACUUCUGAUAUUCUCCAAAAGGCAAAAAAUUCUCUGCCCAAGGUCUUGUUACAUUUUGGAUUUGGUGAAAGAAUUCUCAGGUGCCUAAGGGAUAACCUCACAUACCAUGAGGACAUGGCUUUUCUCUUGGAAUGCUGAAGCCAAUUUCAUGCCUUCACAUUUUUGGGGGGUCAUUUUGUCAGUUCUUAAGAACUUCAUCUUAAGAUGAACUUAAGAAUAUUAUUUAAAAGCAGAAUAUUUGUUAGGAGGUUGAAGAAAUUUGCAACCAUAGGGACAAGUUUUUGUGCUAGUUGAUCAGUAAAUACACUGAAAAGAACAAUAAAAGAAAAAUAAAUGGCAAAAUACUGAUAAGGGAAAAGUGCACUAGCUUUUAUGAGUUACCUAAAAUUAACAUUAUCCUCACUUUUGGGAAUAUGAGAGAACAUGAUAAUGAAAGAGAAAGACAGUGAUUAAUUUGGGGAGGUAACAAUUCUGGUACCAGUUGUGUGCAGGGAGUGGGAAAGAGAGCCUGUUACUGCAGCCUUGUACAGGGUGCUCAGAUUUCUGUAGCAGUGCUGUAUUGCAUCUAUACUAUAUGCUGAAUCAUGCACCUAAAUAUGAAAAGUCAAAUUGUGGCUGGAAUUUUUCUAGUACUAACAAGUACUGGUUUUCUAUAGCCAGUCAAAGUUAUGCUAGAAGUAGAACAUUUUAUAACAUUUGGUAGUAACAAGUGAUUUUUAGCUUUGGAUCGGUGAUACCCUAGGGCAGAAGUUAUCAAACUUUAGUGUACUAAAGAAUCCCCUGGGGAACUUGUUAAAACUUAAGGUCCCUGGGCUCUAGCCCUCAAAGGUUUGAUUUAGUAGGUCUGGGGAGUGGUCAAGAAUCUGCAUUUUAACAACAACCUCACUCCAUUUGGUACUCUGAGUCAUCUCUCAAGAAGUUGCAAAAUUCCCCUAGGGAAAAGUAUUGUCCCUCAACUGAAUUUUUAAAAUACUAUUUCACUUAGCAUAGUAGGUGUUGUGAAACUUAAUGACUGAGUGUCAGAGUUCCAAAGAGGUUAGCACUAACUAGUUUAGAUUCCCCAGGUGUGAACUAAGAUAUAACAUGCAAUGAACAGUGUACACAGACUUAAGUUAGAUUUCUUUCAAUUAGAAAUUAUUAGUUACACAAUUUCCAUUUCCAGGUCAUCUGUGCCUCCACAGAUAGUAUUAGAUAAGGGAGGUAGACCAGGAAUAGAUACCUAGGGAAUUUCACAAGCUUCUUUAUAAUCAUUUAUUGCUUACUGUGCCCUUAAUGAUGUUAGUCAGGAUCCCAUUAAAUUAACUGUGAAUAUACUAAUUGGUCCCUUGACGUUAGCUAGGGGGUAUCAAAUUCUGUGGCUCCACCCCAUUCUGGUCAUAUAGGAGACAAUGUAGAAAUUGUUGCCUGUGUAAGGGUUCUUUUCUUUCUGGGGACAAGGCAUCUGUGGGCCAAGAGAGAUUUCUUAAAACAUAGCAGGCAUCCCUAGAGAAUCUUCCUCUAAUUCAGACAGGCACCUAUGACCUACUUUUAAAAGUAAUUUGAAAAUCCCAUCAAACAUAAGCAAUCAAAAUUCAGAUUCUCUAUCAGUAUUCUGUAGACCUAGCAUGGCAUCAUUUCCAUCUGUCCAUACUAAUGGCUUAAAUAUAUUUUGGACAGGGCUUUCUUCUGUCUUUGUAGCUAAAACAGAGCAUUUCUAGUUUGUGGAUUCAAAGCAAGUAUACAAACAAAUACAAUAUGGUGUAAAUUGUUUUUUUCUGUACAUGAGAAGGGAAUCAAAUUUGCUAACUUGGUAUUGCAGUUGCAGAAUUAAAACACCUAAGCCAGAGCUUAUUUCUCCUUAUUUGAAGCCUGGAGUUUGGGUUUAUAAAUGUAACUAGCUUCUGUGAACCUUUUUUAACUUUUCAAACCAAAACUGACAAGACAAAGUGUUUCACAGAAACUUCCAGAGUUGGAAGGUACUUUAAAGAACAUCCAGUCCCAUCUCUUACCUAAUUUUUGAAACUUAUGUUGCUUGUACUUUAACUCUCACACUAAAUUGUUAGUUUCUUAAGGGGAAGUUUCCUACUCAUAUGCAUUUCUAAUCACCCUGAGAUUGUUCAGCUUCUUGAGGAGGAAGGCUUCAUUUUGCACAGUUGGCCUAAAUAAAUAUUUGUGAAUUUGAUCAAUAAAUUGGCAGAUGGGUUUUUUUCAUUCCCUAUUUUCCUAUUGCACAGGUUUGGCUGCCACAUUUGUUCAGUUUCGAUCCUUGCCCUGUCUCUUGCCAGGUGUAUGACCUUUGACAAGUUACUUAACCUCUCUGUACUUUAGUUUUCUGUAAAAUGGCCUUCGAUAAAUGAUAGCAUGUUCCUGAUCACUACCAGCAGAACUUGCUGUCUGAAUUUUAAUCAUUUCAGGGUAUGUUCUGUCUAGAAAAUAUAGUGGGAAUACAGAAGUUACCUGAAAGCUGUUGAAAGUAUGAAAAAUUAAGAGUUACAAUUAUUUAGUAUGUACAUACUGGAUACACUUUAUUAGGAUAAAUUCCUCAUGAUUGUAAGUCAAGUCACAACUGUAAUAAGGAGUUUUUAGGCUGCUUCAACUCACCUUCCUACAACAUAAUAUGGAAAUCACUGGUUUAAAAAACAAACUUCAUGAUUCAGUUAACAAAGUCAAGAUAUGUAGGCUCAUGUAGAGCAGAGGAGCAAAUUAAUUGGGUGUUUAGAAUCUGAUAUGUUGUAAUGAAUUGGGUUAUCAGGUGGUGACUUAAUUAGGCUAUUGAAUGAAUUAACACCCCUGAAAUGUGGGAAAUUCGCACUUAGCUUUCUCACUUCUGUCAGGGGGCUGGUGGCAGUAUCCAAAAGAUCAAGAUACAUUUCUGAAAAAAAAUCCAGGUGGUUCAUAUUACAGAAUAGCAAGUAUCAGAGGCAUUAGGGCCCUAUCAUGUAAUGGUGAUAAUGUCCCCUAUAAUAUUCACUAUGGACAAACUGGGAAAAUACAGAGAAAUAGAAAUAAGAAGAAAAUUAGAAGAAAAUUAAAACCACCGGUAAUCUCAUGCCCUAAGACAACAAUUACUGAGAACUUUAUAUUGAGGAGGGCACCUGUUAGGAUGAGCACUGGGUGUUGUAUGGAAACCAGUUUGACAAUAAAUUUUAUAUUAAAAAAAAAACUUUAUAUACCAGCUAUUCCUAGCCACAAUUGUAUUUAUUUAUGAGAUUCAAACUGGGAUCAUUCUACAAAUGAAAUUUUGUAUUUAUCCCAUUAAACAAACUCACUGAGAGCAUCUUUCCAGAAAAAAAUACUCUUUAAAUUUUGCUUUCUCUUUAGUUAUAUAUGAGAUAUACUCAAUAAUAUUAUUAGUUCAAGAUAAAAGAUUUAAGUAAAAGGAAGAUUGAUACUGCCCAGAGUAGAGAAAGAAGAAAAUGAAGAGUAACGUGUUUUAUUACUGAAUAUGACUUUUUUAUUCAUUAAUAUAUUAUUUAUGUAAAUAGUGCUUCAGAGGAAAGUGGUUUAAGUUCACUAGUGACCUUUUAGGGAGUGGCUCAAUAAGUAAUAAUUCUAUGAAUGGAUUAAGGGAGAGCUUAACAUAUAGCAACUAUAAAUAUAGUCCUUAAAUCCUUAAAUCAUUUCUCUUUCUCUCUCCCUAAAGAGAGAAAGCCCCACUUUUUUUUCCCCUAUUCUGCCACUUAGGAACUUUAAUUUUUAAAAGCAUAGGAAGGUUACAGUUGGUCAUAUCUUUGAUUUUAAAAUGUAGAAAAUAUGGAAGCAUACCUGGGUAAUAGUAUAAAUACAAAGAAUUAGGAGAUAUGUGCUUACAUUCUCGGCAUUGGCUUAUUUCCAUGGUGGAAAGUCUCCUUUAAAGAGAGAGACAGGAAAACAUGUUGGUGAGGGAUUCCUGGAGCCAUCUUACAAUAAAGGCUGUUUUGGUACCCAUUAGAGUUCACCACUGGGCCCACGCAUCUGCCAUGCAGAUGCUGGCAGUUCAUCUUUUGAUUCCCAAUGACCUCUGCAGUACUGACUACAUGAUUUUCCAGGCCUAAUGCAAAGUGAAAAUAUAUGGAGUCCCUCCUUCAAAAGACAAUAAAAUUAAAAUAUAAAGCUUUUUCCUUUCUUCCACUGUCUUUUUCUCUAUCUGUAAUGAUGUUUUUAUUUGUUAUUUAAUGUUUCAUGUCCUUAGGCAUGGGGAUACUCACCCAGAAAAUGCAGAUUCUCACAGAGUCCCAUUCUGUACCUAAGCAGACAUGCCACCCACUCACUUCUUGGAUUCCCCCCUCCACCAGCCACUGGACUGGCCUAUGUCCUGGCGAGAGGUAGGGAAGUCAUGCCAAGUAUCUCCUCUUCCCCUAGGCAUACCACCUGUGGGAACCCAUGGUGGAUGGGGGACCUCUGAAGGUAGUACAAUCUCCAUGCUGGAACAUGCUGGGUACCUGGAUCAGCAGUAGAUGAGAGACUUAUCUUCCACUUAUAAGAUGAUCACCCCAUGGUGCUGUCAGUCUGGGAUGUGGAUGACUGUCAUUAAAACUCCCUGAGUUGUCUCAGGGAGCAAGAGGGCCCAUCUGUUUGUGCCCAGAGGGACUGGAGACCAGCAGCAUUACUGGAUGAGGACCUGGAGGAGUAGGGUCCUGAAGUGCCAGGGCAGCUGAGAACCCAUCCCUAUAAGGUGGGGAAGUAUGAUGGUUGGUAAGCUGAGGCUCCAAGCUCCCAGUGCAUGCUCUUUAGCCUCUUAGGACUUCACUUAGAAAAUUCAAACUCAUAGAUAAAAUUAUUAUUAAAAAGAAAUUAUUUUGAGAGAGAGAGAGAGAGAGAAAGCCCACAAGUUGGGGAGGGGGAGAGAGAAGGAGAGACAGAAUCCCAAGCAGCCUCCUCACCAUCAGUGCAGAGCUUGGCUCAAACUCAUGAACUGUGAGAUCAUGACCUGAGCCGAGAUCAAGAGUUUGACACUUAACUGACUGUGCCACCCAGGCACCCCUCAAAGAUAAAAUUAUUAAGUAUUUCAAGGCAGAGUAUUAACCUCAUGUUGGAGGAAGGUCGUCUAAGCUAAUACCCUAUGUGGCUGAAAUGGCUGCAUACCAAUGAAGCAAACAGACCGUGAGCUUCUGGAAUAACCUUUCUGACACUACUUGAAUAUCACUUUUAUUUCUUAUAUAUCAAUGCUUCUAAACUUUAAUGUGCAUGUGAAUAAUAUGCGAGGUUCUUGUUAAAAUGUGGAUCCUAAUUUAGCAGGUCUGGGGCCUGAGAUUCUACAUUUCAGACAAGUUCCCAGUGGAUGCCAUAGCUGGUCUAGGAACCACCUUUCUACACCUGCCUCCCUUAAAAAUAUUUUAUUUGGAAAUUAUUAUAGACUUACAAGAAGUUACAAAAAUUGUAGACUCCUGUAUACUAUUCUCUUAACUCCCAAUGGUGACAUCUUAUAUGUAACACAAAUACAGUAUGUGAUAUGACUAUAAUAUAAUAUCAAAACUAGGAAAUUGACAUUGGUACUGUAAGAUAACAAAAACAAUAUAAUUUAGUAACAAGUUUGAUGUCUUUUUUCAAAGGAAAACCAUUCAUGGAUUGAAGGAAUACAGUGUCUCACAAACAGUGGAACAUUGUUCCUGAGAGAUUUGGGGUAAGAGUGAGUUUUAUAGAAUGUUACAAGAGGCAAAUGGAAGCAGGGCAUGGUUGGCUAGGAUGUUGGGGAUUUCCUUGUAAGUCAAACAGUUUCUAUUUUCUAGAGUAAGGUAAGCUAGCUAAAGCAGAGUCUCUGGAGGAUUGUCAUUAGUGUAUGUUAAGUUUCCUUGACAGGUGUUUCCUGUGAGAGUAGGCUGACUUAGGUGUACAUUCGUGACAUAGACUGGGUCACUGGGGUCUCCUCCCUUUUGUUGGUCCUGAUAUACAAAUUUAUUUUAUCAGUACAGUAUUGUUAAUUAGACUAUCGACCUGGUUCCACUUUUAUCAUUUUUUUAUUUGCAUAUAUAUUUGUGUGUGUCUGUGUGUGUCUGUGUCUGUACAGUUAUAGGUAAUAUCAUUCCAUGUAUAAAUUUUUGUAACUACCACUGUGAUCAGGAUAUGGAACUGAUGAAGAAGAAUUAUUUUGUGGCCUCCCCCCACUUCCCUGAAGAUGGCUAUAAUACAUUGGGAAUUCUCAAUAAUUCAUACAAUAACAAUGCCUAUUCUUUUCUCAUAGUGAGAGUUGUCCCCAGAAUCCAGCAAACCAUGAGGUUGGCAGUUCUAAGUGCGCUGAAGCACUAAGGUGAGGUGAAGUUUUGGGGGCAAAAAUGUUGGUCAUUGGAGGGAAGUAUAACAUUCCUUGUCCUAGUGCCUUGCACUCAUCCUGGAGGGUGCCUUGUAUAAACAAAGUCAAAUGCAAAUUUUGGAGAAUCAUUUUACUUAAAAGAGACAUAAGGAAAAUGGGAACCAGGUAUACCCAGGAGAUCUCUAGGAUUCAGUGUGGGAAUUGGUAAAUAUUAAUUGAUAAUGACAAAGUAAGAUGUUCAUCAUUAUACUGUUCAGUGAACUUGGUAAUUGCUUUAUCUGUGCAUUAGACAGACUUCAAACUUCACACAUCUUUAUGAUAAUAAGCCUACUUCAUAAUGCCACUGAAAAUAAGACUUGUUAACUAUCACAUGCCUUGUAAAUGGAAAAAUAUAUCAGAUUUUGGUAAAUAUGACUCAUAAUUAUCAACUUCUCUUUUUAUUUUGGUGGUAUUGCCUGGUGGUUAAAGACAUUAUUCUUAUCAACUGUGUGACCUUGGCCAAGUGACUUAACAUUUCUAUGGCCCAGUUUUCUUAUGUCUAAGUUGGAGAUGAGUGUAGGACCUAUCACGUAGGGUUGUUGCACAGGUAAAGCACAUGCGACAGUGCCUUGCAGAGUGUAAACACUCAGUAUCAAUUAAUGGUAUUAUUAUUAUUAGGACUAGGUCAGCCUUGAAUACCUUCUACUAACAAUUGCCUAAGAUUUUGCUUCUUUAUAUCCAAACCACUGACCUCAACAACUUUUUUAUAUUGAACGUGUGUAGAUUUUUAAGGUUAGAGUUUCUUUUAGAUAUAACCACUCACUGUACAGACGAAAGUUAAACCUAUAGGCUCUGGGUUCAAGUUCCAGCACUUACUAAUUGCAGACUAAUUGUGGGGCUUAGGCAAGGAACUUCCCUAAACCAUAGUCUCCUUAUCUAUAAACAGGGAGAGUGUAACAGUAUUUACCCCAUAAACUUGUUGUAAAGAUUAAAUGAAAUAAUCUAUAUAAAGUGCUUGGCAUGUAAUUAGCAGGUUAUUGAUAUUUGCUGUUAUUUUUUUAUUGAUAUCUGGUUUUCCCAGUAAGUGUACAUGGCCCAGAGUUCCAGAGUUAUUGGGAGAGAUGAUGUUAAACCAAAUAUAAAAGAGCUUCUCUCCAGCCAAGUGAUUGGUCACACCUUGAGGACAUAGAAACUGGAGCUCCUAACAGUAUAGAUACCCAUGUGUUACAGAGACCAAGAACUAUCCCCUGAUAUCUAUCCCUUUCUUUUUUUUUAAUAAUUGAACUCUGCCCCUUGCCAGAUUUAGGAGGUCACGUGGCCAGUAGAGCCAGAAACCACACUUCCCAAGCCUGCAUGUUUUUUUGCCAAUGGAAUGGGUACAGCUUCUGUACUUCCUGACCAGUUACUCCCUAGUUCCUUGUGUCCCCCUUUCCUCUGCUGAGAAUGUGAUAGUGCAUGGACAAGGUAGAGGACCAGCCUCUACCAUGGAAGCAAGGCCGCACCCUGAGAUUGAUGGAGCAACAAGAUUAAUUUGAUUCUCUGGACAACUUUAUGGAGUAGACCUGCCUAUGUCACAUUGGCCUGCCUGUGUAGUAUAGGGCUGUUAAAUGAGAAAGAAGUAAAUUUCUGUCUUGUUGGUGCUACUGUAUAUUGGAGUCUCCUGGUUAUAGCACUUUAGACUAUAUCUUAACUCAUUUAUCAUGACCAUCUCUAAAGAUGUUGAAUGAUGGAAAAUAGGCAUUUUAAUAAGAUCCCCCAGUAACUGUGAUGCCAGCAAUCCAGGGACUAGCCUUUGAAAAACACACACUAAUGUGCUCUAAAGAUGUCACCAUGUCUCUAAGCAAAAUAUAAGUUUUGGAAAGGGGUCUAGAAUUUAGAAGAUAGGAAUAGCCCUUGUUAAAAUUUUAUUGUACUUGAACUGAAAUUUGUUCAAGAAUUCUGAAUUAAUAUUCCACCUCAUUUUAUAUUAGCAGUAGGAUUACUUUUUAAGUUAAAAAAUAGAUUUAUUAAGUUGAAUACCUAAGUUGUUCUUUACAUAUUAUUUGUAAUGACCAGAAGAGAAAAUACUUUGGUAUUUCAGGCUAUUUGUUGAUUGUAUAGCAUGGAUACAAGGAAGAGGUAAUUCUAUAUAUGUUGACUGAGGUACCCAAGAUGUAUCAAGCUAAAAAUAAACAAAUAAAUAUUGCAAAAAAAAAAGCACCAGACAUAAAGAAUACAUGUGGUUUGACUCCAUUUAUUAAAAAUCUGAAAAUAAGAAACGUUAUGCUGCUUACUAUUGUGUGCUUAGGCAGUAAAAUUAAAAAGAAAAACAAGAAUUAAAUACUCUGAAAGUCAGGAGAGUGGAAACCUUUGAGAGGGAGAGUGAAAGAGGGUGGUAAUCAGGAGGAGUCUAGAGGAGAGCUUCCAAGGGGCUGGAAGUGUUUUACUUUUCUUGUAAUUAAUUAGUUAAUUAAUUAAUUAAUUUGAGAGAGUUCGAGUGCUUGCAAGGUGGAGAGAGGGACAGAGGGGGAGAGAGAGAAUCUUAAGCAGGCUCCACAUUCAGCACAGAGCCCAAUCCUGGGUUCAGUCCCAUGACUCUGGGAUCAUGACUUGAGCUAAAAUCAAGAGUUGGCCUCUCAACCGACUGAGCCAUCCAGGCACCCCGGUUUUUACUUUUUAAUCUGGGUGGUGGUUGCAAGGGGGUUCACUUUGUUAUUUUGCACAUUUAUCUAUGUGUAUAUUAGAUUUCACAAUAAAAACCUUUUAAAGCAUAUUUCAUAACUACAUUAGGCAUAUAUAUAUUCUCUAUAUCUUCAUUUACAUAUGUUGUGUGUGUGUGUGUGUGCACGUAUUCCUGUGUACUCAUAUAAAUUUCACAAAGGAUACACGUACACACAAAAGAAAGAGCUAUGGGUAAUUGUUAUUACCUUUGGGUAGUGGGAAUGUGGGGUAGGGAACAUUUUACUUUGCAUUUUACAAUUUGCAUUUUAUUUUCUUAUAUUUUCUUCAUAAUCAUUUGUUACUUUUAAAAAAAUAAUCCCUCAAAUACUGUAUGUGAACAUAGAUCAUUUUAUUUUACAUGCCACUGUAUUAUUGGCAUUUUGUUUAUGAUCAUGUUACUUUAAAAAUUCUUUCUCCAAAUUUGCAUAUGUAUACAUAUGUGUACAUUGCAUACACAUAGUAAUACAUGCUUGGAGAAUUACGGCAUGAUACUUGUAAAACUCUUCACAGUGGUUACCUCUGAGGAGUGCACCUGGGGAUAAUUAAGAGAAGGGAGACCUUUCACCUUUUACUUUAUAUAAUUCUGGUUCAUUUGAACAUUUUCUUUUACAGUGAGCAUGUGCUACUUUUAAAUUCAUAGCACACAUAAUAAAAAAAGUAAAAUCUUAAAAAGAAAAAAAUGGGGGCAGGGGACACCUGGCUGGUACGGUUGGUAGAGCAUGGGACUCUUGAUCUCAGGGUCAUGAGUUCAAGCCCCACAUUGGGGGUAGAGAUUACAUAAAAAAUUAAACUAAAAAAAAUAAAAUAAAAUCUUAAAUUUAUAGCACACACCAAAGGUGAUAUAUAGCAUAUUCCAGCGUAUUUUGUUUUUUAGGCAUGGAGGGAUAGAAAAAGGUCUACUUAAAAAUGUGUCCAAUUUGGGGAGAAGUCUCAUCUUCAGGAAAAGAUAUCCUAGAAUACAAGCCUACAUCCCUGCCCAUCACACAUAUGCUAGAGCCUCUGAUAAUGGGCUAAUUUGAUGGAAUCUUUGAAAUUAAAUCACAAAGACAGGAUUCCUUAAAGGCAAACAUGGCUCCUGGCCUGUGGAAAGUAUUAGUUAUUUGUAGAAUUUUUUGGAGAACAGUAUCAUUUAAACGAUAUUUCAUCCACUAAGGUUUCACUACUUAUUGAUGCUUUUUUUUUUUUUUUUUAUAACAUGUUAGGUGUUUUUUAGUGAGAGGAUUAAGAGGUGCAGAACAUGAUUGAUGAGAUGCAACUGGGUGAUUUCUGGAAAAAAACUAUUAGUGUUUUAGGCCAGUUAGUAUUUUAGUCAGCUUUUUAAAAGCAUAGGAUACAGGAGUGCCUGAGUGGCUCAGUCGGUUAAGUGUCUGAUUCUUGACCUUAUCUCUAGGUCUUGAUCGUAGGAUCUUGAGUUCAGGCCCUGCAUUGGGCUCUGCGCUGGGUAUGGAGCCUACUUAAAAAAAAAAAAAAAAUAAAAGCAUAGAAUACUUUUAAAUUGUUAAUUUUAAUUGUUAAAUUAAUUUUAAACUUAAUUGUUAACAAUUUUAAAUUGUUAAUUAACAGUGAUACUUAUCCUAAUUGUUAUAAAGCUCAGGGCAAAUGACCUAAAAUUCAAUAGGAAUGACUUAACCAACAAAAAUUCACUCAAAGACUAAAUGUAUUAUAGAGAAACAACACUCGUAUUAAUCAAAGCUCUGAUACUGAACUUCAUGAGUAACCUUAUCUAGAUAGAUUCAACAGUUUGUUGCUGAUAAUUAGAUAAUGCCACGAAUGAUAAUCAAUAAUAAUGUUUUGUUGGUAAAAGAGGCAAUCAAAUACAGAGAUGCAGAAGUGAGCUACUCACUGAAAUAGAGCUUCUUUGGAAUAAUGUCCAACAGUGGUAUAAAACUGCUGACUAAAACAGUAGCAACCAAUUAACAUGUGGCUAUGGAACACUUGAAGUGUGGCUAGUCUCAGUUAAGAUGUUGUGUGUCAAAUGCACACCAGAUUUGAAGAGUUAGUUUAAAAAUGGAUUAUAAACUGUUAAUAAUAAUAUUAGAAUGUUGAUAGUGUCUUAAUAUUGAUUACAUGUUGAAAUGUUAAUAAUUUGGAUCUAUUGGGAUGAACAAAAAUUAUUAAAUUUAGUUUCACCUGUUUGUUAUUUUUUAAUGUGGUUAUUAAAAUUUUUUAGUUGUCAAUGUGGCUCCCAUUUAUAGCUCACUUUUGUUAGACGGUGCUGGUGUACAAGGUUUGAAUUAUAAAUGAACCGAGAAUCAGCAUUUUCACUUCCCUUACGUUCCAGAUAGGGAUACUAAUUCCAGAGAGGAAACACAAAGGCACCAACAUGAUUGGGCAGAAGCGAGGAAUAGAGCUUCCAUCUUUUGAUUCUCUGUCUCCCUACACAGUUGGCUCCUAAUGGAAAAUUUGAGGACAGGGAAUCAAACUCAGGACACCUACACAUUAGAGAUCAUGUUUCUUUAACAUGUGAAGAGCUAGACAAUGAUUAACAAACAAAAAACAAAACAAAACAAAACAUUUCUAAGGACUUGGAUUGAGAAUAGAGGUUAGAAGACUAACAUUCAAUUUUACACAUCUUUGUGUUACUUUUAAGACUUGGGCAUGUGUUACUAUUAAGAAAGAAAGAAAAAAGGCUCGGAUGGAGGGUGAAGCAGACAGAUAAGGUUCAAAAGAAACCAUAGUUUGAAAUUCAAGUUUGGAGAUAUUUGAAGUGGCUUUUUCUACCAUUAUCUUUGUUCACAUCUCUAGAUGCCGUUGUUUAAUUCUUUGUGUUCUCUUUGGGGUGGUUUACUUUUUACAUUACUAAAGCGAAAUCAACUGUUAGAAACUAAUUUUUGAAUUUGCAGCUGUAGCUUGAAAAACCUAUGUUUUCCCUACUUUUAUAAGCACAGGCCGGUGAGAAUGAUUGGUGAUUUUGUUUCAAGAGAAUUCAAGCUCUCCCUUCUAAAGGGCACUUGCCAACAGACUAGAUGUUUCAGUUUGAAGCCAUUUGCUACAAUCAUCCUUGAGAUUUUUGCUCACGGCAUCCAGAGCUAUUAUUUCUAAAGACAGAUUCUUAGAACACAAGUUUAUUUAGCUUCAGAACAUACACAGCCUCCUUACUGGAGCAGCUGUACUGAGUUUCUGAAUGGAAGGAUGAUUUCCACAGUGUAUUUUAUAGCCACACACCAUUCCCGAGCAUAAUCUAAAAUACAGAUUAUGUUUAUUUAUACUCCUUUAUUGUAGGAGAGAAAGACAUACUUGGCUAGUCUGAGGGGUAAUGUUUACAGCAGCAUUUUCUAUUUUUAUGGCAGUUCCUUCAGGCCCCUGCAUUGUUGACUUUCUUUCUAAACCCCAGAACUUGAUUUAGUGGUCUCCUAGCCCGAGACCAGGAUAAAUGCAGGUUGCCUGUGCUUAACAGGACUCUUGGAGUAUGUAUGGGUAUGGGACAAAUUCCUGUUUAACUUUUUGUCAAUAUUCUCAUUUCCUCUUCUUAUUUCAUUACUUUCAAGCCUUUUAACCCCUGAAACAAAAGAUAAUCCUGUCCUGGAGACUGAUGGCCUCUUUUUUACCCACUUUUCUGAGGCAAGUGCAAGAAUUCUAAAGGAACUUUGUUUUUUCACUGUUGAAAUGUUUUUGUUUUAAAGUAUAACAUAUUUAUUUUUUUAACUUAAAAAAAUUAAUUAAUUGGUGACCCAUCUCUUUUGAUAACUAUACCAAGUUCUUUAUUUCAGAUGUCUUUUCUAUUUGUAUUGUACACUAAUUUCUUUGUUUUAAUUAAAACAUUAUUAAAAAUUUUUGAGUACAGUUGACACACACUGUUACAUUAGUUUCAGGUGUACAACAUGGUGAUUCAGCAUCUCUAGACAUUAUGCUCUGCUCACUGCAAGUGUAGCUGCUGUCUGUCACCAUACACUGUUAUAGUACCUUUGCCUGUAUUCCCUCUGCUGUACCUUUUAUUUCUGUGACUUAUUCAUUCCAUGACUGGAAGUCUGUAUCUCCUGAUCCACUUUACCCAUUUUGCCCAUCUCCCCUUUCCGCUGGUAACUGUCAGUUUGAAGGGACUUUUUUUGUUUGAUUUUUUGCAAGUUAUUUACCAAACGCAUUCUCGGAUAUCUGAACCCAUCUAGAAGCUGAGUAGUCUCAUUCUCUUGAAUUCCAAACUCUGCAUUCAUUCAUUUCGUAGUUAAUUUUAGGCACCUACUAUGUGACAGGGUAGGGUUAUAUCUGUUAGAAAUAACCUUGGCACAGUGAAAAUACUGGACAGAAGCCCUUGGACCACUCCUCAGGACCUUUGGAGUGGGAGAAAGGGGGUGGAGAGGAAAAAGUCGAUGAGCUGGGAUUUCUGAGUAUUCUCACCUCCAGAAAUAGUCAAAUAGCACCUGCAAGCUUUCUCUGCCUCUGGAUUGCUGCAUGGGGCUUUAAAUCACUGGGCUGAGCUCUCUUGACCUUUGCUCACUUGUUGUCUCCACAGCUCCAGAAGCUGGGGCAUUUACAUAUAACCCUUACCUGGGCCCUGGUCUCAGCUCUAUCAAAACACCAGCUAUUUGACUAGCCAGCAGUUGCUGCUGUUGGUCAUUUACCUUAAUGUGCAAAAAAGACAGGGCCUCUUUUUAGCAUUAAGUGUUAACCAUGCUUAAGAGAAGAAGUAGAGGUAGAGCUUCAUUGCAGCUCCCUUUUAGAAAUGGUUGUCCAAUAAUAGGGGUCCUCAGUCACACCAGUGGUAUUACACAGUGACAGUUUCAGUGAUAUGUAUGUACCUGGGUCCUGUCCUAGACCAAUUAAAUAAAUUAUGGGAAUGGGACCUGAGGGUGAGUAUUUUUGAAAAGCUCACCAGCUAAUACACAGCCGAUAUUAAAAACCACUGGUAUUGAAACUGUCAGGCCUUGAAAGGGACAGAUGUGGGUGUAAAAUCCAGAAUUUACAACUUACUAGUUGUAACUCUAUGAGGCUCUCUGAGCCUCAGUUUCCUCAUCUGUAAAAUGAGGAUCAAAUUGUACCUUCCUUACAGGUAGCUAUGUAGCACAUAGAAGAUACUCAAUGAGUAGUGGUUACUGAAUAAGGCUAUCAGUAUUCUGUCUGAUAUGAUAGCCAUUAGCCAUAUGUAACUAUUUAAAUUAAAAUUAGACAAAGUUAAAAACUUGCCCCUAAGUCCCAUUAGCCACAUUUCAAGGGCUCAACAGCCAUGUAUGGCUAGUGGCUGUCAUACUGGGUAGCAGAAAUGUCAAACAUCUCCCUCAUUGCAGAAAGUUCUUUAGAUUGGAAAACACUCAUUUAUAACAUCUGCUUCAGUAAGACCUAACUUUAUUUAGAGAAAUGUCAUUUUAAACUCUUAUGGAAAACCUUCUACAUUUGUUUCUGUUAGGUAAACAGCAGGCCUUUUGGCUCGAGCAGAGAAGUGAAGGAAAUCCAGGAACCACCUCUUCUAUGGAGACUUUUUUCAUGUUCCUAUAUACCUGUAAAUGAGUUUACCUCAGGUAAACAAACAAGUGGGAACAUCCAAUCGAUUGUUCAAAUAAUGAUGUCUCCUCCCCUCCCCACCCCACUAGUUCGGAGGCCACGCUCACCAACCAUUUAGUCCACUUUUGAAGUAGAACAUUAACUUUUCCCUGCCCUGUUUUUUAGUACUACAGGCACUAUCAGCGAAGCUGAAACUGGCGUGUGUGUGUGUGUGUGUGUGUGCGUGCGCGCGCGCGCGUGUGUGUGUGUGUGUGUGUGUGUGUGUGUGUGUUGGAAAGUGGAAGAGGAAGGGGCAGUAGCCGGGAGAAAGAACUGGCAUUGGGAAGGGAAUAUCUGUCAGUGGGAAAAGAAAGGCCAUAGAUAGGAUGUAUUUUAUGAUUUUAUUAUCAGAAAUGUUUAUUUCAGGUAUUUUGAUAUCUCUUCUAUUCUAAAAAUUCUUUAGUGUCAUUUUUAUUUACCUACAGUAGGUAAGAGCACAGGCUCCGAAAUCAAACCUCCUGUGUCCAAACCAUACUCCAUUAUGAACUAGCUGAAUGACCUUGCACAGAUUACUUAACCUUUCUAAGUCUGUUUUUCCAUCUGCAAAAUGAAGAUAAAAUAUUAGUAUCUACACCUCAUAGUAUUAUUGCAAGAAUUAAAUGACAGAAUAUAUGGAAAGUCUUUGGUAUAGGACAUAACCCCAGAUAAGUGCUUAAUGAAUUAAAAAAAUUAUUUAGAGAAAGAAUAUUUUAUUGUCAAUAAACAAAUGAUGUGAUACUUUUAACUACAACAAGUAUAGGCUAAAUAUAUUCCUCAUAAGAGUGUUAAAUCUGUUUUAAAAUUUAUCCAUUUGUCAUAUCUUCUAGAACACGUAGGCCUCUUUUACAGUUUCUGUGUUACAUAAAUGUUCCACGUGUGCUACUGUACUUGUUUGGUUAAGCAUAGGCCUAGCAGCUUGGGAAGUGUCAAAGUCUGAAGAACAAAUGUAUUGUUGAUUCGAGCUACUAUGUUAAAAAUUGCUAGGGGCGCCUGGGUGGCCCAGUCCCUUGAGCUUCUGACUUCAGCUAGGGUCACUUGAUCUCAGGGCUCUUUGCAGCCUCAGGCUCUUUGCUGAUGGCUUGGAGCCUGGAGCCUGCUUCACAUUCUGUGUCUCCCUCAAGCUCUGCCCCUCCCCCACUUGUGCUCUGUCUCUUUCUGUCUCUCAAAAAUAAAUAAAUGUAAAAAAAAAAAAAUGCUAAUAUAACUAAGCAGUCUUAAAAACAAUGAAGGUCCUGGUUCUCAAUGGAAAAGGACCACAACCUACCACUUAAAUUCACUUUAUAUUUGUUUUGUCUUCCUGCAAUGAUGUUUUUAUUGGCAAAGUUACUUUAUUAUUUUUUUUUUUAAUUUAAAAACAUGGCAUGUCUUCGGGUAUUUUAUUAUUUAGAUGUUUCACACCCUUUUGUUUUGUUAUGCGGUGUGACAGUGUGACAAACCUAAAAACUAACUCCCCAGUGAGUGGAAAGUGCUAUCGUUUAUUUUUAGUAAGAAAGCUGUAUUGGUUCAUAUAGCUGCUUUCCCAGCUGAAAUAACACAGCAGAUUGGUGCUGUUUGAACACUGUUAAUUGCUAAAAGUUCUUAAACUAGUAAAUAGGCCUGAUUAGCUGGAAUCCAAACAGCAACCCAAACAGACCAGACCACUUUUGAUAAGAUAAACACUCUACUAACCUUAAACAUUCCCUCCUGAUUAUCUUCCUGUGGUAUGAAAUGUUAAACUAAAAAUAUUUUUAUUUUUCCUAUUUAGAGAGACAUCAGGGAAAAAUUGUUUGCGAUAUUUAAAACCAAGUUAAAGGUCAUUAUGUCCAGUGUAUGAUUUAGUAGAUAAUUAUCAGCAAUGCUGUUACUAAAUCAUUACCCUAGGAGAGUUGAACAGUAAAGGUGGACUAGUUUGUAACAGAAAGUCCUGAUAUAGAAGAUCACAUUGUACUUUGUCAUUUCUGUUUGGGCAACUACAAACAAACAGUAGUAACUGCAACAAGAGAACAAGGAGCUUUUAAUAAAUAAAAUGUAAUAGAAGUUCAUUAGGCAUCUUAAAUCUCAUAACUGGAAAGUUUUCUAGAAUAAAACUCCACUUUUGCUCAGCAUUUGAAAUAUUCAUUGGAAAUACAACUCUAAAAUUCCUUUCACCUUCCAGGUUCUAGAGCAUUCAUAUUAAAAUUAAGUUUGCUUGAGGCAUUUUAUUUAAUAUUUUUUUUAAAUAUUUAUUUAUGUUUAAGAGGCAGAGAGGCAGAGUACAAUUGGGGAAGGGCAGAGAGAGAGAGAGAGAGAGGGAGAUACAAAAUCCAAAGUAGGCUCCAGGCUCUGAGGUAUCAGUACAGAGCCCGAUGUGGGACUUGAACCCACCAGCUGUGAGAUCAUGACCUGAGCAGAAGUCAGAUGCUUAACCGACUGAGCCACCCAGGCGCCCCAGCAUUUUAUUUAAUAAUUUAAAAACUAUUUUAGUGAAAUAUUGCUGAUGUGAACCGGCACAUUUCCUUAGCCUUAGAAAUAGAGACUGGAACAAAACAAAAAUUUCCUUACCAAUGAAGUAUAGAGGGUGAGCCAGUUUUCUAAAUUUUCCAGCUCAGAAAUUCAAAAAUAAGGUAAACUUUUAUAAGAUUAAUAACAAUCUUAUUGUUUUCUUGGCUCACUAUUGAAAAAUAGCAAGUAGGAAAAAGAAAAAGAAAACAUCUAUAGUUCCACUAACCAUCAUUAAGUAUUGGGUAUAUUAACUUCUAGUCUUUUGUUCUAUACUUUAAAAAAAAUUAGAGUUGAGCUCAUAUAGCAUAUACAUUUGCUUAAUAUUAUGGUGUUAUUAAAGCUUGUGGCUAUGGAAGUAUAAUAAUUUCUUAUUGGAUAUUUAAGUAGUAUCAAAUUAUUUCAUAUUAUAAACAAUGCUGUGGUGGAAAUAUUUGUGCAUAAGGGUUACUCUUCCCUCUGACUCUAUUUAGCAUUAUUUCCAUAGGAUAGAGUCUCAAAAGUGAGAAUACACUAGGUCAAAGUUAUGAAUAAUUUUAAGGCUCAUAUACAUUUGCUUUCCAGAAGAGUUAAUUAAAACUAUAUUACCAUUAAAGAUAUAUUACUGUAUAGAAUUAUGCCUACUUUACAGCAUCGUGGAUAGCAAUGAACAAUUUUACUAUGAUUUUAAUAUGAUUCUCUCGUGUUUGUAUCUUUUAGAGUUUGAAAUUAUAACCAAAUAGGAGGUCAUAAUUUUGUAUAGUCAAAUUCAUUUGGCACAAAGAAAUACUCUGUUUCAAGAUUAUAGACCAUAUGGCUGCUAAUUGUUGGUGAACUUUAAGAUUUCAGGUUGGCUUAGCGCAGAUGGUGAUUUAGAUUCUAGUCUGAUGGUAUUUUAAAAAUAAUAGUAAAAAUUAUUUUUCCCUGUCUACCUUAAAAAGUAUCUGAGGCACUAGUAUAUUUUGCUUUUAGUGGCUGAAUUAGAUCUUAUUAAACUAGCUUUUUCCAGGUAAUAACUAUAUACUCUGGAACAUGUGAAUAAUAAUAAUAAAAAGUAGGUACUUGAAGUGGCAGGAGAAUGGACAGAGGCAGACAGAUCUUGGUGAGAAAUCCAUGCUUGGAGGAGGUGAAGGAGAUUAAAGGAGACUUAAAUAAGUAGAAAGACAAACAAUAUUUAUAGGUUGGAAAACUGUAAGUUGGUAAGAUGGCAAUUCUUCCAGAAUUGAUACAUAGAGUCAUUACAAUCCUGGUCAAGAUCCUAGCCAGCUUUUAAAGUUUUUAUUUUCAUUAUUUUUAUUUAUUUUUUAUUUUUUGAGAAAGGCAGAGAGAGAGGGAGAAUCUCAAACAAGGUCUGUGCUGACAGCGCAGAGCUAGAUGCAGGGCUCAAAUUCACAAAACUGAGAUCAUGACCUGAGCUGAAAUCAAGAGUUGGGCGCUUAACCAACUGAGCCACCCAGGCACCCCCCUUUUUAAAAGUUUUUACUUACUUACUAUUUAUUUUUAGAGAACUAACCGGCUUUUAAAAAAGGAAAUUGACUUCAAGGUUAACCUUAUUAGUGAUUCCAUGUAGAUAGCAGGUAUCUCCUGACAUUAUGUAGUGAGAAGUAUAUUUAACCUCUGGGGCAUUCUUUCUGAAAACCCAUGAGUACAGCCUAAUCAUGAGAAAAACAUCACAUAAACCAAAUUAGGGGACAUUUUACAAAAUAACUGACCAGUACUCCUCAAGACCAUUAAAGUCAUGCAUGAAAAGCAAAGAAAGUCUAAGCGCUAUCAUAGUCUAGAGGAGAGAGAGAAGACAUGAUGGUUAAAUGCAAUAUAGUAUUCUAGACUGGGUCCUGGAAGAAAAAACUGGUGAAAUCCAACUUAAAUCAUCUGUUUAAUUAAUAGCAAUGUACCAAUGUUGGUUUCUUAGUUUAGAGAGAUGUACCACAAUAAUGUACAAUGGUAACAUUAGGGGAAACAGAAACUAAGUGAGCAGUAUAUGAGGACUCUCUUUGCAUGUUUUCUGCAAAUCUAAAGUGAUUCCAAAAUAAAACGUUUAUUAAAGUGGGAUUCCUGGGUGGUCCAGUCAGUUAAGGGUCUCACUUGAUUUUGACUCAGGUCAUGAUCUCAUAGUUUGUGAGUUUGAGCCCUGCAUCUGGCUCUGUGCUGACAGCAGAGCCUCCUUGGGAUUCUCUUUCCUCUCUCUUUGCCACUUACCCCGCUCAUGCUCUCUCUCUCAUUCUCAAAAUUAAAUAAACUUAAAAAAAAGUUUUUUAAAGAAAAAAUAAAUUGACAAGCUUAUUCUAAAAAGUAUGGAAAAGCAGGGAACCUAGAAUGGCCAAAAUAAUUUUGAAAAAGAAUAAAGUAUUUAUAGUACCUAAUUUUAAGACUUAUUAUAAACCUACAAUAAUCAGGAGUGUGUGGUAUUGGCUUAGGGUAGACAUAUAGAAAUGGAACAUAAUAGAGAGCUUAGAAUAUAUCCCAAUUUAUAAUGAUUUUCAAAUUAAGUGCCCAGGUGAAAGGCACUUAGGCACUAAAGGAUAGUCUUUUCCACAAAGGUGCUAAAACAACUGAAUAUCUCUAUGGAAAAAAAAAUGAACUUUGAUCCUUACCUCACCCUUAUAUAGAAAUUAACUUGAUAUGGACUAUAGACCCAAAUUUAAGAGUUUAAAGCUAUAAAACUCCUACCAAAAAAAAAAAAAUUUUUUUGUGGCAUUAGUUUAGGCCAGUGGUUCUCAACUGAGGGCAAUUUGAUUCUUCAAGGGACAUUUGGCAUUGUCUGGAGAUGUUUUUGAUUACCACAACUGGAGUGGGGUGAGGAACAUGCUGUUGGUAUCUAAGUAGAGUCCAGGCAUGCAAAUGAAUAUUCUACAAUGCACAGGAUGGCUCCCUACAACAAAAAAAUUACCAAGUUCAAAAUAUCAAUAGUACAGAGUUUGAGAAAGCUUAGGUUAAUCAAAGCUUUCUUAAAUAGAUAUAGAAAUCAUUAAUCAUAAAAGAAAACUAAAUAAAUGCUGAAAUAAAAAUAAAUGCAAAUUAUAAGUAAAAAUUAAAACUUUUGCUCUGCAAAAGAUACAGUUAAGAAAAUGAAAAGGCACUACAGGAUGAGAGAAGGUAUUUGUAAAACAUGUAUCUGACAAAAGGCUCAGAUUCAGAAUAUAAAGAUAACUCUUAUGACCAAUAAUAAGAAAACAAACAACCUAAUAAGAACUAGGCAAAGGAUUUGAACAGAUAAUUUAAGAAAGAGAGUAUAGGGGCACUUGGGUGGCUCAGUCGGUUAAGUGUCCAAUUCUUGGUUUUGACUCAGGUCAUGAUCUCACAGUUUGUGGGUUUGAGUCCUGUGUUGGGCUCUGCAACUGGCAGCUCGGAGCCUGCUUGGGAUUCUUUCUCUCUCCCCCUCUCUCUGCCCCUCCCCUGCUCACAUGGUCUCUGUCUUUCUCAAAAUAAAUAAAUUAGUUAAAAAAAAAGAGCAUAUAAAUAUGGCCAAUAAGCACACAAAAAGAUGCUCAAUGUUACUAUUCAUCAGGGAAAUGCAAAUUAAAAUCAUAAUGAGAUACCACAACACACUCAUUAGAAAGGCUAAGGUUAAACAGCCUGGCAACAAGUGCUGACAGAGAUGUGGAGCAACAGGAACUCUCAUACAUUGUAGGUGGAAUUGCAAAAUGGUUCAGUUCUACUCUGGAAGACAAAUUGGCUCUGUCUUAGGCAGUAAGCAUAUACUUACCAUAGGACCCAGCAUUGCUGCUUUGUAGGUAUUUAUCCAAGAGAAACGAAAAUAUAUGUUCAUACAAAGGCUUGUAUGUGAUUAUUUAUAGCCACAUUAUUCAUAGUAUCCUCAAAUGAAAUGAUCCAAUUAUUCAUCAACUGGUUAAUGGAUAAAGAUUGUGUCAUGAUAUCCCUGGUAGUGAUAUAACCAUACCAUGAAAUUCUAAUGGGCAAUAAAAAAGGAACAAAAUACUGAUACAAAACAGCAUGGAAGAAUUUUAAAAACCUUACGCUAAGUGAAAGAAGUCACAAAAUUAUAUUCUGUAUGAUUCUAUUCAUAUGAAAUUCUAGGAAAGGUAAAACUAUAGUAACAGAAAGUAGACCACUAGUUGCUUGAGGCUGAGAGAGGAUCAGCUGAAAAGAGGAAAUUUUUUAGGGUGAUAAGAAAUAUUCUCUAACUUAAUUGUGGUGAUGGCUACAUAAUUACAUACAGUUAUGAAAACUUAUCAAACUACAUAUAAGGUGAGUGACUUUUAUUUUAAAUUCGACCAAUAGGAAUAUAAAUUAAAAAAAAGAAUUUGAGGCUUUGAAAUUAACAAGACACUAUCAAAAGAAUAUGAACCAAAUAAUAAAGGAAAAAAAUUAUAUGUAAAAACCAGCUCAUAGUAAUUAUUGCAGUUGAGCACCAAUCUAUCUUUAAAGUUCUUGGUAGAUAAUACAAAAAUGAAAACUUCAUGUGCUCUAUACUUUUUAUUGUGUCAUAAGUGGAAGAGUAUUGGCCUGUCUGAAGACUACACUCUUUUUUACAAUCAGGAAAGAAUAAUUAUUUGUGAAAAUCUUAACAUCAGAACACUGAAUACCACACUGGACGAUAUUUUCUAAAGGACUAAAGAAGUUGAAAAUAUUCUUUAUAUUGUUGACUCUUACACUGACCAUGAAUAAACCAUUUUUAUUAGGAGGCAGGGCCUUGGGGAGUAAUUAGGUCAUGAGGGCUCCAUGGAAUUAGUGCCUUUAUAAAAGAGACCACAGAGAGAUCCCUCAGCCAUGUGAGGAAACAGCAAAAAGACAUAGUCUAUGUACCAUGAAGUGCACUCUCAUCAGACACAGAAUCUACUGGUGCUUUGAUCUUGGACCUGUCAGCUUUCAGACUGUGACAAAUAAAAUUUUUGUUGUUUAUAAGCCACUCAGUUUAUGGUUUUUGUGUUAUAGCAGCUGGAACAAGUAAGGUAACCUAAUUUCUAUGCAUGACCCAGCUCUGGUCAAUGAGAUGAUUGCUUACCCCUGCCCCCCUGGCCACAGUAAGAAGCAGUAUGGCAGAAUGGUUAAAAGACUAGGUUCUGGAGAUGGACUGUGUAGUAGGAAUAUGAUAUCAUAGCAGCUUAAUAUGCGUUGGCCAUCCAUUACAUGUUUUGAUAGUUUCCUGCAUUGUGCAUUUUACUUCCGGAAGGUAGUUAUAAACAAAAACAAAAACUUAGUUUUCCCAGUCUCCCUUGUAGCUAAUGUUUAGAUAUGUGACCUAAGUAUUACCAAUUUGAUAGCUAAGGAAGACCUUGCCUUAGAGGUGAGCUGUGGAAGGAAACAAGCUAGUCACAACACAUCAUUUUGCUGGCUGUGGAGUGGAUGGCAGAAGCCAAACCUUUUUAGGAUCAGUUGUAGCUCCAAUUUCAUUCAUCCAGUUCUUGAGUGUGGUACUGACAGAAUCCUAAGACAAAACCUCCAAACUGGCUGGCCCAGCUUAAAGCUGUAGCCUUAAGGUCCAGCUCAAACAAUUUUUCUUGACUCUAGUGGGUCAGUCUCAUCCUCUUUUUCUCCUUAUUUUAACAGUGAUAGUUAAUUUUAUAAUAUUUAUAAUUUUAUAGUAGCUUUUUUGGAGACCUUAUUCUAAAAGCUCAUGUACAAAUUAGCAGUACUGAGACUAUUUAUAUAAGAGGAUUCUGGCACAUAAUCACCACUGAAUCUAAUGGAGACAUCUACUUUUCUACUGUAUUACACUUGUUUGUGAUAUGAGUGAGUUUCUGGGGGAUUUAGCAUAGCAAUGAUUUACUUAAACUUCAGUGUAUGUUAACAGUCACAGGUAGAGCUUGUUAAGAUGUGUAUUUCUCUACCCACAGAGAUUCUGAUUCAUUUGGUUUGAUGAGGAGCACAGCAGUCUGCAUUUGAAUGUCUUUUUAGGUGAUUCAGAUGCAAGUGGUCCACAGACCAUAUUUUUAUAGACAUUGGACUAUAGUUGAACUCCUUACACAUUUUUUUUUAAUCUGUAUUUACCCUCAUUCAUCAACAUUAGCUCAGUGCCUGACUCAUGGUAUUCUGUAAGUAUUUGCUUAAUGGCUGAUUUUUUUUAUUGUAUGAUGAAUAAUAAAGGACAUGGAUAUUGAAAACAGUUGCACUUUACAUAUAUAUGUAGCUCAAAAUCUCAGAAUGCUUUGGAACUAAAGAAGCAAAUUGAAUAAUAUUUUUCCGCACAGUGAUUCAAUAGGUUCUCUAACAGUCACACUACUGGUUCAGUGGGUUUCCCACUAAAUCCAGGAUUUGUUUUUAAUGCAUAGUCAAAUAUAAGGUUCUACAUACUAAUUUUUGACUCAUGUAUUUAUCAGGGGCAAUUGUACCCAUAUGUCUGAUAUGUUUAUUGCUAAACAAGAUGUCUUCUUCCAGAGCUUGAAUGCUUUAGUUCUAGAAGGACUUUCCCUCCUACUGCUCUUCUAGCCCUCCCCUCUCUGACAGUAUCUGAGGGUAUCAAGAGAAAAGUUUGAGAAAAACAGCAUUUGUGAAAUCGUACCUUCUAAGACCCAAUUAUGUAUUGAUGAUGAUGUGGAGAUAAUCACAGGGCUCAGAUGUAAGCUCAUUUAUUUCUUCAGCUUUGGCUCUUUGCCUGCCUGAGUUUGAGUAGUUAGGCAUGAUAACAGAGCCAACAGCAGGUGAACAUGGUUUGAGGAGAGAAGAGAAAGAUCAGGAACAAAGACCUGAAGCUGAAAUCUCUCAGGAUGGGUAUACUCACCACUGGCCCUGAUCCCCACAGAAGCCUUGUAGUGCUUAUUUCUACUUAUAGGGAUUCUGUUAUGCCUUGUCUCCUUUGGAUGGCCCCUCUUAUACAAAGUCUUGUUUGGUUUUCCCCCAUCUGCAUUCAGCAAGAUCUGGCCAGGAACCUCUAUUUUGUAGUUAUUUCUGUGAAUCCUCUAUCUCUUCUGUCAGACUGUUAGCAUCCUGAUGGCAAGGUAACUGGACUGAAUAAGGACUCCAUAAAAGUGUGAAUGAGCUGUUGGCAAAGAGCCCUGUUUUCCUGCUGUGAAUGGAAGGACUGGGACGAACAUGCUAAAAUGUACUGAGAGGUUUUGAGAGAGUAUUUGUUAGAGGGAGGAGUUGGGAGUGGGAGAGAGGGUAAGAAUUUUAAAGAUAAGGGAGUAGAAAGUUUCUCUCUCUCUCUCUCUCUCACCCCUUCCCCUGCACUCACCCAUGCUUUCUCUCUCUCUCUCUCUCAAGAUAAAUAAACAUUAAUAAAAAUUAAUAAAAACAAAAAUAAAUUGGGUUGUCUUUUUAUUAUUGAGUUGUAAGAGUUAUUUGUAUAUUUUGGAUAUAAAUUCUUAAUCAGAUACCUGUUUUGCAAAUAUUUUCUCAUAGUCUGUUGCUUGCCUUUUUUAUUUUAUUAAAGUUGUCUUGUGUAGCACAGAAAUUUUAAAGUUUGAUAAGGUCCAAUUUAUCAAUUUUUUCUUUUAUGGAAUAUGUUUUUGGUGUCAUAUCUAAAAAAAUUUUCCCUUACUUAAGGUCUCAGAGAUUUCCUCCUAUAUUUUCUUGCUUUUUAACUCUUACAUUUAAAUCUUUGAUCCAUUGAGUUAAUUUUUAUAUAUGGUGUGAGGUGAGGGUCUAAGUUCAUCACUGGGCAUAUGGAUAGCUAGUUGUCCUCACUUAAAGAUUUUAUUUUAUUUUUUGUUGGGGGGAGAGCUGGGGUGGGGGGAAGGCAGAGGGAGAGGGAGAGGGAGAGAGAGAAUCCCAAGCAGGCUCCAUGCUCAGCAUGAAGCCCAACAAGAGGCUUGAUCUCAUGACGAUGAGAUCAUGACCUGAGCCAAAAUCAAGAGUCAGAGGCUUAACUGAUUGAGCCACCUAGGUGCCCCCUCACUUGUCUUAUAAACUGACCUCUAUUGAGUGCUUGGUUUUAGGGUAGGCACUGGUGAUACAAAAUGAAUUAUAUAAUUUCCAAUUCCAAGUCAAGUGUAGGGAGGAGUGUAACAUAGUCAAGGAGUGUAGAAUGGAGGAACACACCAACUGAAGAUCUGGUGACUUCUGAGAUAAAAUCAAGGAGGUGGUGUCCUCAGAGAAAAGACCUAUACAUAUUAGCCUAAUAUAGUGUAAUGAUUUCAUCAUCUUUGGUCUCUUAACACACUAGUUUGUUGCCAUCUGUUUUAAGGUUUAUUUCUAAAAACUUAUGAUUAAUAAAGACUUUAAAUCCAUUUUUUAAAAACACUUGAUAUUCUUAGAAUGGAGGGUAUAGUGCUACCUUAGAAUUCAUCAUAUCUCAGGUUAUACCCUGAAAACAUGUCUCCCAUGUGGACAUUAUUUUAGACAAAUGCUUGAAAACUCUGGUUUGGUGGAUGAACAUUAGAUUAGGAAUCAAGAGACUUACUCUGGGACUAAAUGGCUUUAUGUUUUUGGAACAUCACCUAACUUCUGAGACCUUCAAUUUGCUCCCAGUUUAAAAUGGCAGUUCAUUUUCAAGCUCUUUACUUUGGAAUGUUCUAUUUGUUCAUUUAGUCAGCAUUUAUUGAGUACUCAUUUUGUGCCAGGCAUUGUGAGGCACUAUUAAGAAAAGGUAAGACAAAGGAGUCAGAUGCUUUUAUAGAGAGAGAUGAGAAAACAAAUCAUUAAAAGAUAAUAUGUUCCACAAUUUAUGUUAGUUCUACAAUUCCCCUGGUCUAGAAAUGCAUAGCUCUUCUGACCAGGGAGUUAACUGGGGAAGACAAAGAAAAAGGAGAAUUACUCCAAAGAUCAGCUUUUACAAAGUGCUAUGCAGGAGAGAAUUCACAUGUUAGACAUGUGACAGAGGACUUCCAGCCUAUACAGCUGCAGCCUACCUUUGUACAAUGGGAUUUCUUCAUGUUGUGGUAAAAAAGGUAUACUUACUUCCUUAAGAAUAGUAAUGGGGAAAGGUAUAUAACUUGGCAGACAUUGGGUAUAUAAUUCAUUUUAUUGUAUUUAAGAUUAUAAUGGAUUUUUUUUUUUACAUUUCAGGUUUUCCUAAAAAGCAAAACUAUAGUAUGACAUUUUGUUAAGAAGUAUGUUUUUAAUGUAUUGCAAGAACAUGAAUGUGAUAUAAAUCAACUAUAAACCAUGCCCCUGUUUUUAAGACUUUCUUUCAGGUUCUGAGUUAUAUUCUCUAAUACAUUUCCUGAAGUUUCUUUUAGAACUACAUAACCUUCAGACUUGAACCUAAUCUAAUAGUCUUUUGUGUAAUGUACAGACAGGAAACCUCUGAUCUGAAACAUUUUUCAGACUGUGGGUGCUGUGCUUGGCUUGAGUUUACCCUGAAAUUCUCCCCUGUUUACUUCCACACACAUGUAUAUUUUCUCUUUUUGACAGUAGAUAGUCUGGGGCUGCUUGUAUGUGAGUAGGGGAAUGGUUUGCAAAGUUAUAAAAAAAUUAAGCUAACAUUCCAUUCCAUUCAUAUAGCUUUAUAGUCUUGGCAGAUGUACCAUUUAGGGGCAACCAUAGUUCAAGUGUACUUAGGUAAGCUUUAACCAUACAUUGUGUUUUGAAAAGGCCUUGUCUUGGUCUAUUAGUCAGGAUGCUUGGUUGCAACAGAUGGAAAUUCAACUCAAAUUUACUCAAGCAAGAAACAGAAUUCGUUGUCUCUCUUAAGUGGAAGUGUCAGUGUGGAACUGGCCUUAGCACAGCUGAGUCUAGGGACUCAACAGAAUUCUUGGCUCUCUUGAUUUUUCUCACUCAAUUCAGCAUUCUUCUAGGUAUCGACAUUAUUCUAUAGCAGAUUUUGUGUGUAUGGUAGUCAGUGAUGACCACUGGCACCUCCAGACUCCUCUGUUCUUUUUAAGUCAGAGGAAGAGAGAUUCUUUGGUGUCCAUAUAUUACCUUUCAUCAUGGGACUCUGAUUGGUCCUGCUUGGGUCAUAUGUUCAUCCCCUUGUACUAAUCUGUGAACAGUGGAAGGUACAGUAAAACCUUGGUUUGUGAGCAUAAUUCGUUCUGGAAACAUGCUUGUAAUCCAAAGCAUUUGUAUAUCAAAGCAAAUUUCCCCAUAAGAAAUAAUGGAAACUAAGAUGAUUCAUUCCACAACCCAAAAAUAUUCAGAUAAAAAUGAUUACAAUAUUGUAAUAUAAUACAAGAUAAUAAAGAAAAUAUAAAAUAUAAAGAAAAAUAAACAAACGAACUGGCACUAACCUUUGAAAAUCUUCAUGGCUGGUGUGAGAGAGACCAGACAGAAGAGGGUUAUUUUGUAGGAGGACUUUUACUAUCGCUAACAGGAUCACUGCUAUCUAUUGGCUCAAUGGAAUAUUUUUCUUUUUGUUCAGCUUUAACAAGGAACCUAUCCAAUGACACUUACUUUUGCCUCCUUUUGAGGAUUUCGUGGAAAUGGCAUUGCAUUGCUUUAAACAGAUUCGUCGCUCGCACUGCUAUCACCUUAUUCAGGUGGUGCUUUUUUACAUAAUUUUGCACUGUUUCCCACAUUUUACACAUCUCCCUAAUCUCAUUUGAAGUGAAGGAUUCUUCCACCUUUUUAUCCUCCUCCUCCUCUACAGAUGAGAUGCUGACGUAGACUUCUCAUAAAAUCUUGCAAUUUCGGCCACUCACAUACCUUGUUUAUACUUCUUGAUGAUUUCCUUCUUAACUUCCACCAUAAUCAUCUUCUUCCUAUUGCCUUUCUUUUCAACCUUUUUCUGCAUAGGGCCAUUGUAUAUACUCACAUGGAUGUUGACUACAGUACAGUAUUAAUGAAGUCUUAUCAUAUACUGUAUUUAAUAUAACUGGCAAUAAGGCAGCAGAGAAGAGAGUCUAUCUACAUCUGCAGGCAGCCUGCCUAGAAUGAAGCAAAGUAUUCCUAAGCUUCCUCUUAUAUGGAAAAGCAAAGGACUGUCCAUAGGUGCUUUGAAAUGAUAAAAAAUACAGUAGUGUCAGUGGUGAGCACCUUCCAAUGUUCUGAAAAGUCACUGAUUUCUGCCAAACAUGGCAGCCUGAGACCAAGCAUUUGAGCAUAGGAGAUGAUCACCAUGAUCCUGCAGUGAGAGAGAACUGUUGACUGACUUGUGAUCAUGUGAUUUGGUGUCACGUACUACUCAUAUUGCAAGACAUCACUCAUUUAUCAAGUUAAAAUUUAUUAGAAAUGUUUGCUCAUCUUGUGGAACACUUGCAGAACAAGUUACUUUCAGUCAAGGUUUUACUGUAUAAAGAAUGACUAGCCCAGGAGCUGUCCCAGCUCAUGAAGCCAGGUCAGAGUAAAGCCCUCUGAUUAAUAAAUUCUCCAGAUCCACACGGGGUGAAAGAGGAGCAGGUCCCUAGUGGAUGCCAGGAAGACACAAACAACAGAUGUCCACUACAUUUGGUAAGGUGUUACUAAGCACUCUUAAGUGAGAGGAGCACUGGCUUUCCAAAAACACAUAGCUGCUGCUAAUUGUAUUGCAACAUGUAUUUAUCUACGAAACCAUCUCGAAUAUUCUAGAGAUCUAUUCAACUCAUUCUUUCUUGUUCUUACUUAUGGUUAUAAAAUGUCUUUUUACUGAAUUGACAGCAUCAAUUCUUAAAAUUAAUUUUCAAAUCUUACCAAGUUUUUGUAAAUAUUCCCAUUGUAAUUGCUUGCAAAAACUGUGUUUAGUUCAUAAUAAAAAUCACAAGUAUAUUAGUUGAGAGAGAUUAUUUAAGAAGUGGUAGUUCUCAGAUAAUUCGAUGUGUUGAUGGCAUUUGAUUACCUGGAAUUAAACAAAAUUAUUUGGAUGGAAUUGGUUUCAAAUCCUUACUUAAAGACUAGAAAAGAGUUUUUAAGUGACCACAGUUAUAAGUUUCCAGUAAACCACAUUUCCUUUCCUUUUAAUUCUCAGAUCUUGACCCUGAUUAGCUUUCUGAUAAGGGAAAAUUCCAAAACACAUAUGAAGGAGAGAAUUACAUUGAGACAUUUUAAAUAGCAAGUCCAAAUACAGUAAUCUUUUUUUUUUCUUUCUCAUAUUCACAAAUUAGGACACCUCUAGCUUUUAAAAUAGAGUAAGAAAAAGGGGUGGCAUACAUACAGAGCAAACCAACAUUUAAAUAUAGCACAUUAGACUUCUUUGCAUAUCAAAGAUGAGUAAUGAAAUGUAAGUUGAUUUUGGUUUUAGAAAACGUUCUGGAUGUUGGCUGCUCAUGCUGUGUUGCCAUGCUCUAGAGCUUUAUGGGGCCUGUAUCACAGGAUGAAAGAUGAGGUGAAAUCAAAUCAAAAAAGCCCUGCUAUAUUGUUAUCAUUCAACCUUUUUUGGACUAUGUCCAGUGUAGAUACAUUAUAUACAGAAUUCCUAUAUAUAUGCUUAAUUUUAGUAAGUACAUAUCUUGUUCUUUGAGUCUACAGUUCAUAAAAUUAGAAGCAUUAUGUGAAUGACUGGUUCCUAGGAAAUACACACUGAAAUAUGUAGUGGUAAAAGGCAUGAUGUCUCCCACUAACUGUCAAGUGGUUUAAACAGCAGCAAUAAUCACAUGAUGUUCUUUUAUAUAAAUGUUUCAUUGUUUAUCCAGCCAGUCCUAUCUGGGUAAUUAUAUGUGGAGGGAGAUGAGAAAACUGGAUAACUUCAACUCAGGCAAUUGCAUUUUCUUUAAGUAGUUUUAUUAUUUGGUUUGAAAUGUUAUACCUUCCAAAGUAUUAGGCCAUAUUCCCAAGUCAUUAUAUAGGCCAUUAGAGUUUAUAAUUGAGUUGACUAUAUACUUAAAAUAUUACUUCCAAGGACUUCCAGUGAAAUGUGGGAAUUGAGUCAUGAGUAGAUGAGAGAUUCAACACCAUUUUAGCAGAUAAAAAGCAAAGACUAAGAUGCUAAAAUAUGUAACUCCAGUUUGAAAGACCCACUGAGUGCACAAUGAAUGAAAAGAGACACUUGUAAAGGAAGCCUUCAUAAAAUUCAACACCCUAAGGGGCACCUGGAUGGCUCAGUCGUUGAGCAUCUGACUUUGGCUCGGGUCAUGAUCUUGUGGUUUGUGAGUUCAAGGCCCGCAUCAGGCUCUGCAUUGACAGCUAAGAGCUUGAAGCCCGCUUCGGAUUCUGUGUCUCCCUCUCUCUCUGCCCUUCCCACACUCAUGCUCUGUCUCUCUCUGUCUCUCAAAAAACAAAUGUUAAAAAAAUUUUUAAAAAUUUCAGCACCCUAGAAUUAAAAAGAAAAUGCUGGAAGGCCACGUCACGUACAAUAGCUAAUAGAAUGGCACAGUACAUCUCAGCAGAAAUUUUGGAGGAUAGAAAGCAGUAAAGCAAUGCCACUAAAACUCUGAGAAAAACUGGUUUUCAACCUAGAAUUGUAGAUUCAGCCAAUAAAUCAUGAGGGUAGAAUAGAGACAGUUUUAGGUAAAUAAAAUUUAUAAGAAUUACCUCCUUUAAGUUUUUCUUAGGAAGUGACUAGAAGAUCUAUUCCAACAAAAUGAAGGUGCAACCCAAGAAAAACAAAAAAAAGUCCCAAGGCCCGAGGACCAGGGUAUCCAACACAGGAAAUUGGUGAAAGAAAUUUCAGCUUUGCAUUGAGCCUAGAGAGCCACAAGUAGCUGACUGUAGCAAGAGGAUGGAAGUUCCAUAAUGGAAAUAAGGGGGAAGAAAUGACGUGGAUGGAUUAUUUGAUUACAUUAGACUGCUGAGCAAUUAAUGUUGAUGGGUAUGUGAUCAAUAUGAUGGAGCAUUCGGAAAAAAAAUUAUCAAAAUUUCUAAUAUUGCUAGUUUAAGGAAUUUAGUUAUAAAUAUAUUAUUUAGAAGCACAGAGUUUAAAUAACUAGAAGAAAUAGUUAAACAGAUAAAAAUGGUUACUUACAGGGAAGAAUGCAGCUAGGACUGAUGAAUGAUUAUCAGCUUUUUAGUACUAUUUGAUCACACUAUCCAGUAUAUCAGUUAUGUUGAUUAAAAAUAAUAAUCAAGUGGAAAUAGAAGUAGUUCAAACUGAAAUAAACUAAAGGUAUUAAUAAUAGGAGUAACUGGGUGUAGGGCAUAUGGGAACUCAUCUUUACAAUUUUUCUGUAAAUCUAAAACUGUUACUCUAAAAACUAAAGUCUUAAAAAUUGAACUGCAGAAGCAGGAAAGAUGAAAGAAAGAAAGUACACUAUAAUGCAUACUAUAUAAUAUACUAGCUAUAGUAUAAAAUUAAUAAACAUCAAAUAUACAAAAAAUAAAAUCAAUUUCAUUGCUUAUUUUCAAAACAAGGUAUUAAAAAUAAAAUAUUGCAUUUUUGUUAAUAAAUCUUAUCUAUACAUAUUUGUCCUAUAUUUUGAAUAUUCACCAUUACCAGUCAAUUUACUCUUUUUCAUGGCAACUUAUAACUUAAAAAAAUUUUUUUUUAAGUUUAUUUAUUUCAGGGCACCUGGGUGGCUUAGUCGGUUGGGCGGCCGACUUCAGCUCAGGUCAUGACCUUGUGGUCCAUGAGUUUGAGCCCUGCAUCAGUCUCUAUGCUGACAGCUCAGAGCCUGGAGUCUGCUUUGGAUUCUGUGUACCCCCCUCUCUCUGCCCUUCCCCACUCAUGCUCUGUGUCUCUCUCUGUCUCUCAAAAAUAAAUAAAUGUUAAAAAAAAUUUUUAAGUUUAUUUAUUUAUUUUGAGAGAGUCCGAGACAGGGUGAGCAGGGUUGGGGUAGAGAGAGAGGGAGAGAUAAUCUCAAGCAGGCUCUGUGCUAUCAGUGCAGAGCCAGACGUGGGGCUCAAACUCACACAACUGUGAGAUCAUGACCUGAGCAUAAACCAAGAAUUGGACGAUUAACCAACUGAGCCACCCAGGCACCCCUUCAACUUACAAUUUUUUAUAUAAUGAAUGAAUACCCCUGUUUAACCUCUUCACCCCCGUUUAAGCAUCUUAAACCAGUAAGAGCAGACCACAUUAGAAGUUGGGCAGGACUAGUUAGGGCUUGGGUGGUCAAUGAGCAUAUCUGGCUAGGCCACAUCUCCAAAAUGUUGCACUAUUUAUUGUUGGGCAUUAUUGCACCCCAUUUUCAUCUCCAUCAAUCUGGCUAAAUGGUAGUUCAGUUUCAUAGGAAUUAAGUGACUUAUCUGCUGAUCUAGUGGUAGACUGAGACUUAGAAAUCAAGCCAUCUGAUGCCAGGGUUAGGGGUAUAACUUUACCCUGGGGCACCAAAGAUAGUGGCAUCUCCUAUUGCUGUCAUCAUAAUAGGCACUAAACAUGAAAGUGUAAACUCCAGGACAGUGAGAUUGACCCUGAAGCAAAACCAUGAUGGGCAUAUAGUGUUUGGAUGGAGGUCUUUAGCAUUGUUUAGUGCAGGUUUACUAAUCUCCUUCAUACUUCCUAUACUUUUAAAAUCCCUUUUAUAUGCUAAGAGCUAGACAUUGUAGGAAACUCCUCUCAUACUUGUUUUCUCUCUGUAGAUCCAGCAAAUGAAAAUGAAAGCACUGCAAUAGCUAAAUAUCUAAGCUAAAACAUAUUUUAAAAGCCCUAAUUGGUAUAAUAACCUAUAAUUUUCUUUUCUUUUUGGCAUCACCCAUUUUGUAUCUUGCAUUUCCAGUUUCCUUCAAUCACAUAAUUAUCAGAUAUUCUUGUGGAUUUUAAGAGGUGGUUUUGGUGUCAUAUUCUUCAAUUAAUUGACCAGUUUGCUUCCAUUAAGUGUAAUCUCUUGUGCUUUGACUUCCUGCCUAUGGGACAUUUGAGUUUAGUAGUACCUUUUGAGGCUUUUUUCCUGAUUCAUUGACUUUAAUACUCGUUCCUGGUCCAAGUGAGAUUUGUUGGAGGUGGUACAGAGAAUAUUCUUAUGUGUACUUGCAGAUUGAGCUUCUCUAAAAGUAAUGCUAUUUCUGAGUAUAAUAUUGGAUUGACUACCUUGGUUCUGUUGAUUUUCAUUAUGUGAAUAAUGGCCAGAUAAACCUCUUUUCUUUGGCUGUUCCACUGACUUUCGAACUUGGUUACAGAUCUCUUGCAUACUGCUUAGACAGAAUGUUUAUGACCCAUCAAAAUUGAUAUGUUGAAGCCCUACCUUCAUAUCAUUUGAUAUGAUACUAUCAUAUCAAAUAUGAUAGUAUUUGGAGGUGGGGCUUUGGGGAGAUAUUCAGGUUUAGAUGAAGUUAUACAUGUGGGGCUCCCAUGAUGGAAUUAAUAUCCUUAUGAAAAAAGAAAAAGGUACAAGAGCUCUUUCUCUGUCCAUGAACACACAGUUAGGAAAAGCCUCUGUCCAUGAAGACACAUUUCUCAGGCAGCUGUAUACAAGCCAGUAAGAGAGCACUCAAGAAAAAUAGAAUCUGCCGACACCUUGAUCUUAGACUUCUCAGCUUCCAGAACUGUGAGACAUAAAUACCUGUUGUUUAAGCCACAGAUCAGCCUAUGGCAGCAGCCUGGCUGUCUAAGACAUAGGCCUUUUCCAACUUCUCCAUUUUUUGGCUUCAAUAUAAAUAGGAUAGGGCAAUUAAACUUUAAUCAGUAUUGAGCAUAUGGAGGUGAUAAUUCUCCUAUUUCCUUCAGACCUAAUACCCUCUUAUUUUUCCUGGCAGCAUAUUUUAAAACCAAAUACAAAAAUAGAUUAUUUUUGGAGACGAUAUGUUGUAAGCAUUUUAUUUAUCCUUUCCUUUGGCCCUGCCCAGCAUUUUUUGUUAACAACCUAGAUGAGAACUGUAAUAUAAAGAUCUUAUUUUUCCUUUCUAUGGUAUCCUUUCUCCUACAACCUGAUGACAGUGCCUUUUUUUCCCUGGGAAGUUACCUUUCCCCAUUUUCACUCCUCAGUCCAUGUAAUUGAAGGAAGGCUUACUUCAUCCAUAGCUCCAGGAAUGAAUGUGAUAUUCAGAUGAGGAAAUAUAUCUCCUAACCACACUGAUUGGUUCUGAGAUGGACCUAUGACUCAUUUUAGGCAAAUGAGAGACAGGUUUAAGUCUUACUGAGAUCAUUGGGACAAAGGCUGAUUUCCAUAAAGAGGAAAAUGAUGCUGAGAGAGUGAGAGUACCCAGCUGAGCUUAUUUUUUACCUGGAUCCAGUUUGUAUCUGAAUAUCCCCUGGACUUUUUGAUCAUGUGAGCCAGUACAUUUCCUCUUUGGCUUAAGUCAGUUUUAAUUGAGUCCUUACUAACUGUAACUGAAAGAGUGCUAAAUAACAUGAUUACCAAAUUCACAGACAGUAAGAAGCUUGAAGAGAUAGAGAAUAUAUUAGAAUAUAUUACAGAGUCAAAAUCCAGAAAAAUCUUGGCUAAAAAGAAGAGCAACAACUAAUAAGAUAAAAUGUAGUAGUGAUAAAUGUAAAGUCCUAUAUUUGCUCCAAAUCAUCAGCUGGACAGAAUGAGGGUGAGGCUGACAUGGAUAAACAUGGAAAAGAUUUAGACAUUGUAGUGAAUUGGCUGCUCAGUCCCAAUUAUUGGUGUGAGGAGAUGGUCAAGAAUAUGCAUAGGCUGUUCCAUUAAACUAUUUACCUAUCAUUAUACCCAUGCCACACUGAACCAUAUUGUCUUUAAAGACUGUACCUAUACUGUAAGUCUCAAAAGUUAGGUGGUGUGACUCUGCCAGCUUUGUUCUCCUAAACUGUUAGCUAUUCUAUGCCCUUUGCAUUUCCAUAUAAAUUGUGUUUUCAUAUAUAUUUCCAUAUAUAUUGUGAGUUUCCCCAAAUUAAAAAGAAUUAAUUAAGAAUUGCAUAGCUUUUCAAACUAGUAGGACUAGUGAAUUAUAAAUUGUUUUUAAUGCCAUUGUCACUUGAACUGGUUAAAAAAAUAAUACUCAUUAUACUUUAACAGUCCUUUGGGAAAAUAAAUAUUAAAUUAUGCCAGGUCUUCAGAAAUGCAUACUUGGGGCGCCUGGGUGGCGCAGUCGGUUAAGCGUCCGACUUCAGCCAGGUCACGAUCUUGCGGUCCGUGAGUUCGAGCCCCACGUCGGGCUCUGGGCUGAUGGCUCAGAGCCUGGAGCCUGUUUCGGAUUCUGUGUCUCCCUCUCUCUCUGCCCCUCCCCCGUUCAUGCUCUGUCUCUCUCUGUCCCAAAAAUAAAUAAACGUUGAAAAAAAAAAAAAAAAAGAAAUGCAUACUUAAGAUGCAAAUACCUUGUGUUUUUCUCUUUAUAAACCAAUAAUGCAUAGUACAUUUAUGGAGAAAUACAUAAACUACUAACAGUAUUUUGCUCUGGGGGAAGGAUGGAUUGGGUGUCUGGUAAAGAACAGGGAUUUACUUUUUUAUACUCUUGAAAUCGUUUAAAUUAAAAAAAAUCUAAUAAAAUUUUCAAAAUAAAAAUUUAAUAUACACUAUUAUUAAUGUCUGUUUUAUAUCUAUCUCUAAAUAAUAAUUCCUUUGUAUGCAUGAAAUGUGUUCUGAUUUAUGAUUAUGGGUGCUGUUUGUAGUUAAUGUCACUGCAGUUUUCCCUCUUUAUUUCCUGGCUCACCCCAUCACCUGGACUCUAAGGAACUUUAAUCAAUCUAGCAGAUUCUGUAUUUAACAAAUUCUUUGAUAUACCACUUAAGAUUUUUAUGACUGUUUUUACUGUACUUUAUUUAUCCAGGCCUCGCUUGCCUAAUCUGUAAAAUGUGUUGGGCUAAAGUGUGGUCCAAAGUCUUUGCUGGUCCUGUGAGUUCAUAAGUUUGCCUUCCAUUCCAUCCCAUUCCAUUUCAUUCAUGAUCCAUGUGGACAGUGAUGACAUAAUCGUCAAGACGAGACAAGACACUCAUAGAGUGUUCAAGCUGCCCAAAAGUUUUGCCUGCUCUUUGCUACUCCUUAGACUUGUGAUUCAUAGUGCUCGUUUUAGAACAUUCAGGAUGUCUGUAGUUGCCAACAGGUGGGACAGAUUGAAUCAUUGACCUCUCUCUGCAUCUGCACUCCUGUCAUGGCUUCAUUGUGGGCAGAGCGUACUUCCUCAAUCUUUAACUUGCUUUGGCUAAUGACAUAUGGGCAGCAGUUGUGUCAUUUUUCAGCCUAAGACUUAAGAGGCCUUAUAUGCCUCCACUAGUCAUCUUGUGCUUCUGUUUCUGCUGGUUCAAGGAGAAUUAAAUACAUGGGGAGCAGACUUACAGAUCUGAGAAGCAGAGCCUCUAGAUGGAGUCCAGCUUGAAUCAGCUUAGCUGACCUGUAGAUCUUCAAAAAUAAAUACUUGUUAAGUCUUGGUGUUGUCUGUGACACAACAUUUUUGGGAUGCCUAAAUGAUACAACAGGUACCAUUGACUUCUAUCAAGAUGUAUUUUGAAAUAGAAAACACAUUCACAUGGCGCAAUAAUAAAAAUAUAAAAAGGCAUACAGUGAACUGUUUUGCUCCAUGCCCUGUUCCCUACUCACCUGGGUCCCAUCCAAUGUCCCACCACUGCAAGUUCCCCACUUUAUUGGUUUCUUUAGUAUCCUUCUCAAGUUUCUUUAUGUAAAUGCAGUUAGACAUGCAUAUAUAAUCUUGGCUCCCAUUCCUACCAUUUUAUACAGUUUUAUGCUUUGCUUUUUUCAUCUGAUAUAUCUUAGAUAUAUUUGUGUAUCUGUGUAUAGAAAGCUUCCUUAUUCCUUUUUACAGCUGUAUUGUAUAUCAUAAUAAAAGAGAAUACAGUCUCCUAUUGAUGGUCACUUGUUUUCUAUCUUUUACUGCAAUGUAAGUGUAUCUGUGGGAUAAAUUCUCAAGAAAAAGAUGUAUACAGAUGGAAUAGCUAAAGUGUCCUUCAUAGAGGAACAAAAAUAUUUGUAUUGGUAAGAGAUAUUGUAAAUAUCUAACAGCAUUUUCCUUUAAUCUGCAGGACCAGUAUAAUAUUUCACACAGGAAGCCAUCCCACUGACAUUCCAGGAGGACAUGAAGUGAUAUUUUCAGAUAGCUGAUGCCUAUAUACCAGGAAGUUCCCAGCAUUUUAUAGUUAUCAGCUUCUUAAAGCUCACAACAUUCUGUGAGGUACUGUCACUGCCCUCAUCUUAAAGACGAGGAGAUUGAUGUGGAGGUAAGCUGAGGGGCUUGCCUGAUUUCUUUAUUCAGUGGAAAGUAGUGAAGCUAGGAUUCUAACUCAUGUACACUUACCUAGGCUAAGACAGCUAAACCAUAACUUCUCUAAAAUUACUUUAAAAAUAAUAGUAUAAUGAAACUAAUAUUAGUAUAAUAUCCUAAAAUAUUUUUUCUGAAUGUCCUGUUUUGAUGAUAGCUUUCAUUAAUAUAUAAAUAUUAAUAUAUAUAAAUAAAUAUAAUAUAUAAAUAUAAAAUAUAUAAAUAUAUAAGUGAUAUAAAAUAAUUUAUGAUUUGUGUGUGUGUAUGUGUGUGUGUAUGUGUGUGUGUGUAUUUGUACCUAUGGGAAUCUGGUGAAUUUCCACUUAUAAACCUGAAGAUGUAUUAAGAUAUGUAAGAAAUCGUUAUCAACUGGACUCACUUUAUUUAUGUAUGUGUGUAUGUAUGUAUGUAUGUAUGUAUGUAUUUAUUUAUUUAUUUUAGUUUAUUUAUUGUGAGAGUGCACAUGCAUGUGAGUGGGGGAGAGGCAAAGAGAGAGAGAGAGGAGAGAGAAUUCCAAGCAGGCUCCAUACUGUCAGCAUAGGGCCCAAUGCCCGAUGUGGGCCUCAAACUCCUGAACCAUGAGAUCAUGACCUGAGCCAAAAUUAAGACACUUAACUGACUGAGCCACCCAGCGGCCCUGAUCUGGACUCACUUUAAAAAUUCAGUUAUAUGAUUUCUGGUUUUGAGUCUCACGUUGAGCUCUGUGCUGAUAGCUCAGAGCCUGGAAUGUGCUUUGGAUCCUGUGUCUCCCUCUCUCUUUGCCCCUGCCCCGCUCACACUCUGUCUCUAUCCCUCAAUAAUAAAUGUUAAAGAAAAAUUAAAAAAAUUCUGAAGUUAUAAUUAUUGGUUGCAUUUUUAGAAAAUGUGUUUUUUAAAAUAGGUUUUGGAAAAUGUGUAAAAGUGCCUGAAAUCUAAGUAGAUAACAAAGCUUUCCCACAAUUAAAAAUAUCACCUCUAGGGGCGCCUGGGUGGCGCAGUCGGUUAAGCGUCCGACUUCAGCCAGGUCACGAUCUCGCGGUCCGUGAGUUCGAGCCCCGCGUCAGGGUCUGGGCUGAUGGCUCAGAGCCUGGAGCCUGUUUCCGAUUCUGUGUCUCCCUCUCUCUUUGCCCCUCCCCCGUUCAUGCUCUGUCUCUCUCUGUCCCAAAAAUAAAUAAACGUUGAAAAAAAAAUUAAAAAAAAAAAAUCACCUCUAAUAUAUAUUCAUUUAAUAUUCAUAUCACUCUUGUGAAUUAUAGGUAUUAAUAUUCUUAUUUUACAGAUGAAGAAACUGAAGCUUAGAGAAAAGGGUUGACUCAGUAUGACCCAGAUAGUGAGGAUGAUGAUGGCACUGAGUAAUAUGUACUGAAUAUUUACUAUAUGCCAAGCACAUUACUAGAUCCACUUUACAUGGACCUAUUUAAUCUUCACAAGAAUUCUAUGAGCAGUUACUCCUACAUCUUUACAAAUGAUGAAAUAGGAUUUAAAGAAAUUUAGAAUCUUUCUCAAGGCCAUAUAGCUAGGAAGUGAUAGUGUUGGGAAUUUAAUCCAGGUUAACUGUCAACUUGGCUAGGCUAUAGGCCCCACUGUAAUAGUGAAACGCUAGUCUAGGUGUUGCUGUGAAGGUAUUUUAUAGAUGUGAUUAAAGUCCAUAAUCAGAUGACUUUAAGUAAGGAAGAUUAUCCUAGAUAAUUUACAUGGGCCUAACUCACUCAGUUGUAAGGCCAGAAAAGCAAAGCUAAGCUUCUCUGAAGAAGAAAUCCUGCCUGUGGACUGUGGCUUCAGCUGCCUGAGACUUCCAGCCUGCCCUCCCUGGUGGUCUGUCCGGUGGAUUGCAGACUUGCCUAGCCAUUCGCCAGCUUUUUGCAAUAAAUCUUUUAAUAUGAAUUUCCUACCAGUUGUCUUUCUCUGGUUGAACCCUGAUACAUUUGUCUAAGUCCAAAGCUCAAAGGCUUGCCAGAAUGCAAUACUCAUUCUUUGUAUACAACAAAUUAGAAAUUUGAAACUAAGUCGGGAGCUCUAUGCUGCAUAUGCAUCUGAACCACACAUUAUACUUCUCAUACUCUGUCUCGUAUUGUGAGCUUUAUAUUUUUUACCCUCCAACUUGAUAAGCAUUUUGAAGGCAGACACCAGGUUUUACUUAUUUUAUUUUUCUUGUACUAUGUAACAUGCACACAGGACCCACAUCUUGGUUGUCAAAAUGAUAUCUGUCAUACCUGCAUGAAGCUAUGUCAUUCACCUUCCUGCUUUUGUACUCUCUCAAGUUUGGGAGCCACCAUUAUUUCCUUUUUUUUUUUAAUGUUUAUUUAUUAUUGAGAGACAGAGUGCAUGAGCAUGGGAGGGGCAGAGAGAGGAGGAGAACAGAAUCUGAAGGAGGCUCCAGGUUCUGAGCUGUCAGCGCAUAGCCUGACGUGAGGCUCAAACCCAUAAACUGUGAAAUCGUGACCUGAGCCGAAGUGGGACACUUAACCGACUAAGAUACCCAGUGCCCUGCAGCCACCGUUACUUCUAAGUUUUCUUUUACCUUUCUAUUUUAAUUCUUAACUUAGGGAGCUUAGAAUUUUAGUCAGUAUUGUUGUCCCCUGUGUUAUCAAUUAUUAGAGAUUUUCCUGGGUGAUUUAAAACCUUAGUGGGAGAAAGGGAGAAACACUCUGUUAGAGUGUUGGUGGUGAUUUCAUUUAACUGUUUAACUUCUGCUGCAGUCCUUCCAGGUCUGGGCUUCUGAAAAAUAUUGACAAGUAAAAUUCAGAACCAUUCAAUUCCCCAAUGAGUACAGUUAGAAUGGAAGGAACAUGUUCCUUACUAUAGAUAAGCCCUGAUUCUAAGGUCAAAAUGUUAUCUUAUGGGUUGAUUAAGUGAUCGGUCCAAAAGACACAUAUCUGUUUUUCUCUUUCUCUAUUUUAACAUUUUCUCAUGUCAUUUAAUCUCAAAGUACAUGAUACAUCCUUUACUAAGAGAAGAGUCUUCCUCAGACCUUUUUAUAACUUGGCAGGCAGAUUUUCAGUUGUAAUAAAUUCCAGUUUAACUUUUAUAUACUAUGAUGACAUUUCUUUCAUAGUUCUUAAAUAUAUGAUUCAUAUUUAAAACAAUUAGUAGUUAUGUUACAUUUGUUAUUAGUAUCAUAAAUCAAUAAAUCUUUGUUUUGGGGCACCAGUGUAUGUCUGUUGCCAUUGUAAAGACUAAGAAAACAAGAUAUAAAAAUAGUAGGUCCUCUCUAAGCAUUUACUUCAGUCAUAAUCAGAAUUAAGACUAGAACUUAAAUUUUUUGACUUUAGAGACUGAGAAAUUUUUUUAGAUGGAUCACAGACUAUGUGAGCAAAGCCACAAAAGGUGGAAUAUGUCUCACUUUCCUAAGGUUGCAAAAAUUUAUAUUAAAAUUUAGAAAGCAUAGAUUCAUUUUAUAUGGAAAGUAAAACCACAUGCAUCUUAUUUUGAGAAAUCCUAAGGCCAAUAUAAAAGCUGAGAUAGUUAUUUAAAUUUACUCCAGGUGAUUUAGCUGCUGGUACCAUGUUGUGUUGCUUACUUUGUCCUGUUUUCCUGUGGAAAACAUAGAUAUCUAUCUACGUAAUCCCCUUGCUAUUCCUUCUUUUCCUCUGAAAGAAUUUUGUAAGGAAUAAUUUCGUACAUUGAAGUCAUGCAGGAAAUAUGUAAACAUCCAACAUGCUUUUACAAAUCUGUAAAAUAUGAACACAUUGAACUUUUCCCAAUAUAGGCUACUAAGGAAAAUAUGCAGAAAAACUAUUUUGCAGUAUAAACCAGGAAAGCCCAAUGCAAACAAACAAAAGAACAAAGUAGGAAUCAGACCUCAUUUGUUUUCUUCCAAGUAUAAAUUACUUGGUUAGAUUAAAUAGCAUAGACAUGGUGCCAGGGAUGUCAGUGGUUAUUAUUGUUGAACAUACAAUUCUGUUUUAAUUCUGUUUUCUGUUUUCUUUUUUGUCUUCCUUCCUUUCCUUUCCUUUCCUUUCCUUUCCUUUUCUUUUCUUUUCUUUUCUUUUCUUUUCUUUUCUUUUCUUUUCUUUUCUUUUCUUUUCUUUCAGAGUGUGUGUGUGUGUAUGAACAGGGAAAGGCAGAGAACCCCAAGUGGGUUUCGAUUCCAUGAUCCUGAAAUCAUGACCUGAGCCAAAUCAAGAGUCGGACACUCGACUAACAGCCACUCUGGUGUCUCACAAUUCUGUUCUUAAAGCAGUUCUAUUUGUGCAAUUCCUUAGGCAAUGCAAAAGGGUCAUUAAGUAAAUAAAAAUGACUGUUCUGCAUUGCUCCCAUUGGUAUUAAACAUAUGUGUUAAUCCCAUGACUUGUACAAAAGGCAAGUUUGCCUUGAAACUAUAUAAUUUCCCCAACGUGGCAACAUUUAAGCAAGAUGUUAAAAAACACUUCUGCAAGGGGAGCACAAAACUCUUUAAAGGAUGUCCUCCCCUAAUCGCUCUCUCUGAAUAUUGAGUGACAAAAUGACUGAAAAAAUUGGAAUGGAAUCAUUGUAGCAGCAAAAUCCUGAAGAAGGGAAAAAGUCAUUAGUUUCUGCUAUUUGCACCCCUUGAACUGUCUGACUCCUGAUCUUCUCCAAGGCUUCUGGGGCUAUUCCAUACCCAGAAAUUUAUUUUCUACUGUAGUCCAUUUCUAUUGCUUAUCACUAAAAAACUUCUACAUAAUAAAAUUUUGUGCUUUAUGUUUUACAGUGAGCCUUAACCUAAAUAGACAUUUUAAAUGCUAGUUUUUUAAAUAUAUUGAAUAAGAAGAUACAUUUUUUUAGAAUAGAACUUUAAUGAUUUUGAGUAAAGACAAUUUCUAAAAUAGACUGCCAUUUAUUGAGCAUAUGUGUGUGUAUAGUUAUUUUAAAAUAUAUAUGUAUAAAAUUUUGUUAUUACAAUGAUUUAGUGAGUAAGCUUACUAUCCCUGUUUUGUAUAUGAAGAAACUGAAGCCUAAUGUUGGUUAAUUUGGCCACAUACCUGGAAAGUGGUGGGGGUAAUAUUUAUAAACAGAUCUGGUUGAUUUAACCAUUAUUAGAAAUAAUAUUGUUUCCAAUAUCAGAAAUAAUAUUAUUUUUUAGAUUCACUUCUAAGCCAGUACCUGCUUGGAAAUUAGGUAUAUCCUCUUUUUCAUUAGGGCACUGAGAACAAAGCAGAAUAAAUGUUAAUAAAAAUAAGCGGCAGACUUAGAAUACAUCUCCAAAGUGACAAUGGUUAUAAAUAUCAGUCCUCUAGUCUGGUGCCAUUGCUACAUUUUUUUCACAUUCUGUUUUCAAAAGAGAGAUACUUAAUGUGGUUAAUCUAGAUAAUACUAAGGUUAGUCAUAAGUUUAUAUUUAAAAUUUUGCGAUGUAGAUUUUAACUGAAUUAGAAUUUUAGGGGGUGCCUAUAUGGCUCAGUUAGUUAGGUGACCGAUUUCGGCUCAGGUGAUGAUUUCAUGGAGUUAGAGUUGGAGCUCUGAGUCAGGCUCUGUGCUGACAGCUCAGAGCCUGGAGUCUGCUUCAGAUUCUGUGUCUCCCUCUCUCUGCUCCUCCGCUGCUCACACUCUGUCUCUCUCUCUCAAAAAUAAAUAAAUAAAAACAUUAAAAAAAUGUUUUAAAAGACAUUUUAAUGUUUCAUCACAGAGUUCAUCACACUCUUUUACAAAAAUGAAAAAGAAAGGGGGGGUUGGCGCCUGGGUGGCUCAGUUGGUUAAACUUCCUGGAGCCUGCUUUGGAUUCUGUGUGUGUGUGUCUCUCUCUCUCAAUAAAUAAACAUUAAAAAAAAUAGAAUUUCAUUUCCUAUUCUGUUAUAAUCUAGUAUUUUUUUUUCCUGCUUCUUUAUAUAAACUGUCACAAAUCUAGGAUGUAUAUCAUCUAAUACAGAGCAGGGGAGUAGUGAGAUUGCUCAACUAAGAAUAAUUUUUUUUAAAUGUUUUUUAAUUUAUUUUUUGAUGAUUAUUUUUGAUGUUUUUAAACUUUUUUUUUUAUAAGAGAGAACAUAAGUGGGGAAGCGGCAGAGAGAGAGGGGGACAGAGGAUCUGAAGCCAGUUCUGCGGUGACAGGCUGACAUCAUUGAGCCUGAUGUGGAGCUCGAGAUCACAGACCAUGAGAUCAUGGUCUGAGCUGAAGUUGGAUGCUCGACUGAGCCUCCCAGGUGCCCCUCAACUAAGAAUCAUUAACUUUAGUAUCAUAGAAGGAAUGGAGACAGCUUGGUAAGUAUAACUGCAUGCUUUCAUAAAUUUCUAAACACUUUAUGAUGAAAAAUUAGUAGACAUGAUGAAACUUUUUCUACAUGAAAGAAUAAUUAAAACAAAUUAUAGAUGCCUCUCAGUAUUUAGGAUUCUAAUAGAAUCCAGGAAACAAGAUUUGUGCCUAAAGAGCAUCCUUGUUCAGUUGUUUCAAGCUGGUAUUAUUUAAAGAACUUUGUUGGUCAGCGUUUUCCAUUUUUCACACUUCAAUUUGUUUUUAAAGUUUGUGCAAAGUUUUCUAGGAAAUGUUACUUCAUCUUAAAAGAAUUACUGACUUUCAAUUACUUUGAAUGAUCUAAUUAAGUAUAAUUAUACCAGGACGUCUAAACCUAAACACUGUUGAAAUGAAAUGCCUAAAUGUGUGUAAUAUUGUCAAAGAUUAUGGAUUCAUAUAACAAGAAAAAUCUUAUUUCUAUCGUAAAAUUUAUUUGUGAAAAAAAUUGAGGCAGAAUCGUGAGACCUUGCCUGUAGUUCAAAUAAAACUAACAUGGGGGGGGGGGAAGUAUAGAAAAGGCAUCUAAGUACAGUGGUCCCCAUGCAUACAUAGCCAAGCAUGGGGGACCGCUAUGUUUUGGUUUUCUUCAGGAAACCUCCCAAGUUUAAGGGUGGUUCUUAGAAGCAUGCUUGUCCAACAUGAACAGGCUUAUCUAUUCAUGACUCCUUCUCUUAAUUCACAAAAUAUGACUUCAUUUGGAGGGAAUAGGGAUGGAAUAAGGCCCUCUGUCAGUCUGAGUUCUUCAGAGAAACAGAACCAAUAUGUAUUAUAUAUAUUACAUAUAAUAUAUACAUAUACUCACAUACAUACAUACAUAUAUAUACAAAGAGAUUUCUUUUAAGACACUGGCUUGGGACACUGUGGGACUUGACAAGUGUAAAAUCUGUGGGGCAGGCAGGUCCAGAGGCUGGAAAUUCAGUCUUGAGGCAAAAUUCCUUCUUUUCUAGGAAACCUCAGUUUUUGCUCCCAAGGCCUUCACUUGAUCGAUGACUCCCAUUCACAUUAUUGAGUGUAAUCUCCUUUACUUAAAGUCAAUUGAUUGUAGAUAUUAACCACAUCUACAAAAAUACUUUCACAGCAACACCUAGAUUAGUGUUUGAUUAAAUAACUGGGUACUAUAGUGUAGCAAAGCUGACACAUAAACCAAUCAUCCCUCAGUCUCUAUGUGGCAGCCUUGCUGGUGGAGGGAAGUCUCUGGAAAAUUUUCAGACAUAGCCCAACCUGCCCAAGGGUGGCUGGGAAAGGAGGUAGGACAGGUGUCACCUGUUGCCCCUUCUUCCCUCAAGACAACUGCCACACUACUUUCCCAGUGAGUGUGCAGUUGUGUUGGUGGAGCAGAGGGGAAGCUGUGCUCUAGAUAAGCUAGGAAAUGAUGGUUUAAUCAUUUCUGGGAAACGUGGGUGUAAGAGGUCAAGAUCUAGGUGAUUUUAGUAUGAUUCUUGAGAAAUAACUCUUGUGGCGUUAGAGUGAAGGGCAUCAUUUUUUGGUGAAAAUGGUAGCCUUGGUUUCACUUUGCUGAUGAAAGUCUAAAUAAGGUUUUACUUUGAAAUGCCACUUAUGGAAGCUGUUUGGGCCUCUCCUCUAUCUUGGCAGAAAAUUGUAAUAUCCAAUAAUAAGUUAACACUCUUAGACUAGUAGCUAGGCUCAAGACUAGUGAGGAACUUGGGGUUUCCAGAUCUCUCUUGUUUUCAGAACCUCUGAAAUAUGUUUUCUUCUUAUGGCUGCCUUAUGCUAAAAAACCUGUUAACGGGGACACAGAGAAUAGGAACAGUAAUGGAAAGAUAGAUCCUGGAUAAGCAUAAAAUUAUUCACUAUUUAAAAGUCUUGAAGGUAUAAUCCAAAAUAUGGGUCAAGGAAAAUUUUAAGGGCAUAGCAAUGUUAUGAGAUAAUCUUAAAUAGUCCUGUUUUGUACAACAGGCCAGUUAAAUAAUGAAGGGUGGAAAUAAGAAAUAAGAUUUAUGCAAUAUGAUAAGGAGGUAAAUUUUGUUUCCAACUUUACCUAUUGCUACAAUUGUCCAUGCUCUGUGGCCACGCUUAAGAUUUUUACAUGGAUAGCUAAUACAAUCCUGUAGAUAGCACUUUCCUGUCUUUACCAAUGAGAAAAUGUAACAUAAACCUACUAAUGAAAUUGUUACAAAAUAAACACAGACUUUCCUUUAUUUCAGACUAAUUUCAGCCAAGAAAUGAAAUGUGUAACAAAAGCCACAGAGUUACUAUCAUCUAAUGCAGGCAAAGCAUUUACUAAAACCAUAAUCCUCCAAAUUGUCACAAACUGAAUAUUCUGCAGAAAGAUUUGUAGUAUUUGCCCCAAGUGACUUUUUAGCCAUCUCUACCUCUAGAAUACCACCAAAGUUUAUUUUAUUAUUUUUAACGAAAAGACUUCAAUUUACCCAUGUUGUGUCAGGAGCAGCACUUAGCAAGUUCAGUCAUUUUUUAAAAAUUUACCUGUAGUUAAAAAAUAACCAAAAAACAAAUAAUCCAAAGGUGGGAACUGGGGGAGGAGAAAGAAAAGCAUACUUACACGAUGCUUUGUAAAGGCAAAAGGUUAAAAACAUUUCUGCACUUGAAAAUAAUUGAAAAUUUUUAAUAAUGCCUCACUUGCCAGUUGAAGCUGAGUAGGAGCAAUGUGGCAGUGCUGUUUAGAAUCCCUGGGGAUUGGACGCGAUUUCCCUUAGGUCUCCUUGUUUGGCUCCUGUCAACCACAAAGAAAAGUGCUUUGUUUGCUCCAAAGAGAAUUUAUACAGAAUCUCAGCAGAAACAUCUGCUGUUUUACAGCAGAUAAAACUACUGAGGUAUGUCUUUUACAGCUGUAAGCAAGAUAAUAGACAUUUAUUAGGACCUCUACUUCCACUUUAUUACCUGAUAAAAACAGAUGAAAUAGGCUCCCUACUUAUAACAUAUUGCCUUGACUAAAAACAGAUUGCUUUCUUGUGUGAAGUAACGACCUCACAGCACAUUUUAGCAUUGUCUUAAUAAGAGUAGGAAAAAAAAAUGUGUAUUUCCCCCUUUUGUUUCUAAGUCCACAGAGUCAGGGUGUCCAUUGCUCACUUUCUCAGAACUUGAUGGUAUACUUUUUUUGCCAGGAUAAUCUCAUUGAUUCCAAAUGGAGGCCAGGCUUUCUGGCAUGGUUAAAUGUCCUAUUCCAGGUUAUAUUUUUGCUAAUUUAUGUCUUGACACAUUAAAAUUUUUUUAGCUGCUCCUGAAUCGCACUUAGUAAAGCUUCUGAUUGAUUGAGCCAAAGAACUAGUACUUGAUCAUGUGAGUGAGCGUAAUUAGUCUGAUGCUUUUUCACAUUUCCCCCAGCUGAGCUGAGUUUAAUAAAAUCUUUCUUUGUUUAUGGGACACUUUGGGUGGAAAGUUCAGUUGUUUGAGACUGAUCCAGCCAGAGCCCCCAGGCCAUGGAUACUCAGAAACUCAUGAAAAUGAGGUGCCCUGUUUGAUGGUCUCCAACUUGACUUGUCAUUUCUGAUUAAUUUUGCCAUUGGUUAAAACAGAUGAAGACUCAAAUGAGAAAAAAAAAAAUUAUCUCCUGAAAAACUUUCACUGCUGAUUCAACUUAACAGUUAUUUUGUGUGUUGUGAUGACAAUGUCUAUUGUAGUCCAAUUUUGCUGUAUUUUCUUUUAAAAUACAAGGAAAAUUGUGGAAAGAGGCAGAGACCAGAUAUCCUGCAAAUGUGGGUGGGAAAGCUGAAGAGGCAGGAAACGAAAUUAAGGUUGGUUCCAUGUCCACCAGUUACUGGGAGUAAUGGGAAAAUGUAGAGAGACACUUUAUCAUCAUUUGUUGGUUCUUCUAGUUUUUCAAGUUCUCAGCAGAACCAGGAUGAAAGUUAUUCUAUAAUAAACAAAUGAUUUCAUGGUGAUGGAGUUAAAACUUACAAAAAAGGAGUCAAGAAACUUUCUGGAAAUAUUUGUGUUUCCUGGGCUGCUUAGUGUCCAGGUAAAACUGAAUUCUAAGGAUAAAUCCUGAACUACUUCAAAAUAAUGUGAUCACAUUAGAAAAUGUACUUCCUAAUUCCCAUGUCAGUCAGUGUUCAAAAUAAUUGAUUUUGAGAAAAUACACCUAUUGCUAAAAUUGCCCGUGCUCUGUGGCCACACUUAAGAUUUUGCUAAGCCAGUGAAAAUAUUUCUAAGAUUGCUGUAAUAAUGCAAAUGCCCCCCAUGAAGCCGGUCUUUUCAGUACACUAUUUUCCACAAUUUUGGGGAGAUUUCCCUGGAGCACAGUGCUCAAGUAUAAACACAUGAUAUGAAAUCAUAUCAGGAGGGCAAAUGAAGUUUUCAGUCUUUUCAAACAUAAAAAAAAAAAAAAAAAGUUAAGGGGAUUUGAAUUAGCCAGAGAGGUCUAGGAGCUUUCCCAAAAAAGCGCUAUUAAGCUGAGAUCUAAAAGGCAAAUAAAUUUUUUUAGCCACAUGAUUGACUGAGGUCUAAAAGCAAGGAAGCAAACAGAGUGUGAGAUGCAGCUGAAUGGCUAGCAAUUAAUUAAAUUGUGUGUGUCUUCUUUGUGCAAAACAUGGCCUAAGCUCUGGGGAUAUAAUGGCCAAUCAAAAUACACUCUGACACGGUCCUCAUGUUAGUACUCCUCUAUGGAGGGAGACAAACACUAGUCAAAUUGCAGAAGUUAUUGUAGAAUCGUCACUCUUAAAUAGACCAAGAUGCUAGGGGAACAAAGAGGAAAUUUGAACUAAUUGUGGCUGCCAAGGAAGACCCUUCUAUGGAAGUUAGAAAUGAGCAUCCAUCUAAAUAAGAGUUAAAUAGUGAAAGAGAGGAGAGCACAGUGUUUCAGGCAGCAUGUAUAAACGUUUGAGUGUUCAUCCUUCCUACAGAGACUUCUGCUCUCCUCACGAGUAGUGUAGCACAACAUGUGAGAGUCUGAACUUUUUUAGUUGAAAUUCUAAAUAAAUUCAGUGGCUGAGAAUAAAUUAUUCAGCCAGGGUCUUAAACUGGACUGUGGUGGGGGUAGGGGUUUUUGAUGUACACUGAGGCAGUGGACUAAGAAAGAAGGAGAAGCAAUAUGGAAUACUUAGGUCUGGGAAAAAGAGGCUCUGGGCCCUGUGCUUCUGACAGCUCUCAAGUCACAAAUAUACACAACACAUAAGCAGAUUUUUUUAAAACCAUAGGCUCUUCUGUCACUAAACAUUUGUGCUUGUAGACUAACACUCAUCAUGCUACAGGGAAAUGCUUUCCCACAUCUUUUAACUACCUCCUGGAAAUAAAAAGCAAUUACAUCUGAAUGCUGUGACGUAGCGUGCGUUGUGCUACCUCCAACAUGAGAAAAAGAGAAUCCUUCAGAGUCCAGGGAGGAUUGGAACAGCAGAGACACUUAAAUAAGAGAAAAGACAAAUUAAUUAACUUGUCAAAUCCUUCUUCUCAUAGCAUGAAUGCAUUAGGUAUCUGUAUAAUGAAGUUUUAUGUCCCACUAGUGCUGAACAUCCAUUUUCUUGCUUCUCUCCAUAUAAAGCACUUUAUUGUUCUGGACUUACUCCAGAUAUGCUCAAUAUUUGCAGUUAUUGUGUAUGAUGGCUGACGAGUAUUUUGCAAUAUUAAACAGUUCACAUUGCUCUCUCAUACUUGUGUGCAUCUAUGUCUAGGUAUAUUAUGCUUAAAGUGUGACAACAAUUUUUUUUUUACUUUAUUUUUUAUUUUUUAAAAUUUACAUCCAAGUUAGUUAGCAUAUAGUGAAACAAUGAUUUCAAGAGUAGAUUCCUUAAUGCCCCUUACCAUUUAGCCCAUCCCCCCUCCAGCAACCCUCAGUUUGUUCUCCAUAUUUAUGAGUCUCUUAGGUUUUGUCCCCCUCCCUGUUUUUAUAUUAUUUUUUCCCUUCCCUUAUGUUCAUCUGUUUUGUCUCCUAAAGUCCUCAUAUGAGUGAAGUCAUAUGAUUUUUGUCUUUCUCUGACUAAUUUCACUUAGCAAAAUACCCUCCAGUUCCAUCCACGCAGUUGCAAAUGGCAAGAUUUCAUUCUUUUUGAUUGCCGAGUAAUACUCCAUUAUAUAUAUAUAUAUAUAUAUAUAUAUAUAUGACACAUCUUCUUUAUCCAUUCAUCCAUCGAUGGACAUUUGGGCUCUUUCCAUACUUUGGCUAUUGUUGAUAGUGCUGCUAUAAACAUGGGGGUGCAUGUGUCCCUUCGAAACAGCACACCUGUAUCCCUUGGAUAAAUNNNNNNNNNNNNNNNNNNNNNNNNNNNNNNNNNNNNNNNNNNNNNNNNNNNNNNNNNNNNNNNNNNNNNNNNNNNNNNNNNNNNNNNNNNNNNNNNNNNNNNNNNNNNNNNNNNNNNNNNNNNNNNNNNNNNNNNNNNNNNNNNNNNNNNNNNNNNNNNNNNNNNNNNNNNNNNNNNNNNNNNNNNNNNNNNNNNNNNNNNNNNNNNNNNNNNNNNNNNNNNNNNNNNNNNNNNNNNNAGGUGGUAUCUCAUUGUGGUUUUGAUUUGUAUUUCCCUGAUGAUGAGUGAUGUUGAGCAUUUUUUCAUGUGUCGGUUGGCCAUCUGGAUGUCUUCUUUGGAGAAGUGUCUAUUCAUGUCUUUUGCCCAUUUCUUCACUGGAUUAUUUGUUUUUUGGGUGUUGAGUUUGAUAAGUUCUUUAUAGAUUUUGGAUACUAACCCUUUAUCUGAUAUGUCAUUUGCAAAUAUCUUCUCCCAUUCUGUCAGUUGCCUUUCAGUUUUGCUGAUUGUUUCCUUCACUGUGCAGAAGCUUUUUAUUUUGAUGAGGUCCCAGUAGUUCAUUUUUGCUUUUGUUUCCCUUGCCUCCAGAGACGUGUUGAGUAAGAAGUUGCUGCGGCCAAGAUCAAAGAGGUUUUUGCCUGCUUUCUCCUCGAGGAUUUUGAUGGCUUCCUGUCUUACAUUGAGGUCUUUCAUCCAUUUUGAGUUUAUUUUUGUGUAUGGUGUAAGAAAGUGGUCCAGGUUCAUUCUUCUGCAUGUUGCUGUCCAGUUUUCCCAGCACCACUUGCUGAAGAGACUGUCUUUAUUCCAUUGGAUAUUCUUCCCUGCUUUGUCAAAGAUUAGUUGGCCAUGGGUUUGUGGGUCCAUUUCUGGGUUCUCUAUUCUGUUCCAUUGAUGUGAGUGUCUGUUCUUGUGCCAGUACCAUAUUGUCUUGAUGAUUACAGCUUUGUAGUGUAGCUUGAAGUCUGGGAUUGUGAUGCCUCCUGCUUUGGUUUUCUUUUUCAAGAUUGCUUUGGCUAUUUGGAGUCUUUUCUGGUUCCAUACAAAUUUUAGGAUUAUUUGUUCUAGCUCUGUGAAGAAUGCUGGUGUUACUUUGAUAGGGAUUGCAUUGAAUAUGUAGACUGCUUUGGGUAGUAUCGACAUUUUAACAAUAUUUGUUCUUCCUAUCCAGGAGCAUGGAAUCUUUUUCCAUUUCUUUGUGGUGUCAUAUCAAUUCUUAAACGUUGGCAACUAGAUGGAUAUUGAAAGCUAGAAAUGCAGAGUUUUAUUUUUAUAAAAAUGUUUAAUGAGCAUAUUUAAAUUUUCAAAAAUUAAAAUAAAAAUUGAGCAUUUAAUUUUGCUUUAUAAUUUGAUAUUCAUCAGUUUAUAUGUUACCUUUUAACUUUAAUACUUUUAUAUAUUUUAGAAGAAAAAUAACUUAGCACAUGAAAAGUUUUCCAUUUUCUGCAUUUUAAAUUUACAUUUUUGAUUAAAAUCUAUUUAAAUUUUAUACCCUUUAUACAACACAUUUUACUUUUUAAUCCUUUAGAUUCUUGAGAAUGAGGGCCAGUGAAAAAUAGAGAAUUAUGAUAGAAAUGAGGAAUUCACAAGUAGAGAUCAGAAAAGCAAAAAAGCUGUAAAGAAAAAAAGAAAUACAGAAUUUUCAAAGUGAAGUUCUACUUAGGUUAAAAAUAAAAAUGCGGGAACAAUUAGAGUGAACAGACUUUUGUUGAGCAUGACCCUAAUAAAAUUUGCAAACAAGAAAUUACAAUUUCUUAUUUAAUGGAGAUUUAUUUAACUACUGAUCAAAACAAUGCAAAUUAACAAGAACAUUAUUCUCAUCAACCCACAACGUAAAUAGGUCAGAUAAAAACCUCUCUCAACUUUACAUUCUUUAUUAAAUGAAGAUUUAAUUUUUAAUUAAAACAAUGAGAAUGAAAAUGUUGAUCUAUUUUUUUAUCAUUUUAAUAACCUGGAAAAAACAUAAGCAUCUCUGGCCUGCCAAUUAGAAGAUGGAGAAAUGAAUGGUCUUGAAAUUAUCAAACAGAGGAAGAAUACUCCAAGCAUCUGACAGGAUGAUGAUCUUGGAAAUGGCAAUGCCAUGUCCUUCUGAAAUUAUUGCUAGUAAAACACAUUCAGGUUCAAAUUAAUGAUUGGAAUUUUACACUGCAUGAACAUGGCAGAAUUUCUAAUAUUUUGUUUUACUCCAAAAUUCUUUCAAGUAGGAGAGUGUAGAAACUGGCUUUUAUAUUCUCUGCUUAGAAGCUAUUUUUUUUUAUCAUUGUUCACAUGUUUCACAGCCAAUCUUCAUGAUAGACUUCAGCCAAUGUAUGCAUUUGUGACAGGAAACACUUAAAUUCUCAGUAAAAUACCAUGAAAUGUCCUUUGCACACAAAAAGUACAGAUGUAAUUACCAGAAGUGAAAAAAAAAUUGUCAAACAGCAAAUAAUCGAUAAUAUUCCACAAACAAAAACAAAUGUCAAACUAGUACACGGGCAUAAUGUUCUUUAAAGAAUAAUGUCACAUAUUCAAUCUUCGGCUACGUUUAAUGAUACCUUUCAUGGCACAACAGCACAAUAUUUAUAGAACUUAAUGGCAAAUAUGUAGGAUGUAUAGAAAUGAUCUUGAAAUUUGAAGAAAGAAUGACCAAAAAUUUAAGAUAGGUAAAAAAAUAAUGAAACAAGUGAAGAUUGUCUGGUAGGGAGAAUUAAAAAACAAAUGCAUAAAGAAACAAAAUGCAGAAGCACACCUGUAAAUAUAGAGAACAAACUGUGAGGGGGGAGAGGUCGGGGAAUGGGCAAAUGGGUGAAAGGGAGUGGGAGAUACAGACUGCCAGUUAUGGAUGAAUAAGUCACAGGAAUAAGGGGUACAACAUAGAGAAUAUAGUCAAUAAUAUUGUAAUAGUGUUGUAGGAUGACAUAUGGUAGCUACACUUGUGGUGAGCAUAGCAUAAUGUAUAGGGAAGUUGAAUCACUAUGUUGUAUGCCUGAAACUAAUGUUACAUUGUGUUUCAAUUCUACUCAAAGGGAAAAAAAAAAAGGAUAAGAAAAGAAUCUUAUCAAGGGGAAAACUGUGAUAGUGGUGCUAACAUGGUUGAUAACAACAAAGAUGAUUUUGGUGAAAAAUUCAUGAUUCUUUAUGCAAUUUACAGUACAUAGUUUGACUCUGUUACUAAGAGAGAUUGCUUCAAUAUUGCUAAUGUUAUUGACGUUUUGGGGAAUAGCUUAAACGUUAUAUACAGUAUUUUCAGGAUCUGUCCAAAGGUGGAACAUAUUGAAAAAAACCAUCAAAUUUGAUGUAGUACACAUGGAUUAACAAUGUUUACUUGCUAUUAAUAUUAGCAAUGGCUUAGAAGAAACAUCUAACUUUGGCUACUUCACUUUUGAAAAGAUUAAAAAACUCUUAAAAUUUAAAGAAAAUUUUUAUAAAUAGAAACUGCAAGUGCAAUAUGCAACAAAAGCAACAAUUUGAAAAAAAUAUAAGAAAAUUGAAGAAAUAAAAAUGUUCACAUAACUAAAAGGAGAAAAUUCACAUACACAAAAAAAUCCCCAGACUAAUUUCUGCAAAUGCUAUUUUCUGGCUAAUAAAGACCAAAUAACAAUUUGAACAAAUUGAGCAAUGUACUGCUGUCUUCAGUUUAAAAAAAAUUUUUUUUAAAUGUUUAUUUUUGAGACAGAGAGAGAGAGAGAGAGAGAAUGGGGGAGGGGCAGAGAGAGAGGGGGGAGACACAGAAUCUGAAGCAAGCUCCAGGGUCUGAGCUGUCAGCAUAGAGCCCAAUGCGGGGCUUGAACCCACAAGCUGUGAGAUCAUGACCUGAGCUGAAGUCGGAUGCUCAACCGACUGAGCCAUCCAGGCGCCCCUGUUUUCAGUUUUUUUAAUAUUCCAGAAUUGGAAAAUGUAAAAGCAGAAGAAUUAGGAAAACUGAUAUGAAUCUAGAUACUGUCUUAAGAGAUCCUGAGAGAUCUUGGUGUGAUAGCAACCUAUAUGAUGAAAUUCAAAUACCGUACUUGAUAAUAUUGUUUUGAAAUGAAAAUGUUUCAAAAGUACAUCUAUUACAAUAUUUGAGCUUGAAAUGUGAAAUAAGUGUUCAAUUCUGAAUUGAGUACUGUUUUAAAAAUUGUAUUGACAAUUCCAUUUGUCACUAUCUCAGUAGAGCCAAGUUUUUCCAAAUGGAAUUAAUAAAAAGUAUGUAAUAAUUUUGACCCAAGAAAGGUUUUCUAGUUUGGCAUUUCCUGUCAGUAGAACUCAAAUUAUGUGAAAAAUCUUGAUUUUAACAACAUUAUUAGUAAUCUUGAUGGGCCAAAGGCAAGAAAAUAUAUUUUAUAGAAUAAAUAUAUAAUAAUUUGAGUUACAGAUGUCUUUAUUGCUCAUCCAAAUAUUACUCAGGUGUAAUAAUAAUUACGUUCAGUAGUCUUGUUACUUUGCUGACUUUUAGCUAUAUAAAACCUGUAGCUUUGCCCAUAGUUAAAAAAUUUUGUUGUUAUGAGUUGUUAAGAUAGGAAGAGAAGACCUGUUUUAACUAACAGUUUUGUUAACCUGAUUCAUAACUUUUAUAUAUGGCCCUUCACUUGUAUUCUUGCCCCAGUCUUAAAAAUCUUAGAGGUAUAUUUGGGUGAACUGCUUCUCUCACAUAUAUAAAAUAUUCUAGAUGGAGGGCAAUGGACCUGCCUAUUGGACAGUAGCCUGGAGCCCAUGGUCAGCCUCAUUUGGUUAAUCAUUGGUAGGAUAGGAUUGUGGACAGCCUGGUGUUAGGCCAUAAGGAUAGACAGCAAACAAUAUAUAUUUUUUUCAUUUUUAUUUAUUUUUGAGACAGGGAGAGACAGAGCAUGAAUAGGGGAGGGUUCAGAGAGAGGGAGACACAGAAUCUGAAACAGGCUCCAUGCUCUGAGCUGUCAGCACAGAGCCCGACGCGGGGCUCGAACUCAUGGACCAUGAGGUCAUGACCUGAGCCGAAGUCGGCCGCUUAACCGACUGAGCCACCCAGGCGCCCUGACAGCAAACAAUAUUAAUUGCUAUCCCAUGAAAGACUUAGAGCAGGUUGGAAAGAACUUAAGAAUGCCAGAUGCCUGGGUAUGAGGAUAAGGGGAAGGAGGUUACUUUUAAGUAGUUAGUACUCUUUUCCAACUCUUCUCCCUUUCGUGUUCCACCCCAGUUCUGGGAUUUGCCACACUAAAGACAAGUCCCUAAGAGCAAGAUAAUUAUUCAUUGGGUUUUUUUCUAAUGCUUACAAAAGCCUCUUGUGUACUUAAUCUAGCCCAUCUGAGUUUCCUUAUUUGACAAUUUUGAGUGAGAGUUUUAACUUAUUAUACCAUAUAGCUUUAAUGGUUAGGAGGUAAAAAAUAAUUAUAAAAUGCUUGGUAAAAAUAAAGGCAAAAUGAAUGUGCCAUGAUAAUAUUUGCCAUCCCUAUAAUACAUUGAAAAGCUAUUUAUCAUGCUGUUAUGAUCUAUUUGCUAUUUUUUGCUUGGUUGGUGAUUACUUUCUUGGCAAUAUUUUUAUAUGAAUGAUCAAAAAUUAUCAGAGUUAAAUGAACUUUCUUCAGAUCUAAUUACAAUUAUAGGCUUCUUUUCCUAGAGCAUGACCAAAAAGAGAAAAAAAAAAAGAAAAGGAAAGGAAAAAGGAAAAAAAAUCUACCUUGGACAGAGAAAAAUGAAUUUCCAUGUAUUUUCAGAGUUUGGCAUAGCACUGAACUGGAUUUACAAAACAACUUCUACCCGUGGCAGAUUAUUUAAUUUUUCGGUCAUGAUGGUUCAAAUAUCAAGUUCAUGUAUCAGUGUUCCUUUAUUUGUUAGUUGAAGUGACCUUGCCCUGAUAGUUUCAUUCUACUUUCACUACGAGACCUUGAUAAAACAAAAAGUUAACAGUGUUUGGAAAGUAUAACAAAAAUCUUAAUAUAUAUUGUAUGUAUACAUACACACACACGUUAUUUUAUUUUUUUAUUUUUACUUAUUUACUUUAUAUAUAUAUAUAUAUUAAUGUUUCUAUUUAUUUUUGAGAGAGACAGAGAAAAGGAGAGACAGUGUGCAAGUGGAGGAUGGGCAGAGAGAGAGGGAGACACAGAAUCUGAAGCAGGCUCCAGACUCUGAGCUGUCAGCACAGAUCUCGACACCGGGCUUGAACUCACUGAACUCACUAUGAGAUCGUGACCUGAGCUGAAGUUGGGCCUUCAACCUAUUGAACCACCCAGGUGGCCCUAUUUAUUUAAUUUUUAAAAAUUGAAACAAAAAUCUUGCUUUCCUUCCCUAAGGUGCGAUGGUAUAUGUCACUGUAGAUCACGAUAGAGGCAAAUACCUACUCUGUUUUGGUUUUUUUUUUCUGUCCAUAUAAUAGAAACCUGUGCUAGUUAUAUACUGAUGUGUAACAGAUUACUACAACAGUUAGUUGGUUAAAACAACAAACACAUAUUAUCUCACAGUUUCUGUGAGUCAGGAAUUUGGGAGCAGAUUAGCUGGGGGGCACUGACUCAGGGUGUCUCAUGAAAUUGCAAUCGAGAAAUCAGCUAGAACUGCAGUCAUCUGAGGGCUUGACUGGUGCUAAAGGAACUGCUUCUGAGAUGGCCAUUCCCAUGACUGGUGGCAAUUAUCACUGUGUAGGUCUCUCCAUAGGGCUGCUCAAUCAAGUAUCCUUACCACAUGGUAGCUUGUUUCUCCCAGGGUGAGUGACUUAGUUUUUGGUCACACAUCAUUAUGUCUUUUUGUAUUUUUUUGUAUUUUAUUGGUCAUACAGACCAAUCCUGAUACGAUGUGGGAGGAAGAAUAUCAGAGCAUGAAUACCAAGAGGCAGGGUCACUGGAGGCCAGCUUGGAGACUAGCUACCACAAACAGUGUUGUAUUCAGAGCACUCAGCAACUUGGGUAGAAGCCAGAAUAUCCCCAGGAAAAAUUUUGUCAUCUGUGUCCUUCUGGAAUGUUCCUUAAUUUUUGAGACAUGUAUUGGCUACCAUUGAGUCAAUGGUAAAAAAAAAAAAGUUGAAUGUGGCAGCCAGAAAUGGCAAUUCAAAUUCUAGCUCUUGACUCUACCUUUGGAAGAGGUUGAUCUAAAUCUAUCUCAGUUUAAAAUGGAGGAACUAAUGCACAUCUGUCUAUGUUUAGUAGAUUGUGUGCAAGAUAAAAGCCUUAGUUCUAAGUAUAGUGCCAGGCAUAUGAGAGCUAAACAAAUGCUACUUUUUUUGCUCUUUGCCUUCAAGAUACUCUAAAGCAGAAUUUCCCGAGCAUUGUCCUAUGAAAUACCACUUUUCAUCUUCUCAUCCUUCCAAAGGGUGGGAAACACUUGGGGAAACACUUCUCUAAAAGAGGAUUUCUUUAAAAUAGCUAUUAGAGGGGCGCCUGGGUGGCGUAGUCGGUUAAGCGUCCGACUUCAGCCAGGUCACGAUCUCGCGGUCCGGGAGUUCGAGCCCCGUGUCAGGCUCUGGGCUGAUGGCUCAGAGCCUGGAGCCUGUUUCCGAUUCUGUGUCUCCCUCUCUCUCUGCCCCUCCCCCGUUCAUGCUCUGUCUCUCUCUGUCCCAAAAAAAAUAAAUAAACGUUGAAAAAAAAAAUUUUAAAAUAGCUAUUAGAAAGGACAUAUAAUAAGGUGCUGAGAAUCUAAUUAUAAUGACUGGUCCCUAAGAGAACUGUGUCAACACAGGCAUGAGAAUGUAUUUGUCAGUCUUCCUAAACUUUCCUGAUCCUAAGAGCAGAGAUUCAGACCUAGAUGUGAAUGCCCAAGGGAUGGGGCUGGGAAUCUGGAGUUUUAACAAGGACUUUUAAAAUUCUUGAGAUUACACAAGUCUAAGAAAUGCUACAUAUGGUGAAUUUACCUCUGGAAAGUGUAAUGUGGGAUGUUGGUGGGAGUUGGGGUGGAAGGAGUUGGGCACCUAGAGGAAAGGGAAAGAAAUUUUGAGAUUUUAUCCCUCAGAAAUUCUGGCAUUGUCACUGAUUUAACAUUUCCAGGUCUCUCUCUCUCUCUCUCUCUCUCUCUCUCUCUCUCUCUCUCUCUGUGUGUGUGUGUGUGUGUGUGUGUGUGUGUAAGGUGUGGAGUGGGGCAGCUAACCAUCUGUGGAUGCUGUUUUUGGAAUUCAUUCAGUGUAACUAAUAUGUAGGAUGUGUCCCCUAUAAGAUACUUACUAUGUAGUGGCCUCCCCAUCCCUGUUCACCUACUUUGGUGUGAUAAAGAGGGCAAAAUGUAUAUCUGUUACACUCUGCUUUUGGCAGUGUAACUCUAGCUAUAACUUAAAUGACUACCAUGGAUGGACAUGAAAUGCAACAAGUGAAACUAACUGGCUUAUAAUAAUAGAAAUGGUGGAAUGAUAGAAAAAGAUCUCCAGGUGUAAUUUCUGUGAAAAAAGCCUGCUAAAAAGCAGUGUAUAUAAUUCUACCUUUGUGUAAAAAAGGGAAUAAUAGAACUGUUUUCUUAUAAUUUGUCUAAAGAGACUCUAGAAGAAUACACAAAAAGUUAAUAAAAGAGAUUACCUUGAGAGAAGUUGGGGGCACAUGGAUAGAUAAAACAUAGAGAUGGGAGUUAGACAGAGUGAGAGUAAAUCUUUUUAAAAAAGAUUUUGAACUAAAUGAAUUUACUACCAUUUUUAACAAAAUAAAGCAAAAUACAACAAUAUACAGGCCAAACCAAACAAGAUUGUGGACUAAAUUCGGCCCAUGAAUUGCCAUUUGAAACCUGUGUAUUAAACAAAUCCCUAAACUUAAGUCAUUGAAGUCUGAAUCAUUUAUUCAGCAAACAUGUCUUGAAUGCCUCUUAAGGUUCAAUGUUCAUGUUCAAGAGCCAGAGCCCUAUCUCUGACCUUAAGGAACCUUCUAUCUCUAGACUCUAGUGGUCCCUCUUGGUGAAUAUUUAAAAAGAAAUAUCUUUGUAUUGUUUUGGCAAUUUAAACCAAUUAAUAAGUGCUUCUAAGUUGAAUCUCCAGUGAACAGGUAAGACUUGCUUUCAGAUAAGCGAUUACAUGUUCUUAUACCUAUAGUUAAUGUUUAAGACAUAAAAAAUAUUUUGAGCUAUUUUGAAAUAAACUGUUAGGCUUGUUUAUUAAUUUAUUAAGCAAAUAUCUCAAGAUAAACUCAAGCCAAGUAAAUUAUUUUACAUUCUAGAUAAAAUGAAUAUGUAUUAAUGAAGCUUAAACAUAUUUGCAAAUAAAAUUUCUAAGAGCAAACUGUUUAAAUGAGAAACAGAAAAUAUAAAUAAGGAAAGGAGGGGGAACCAGGAAUAAAAGAGAAAUACAAUCUAUCUUCCUUUGUAGAAAACAAAACAAAACAAAUGUGACAUAGCCUCCUUGAAUCUGAUAAUCUAAUCUUGAUACUAAUAAUGUUAUCUCUUUUGGAGAGGUGUUUUGGCUUUUUUCCAUACCUCAGCCUCCCCACCCUAUAAACUCCCGGAAAUGUGCAGUUCAUGUAGAAAAGCAACAUGUUCUGUCCUCUGGUAGAAUGGAGACCUCUGUUCCCCAAACUCUUGUAAAGAUGCCAAUAGAAGUUUAGAUUGGCUCAAAUGUAGAAAUAUAUUUCCUAUCAUGAUAGUGGAAGACAUUUCAGGCUUCUGGAUGCUUACAGAUUCUGCUGCCUGAAAGUCCUAUUCAGAAGUUUACUUUGCUAUGACUAAUUGUUAGGUAGACAGCAGAGUUACUCAAGACUAAUAUUACUGGUUUUGAACUGACAUUAAGGUCUUUAGAAAGCCUAACUGUCUGUAUGGAGCAGUGUUUCUGAUCACAUUGUUACCUUGAGAGCCCCAGAGUUUAAAUAACUUUAUUUGAGAAGAAAAAGAUUCAUUAAUAUUUUAUCAAAUAAUUUGAUUUGAAUAAGUAAUUUCUUCUGGGUGAUAAAACAAGAGAACCAUCACAAUAUGUUUAAUAAAAUUUAUUUUAGUUUGAGAGUUAAUACCAUAUCUAGUACAUUUUUGCAUCUGUUUCAGUUCUCUUUUGCUAUAUCACAAAACACUGCUAAAUUUAAAAGAGCAACUCACUGCUGUCACUCAUGGUCUGUAGGUUGACUGGGUUCCACUGAGCUUGGAGUUCUUGGUUGUGGGGCUUCUCAUAUGGUUGCAGUCAGAUAGUUGGUGAGGCUAGAGUAAUUUUAAUGCUUGACUGGGCUAGACAUCUGGGCUGGACUCCUUGACUCACAUAUCUGGUGCUUCAAUUAGAAUGACCAGAAGAGCUAGAAGCUGAUAUCUAUCUCUUUUCACAUGACCUCUUCCCAUGGUUAGUUUGGAAUUCCUCACAGCAUUAUAGUCUUAUGGUAGUUAGAGUUUUUACAUGGGAGCCUUUUCUGCCAGAGUAAGUGUUCAAGAGACUUUGGCAGGAGCUGCAAGGCUUUUUGUGACCCAGCUUCUGAAGUCACAUAGCAUCACUUUUGUUUCAUUCUGUUGGUCCAAAAGGUAAUCAUACACAGGAGCCAAUUGAUAGAGCCCCCAAUGACCAAAGCAGGAACAAUUUGAUCAAUAAAAUAAAUAAAAUUUCAUUGGAUUACAACCCACAGUACAAGAUAGGGAUCCAUUGAGUCUAUACUGAUAUAAAUGAUUGAAUAAAUCCUUUUCAAGAAAAGGAAGUCAAAGAAAGACGACAAGGGAGAAGAGACAAAUCUCCCUUGAAGAAGAAUUCCAAUUAAUUUCUGUAGAUACUCCACUCUCUAGGAGGGGAAGCAUGAAUCCUGACUCCUUAAGUGUGGGCUGCUCAUAAUGACUUCCUUCCAAAAGUGUAGAAUGGAAGAGAGGAAAAGAAUAUCUCAGUCCUAUGAUCAAGGUCAGUAUCAACAGUGAUAAAUCCUUGAUUUAAUGUGAUAUAUCCUUGAUAUAAUGUUAUGAGGCUAGCACUUUACUUCUAUGAUCUUCCUUCCCCAAACCCCAAACCGCAGUCUAACUGUGAGAAAAAUAUCAGACAAUUUUCCAAUAGAAGGACAUCCUAUAAAAUUCUUCAUCAGUACUUCUUAAAUUUAUCAAGGUCAUCAAAAAUAAGGAAAGUCUGAGAAGCUGUCAAGAGGAACCCAAAGAGACAACGACAAAUAAAUAUAAUGUGGUAUCCUGCAUAAGAUCUUGGAGCAGAAAAAGACACAAGCAGAAACAAAGGAAAUAUGAAUAAACUACUACAGACUUUAGUUAAUAUAUAUAUAUAUUAAUAUGUAUUCAUUAAUUAUAACAAAUAUACCACGCAAAUGGUAUGUCAAUCAUAGGAGAAGCAUAUAUGAGAGCUGUCUAUACGAUGGCAUCAUUUUCCCCCCAAAUCUCAAACCAUUCUUAAAAAUAAGGUCUAUGAAAAAAAAAAAAAAAAGCUAGUCAUAAGGCCCAGAUUUGAGGGAGGGGACUACAAAAGAUGUAGCAGGAGGUGCAUUGGGGGAUCAUCUACAAUAGCAUCUAUUCCACUGAUUUUCUUCUGAGAAUUUACUUCUCUACCCCUAGUCCCAGUUAAUAUAGCUGGAGGUUUACACAUUUGUUCCAGAGGUAGAGCCAGUGACUCUGGACUGAGGUAAUCAAUGAGUUUCAUUUCCUUCACCAGAAUCAGAGAAAUUUAUUUUCUUAGUUUCAAGAGUGGUCAGUGACUUAACCUAGAGCAACCAGAGCAAUUCUAAGACUGUUAGAAAAGUAACUUCUGGCCUUGAACUUGAGUAUAUGUGAGGUGGGAACUGCUGCCUCUUAUCUUAGGAUCAGGAGGGGAGAAGUUGAAGGUGCCAGACACCAACCGGAGUGUGAGCAAGAAGCCAACAAAAUAGGGGUAGCUGGUAGAGAAUAGACUCAAAGAAUGGGAAAAAAACCAAGCUGUGGGACAUUAUGGAGCCCAGAAUCCAUCCUUGCUUGGAGGAGCUCUGCCUCUGGAGAUCUCAAUUAUGCAAGGCACUAGUCUCUUGUUGGCUUAAGACAGUUUGAUUUGGGAUUUUUUUUUUUUUUGGUUCCUUACAAUGGAUGAAGUUCCCAAAUGAAACAAUGAAUUGUCCUUCAAUUUCUUUUUUGUUUGUUUUGAUUUUGUUUUGUUGUUUCACAUUUUUUAUUUACAUUUUAGUUAACAUACAAUGUAAUAUUGGUUUCAGGAGUAGAAUUUAGUGAUUCAUCAUUUACAUAUAAUACCCAGUGCUCAUCAUAACAAGUGCCCUCCUUAAUACCCAUCACCCAUUUAGCCCAUCCCUUACCCACCUCCCUCCAUCAACAAUAAACUUAUUGUUUAUUUCACUCUUUCUCUCUUUUUUACCCUUUCCAUAUAUUUAUCUGUUUUCUUUCUUAAAUUCCACCUGUGAGUGAAAUAAUAUGGUAUUUGUCUUUCGCUGACUGACUUAUUUCACUUAGCACAAUAUAUUUUAACUCCAUCCACAUCCUUGCAAAUAGCAAGAUUUCAUUCUUUUUGAUAGCUCAGUAAUAUUCCAUAUUGUGUGUGUGUGUGUGUGUGUGUGUGUGUGUGUGUGUGUGUGUGUAUCACAUCUUCUUUAUCCAUUCAUCAGCUGAUGGACAUUUUGGGCUAUCUCCAUAGUUUGGCUAUUGUUGAUCAUGCUGCUAUAAACAUUUGGUGUGCAUGUAUCCCUUUGAAUAUGUAUUUUUGUAUCCUUUGUGUAAAUACCUAGUAGUACAGUGGCUGGGUAGUAGGGUAGUUCUAUUUUUUUGCUUUUUGAGAAACUUCCAUACUGUUUUUCCAGAGUGGCUGCCACAGUUUGCAUUCACACCAACAGUGUAAGAGGGUUCUCCUUUCUCUGUAUCCUCACCAAUAUCUGUUGUUUCCCAUGUUGUUGAUUUUAGCCAUUCUGACAGGCAUGAGGCGGUAUCUCAUCGUGGUUUUGAUUUAUAAUUUCCCUGAUGAUAAGUGAUGUUGAGAAUCUUUUCAUGUGUCUAUUAACCAUCUAGAUGUAAAGAACUGUACUACUUUGGCUAUUCAGUUUUGUCAAGAGGUUUUGUUUUUAUUUCAUUUAGACACAGCAUCUUCUGAAACAAGCACUAAGACAUAGCUCCCAGAGAGCAAAGUGAGAAUGCAAUGGAAAGGGUAAAUCAAGGAGGGGAGAAUAUUCCCAGAAUCUCAGUUGGGAGCCAGUUAAGAAGAAAGCCUGGAGCCUGGAGAUAUAGCCCAUGAGGCUAAAGUGUGGGUUGGGCCAUCUUGCCUGGUGGGAGAUGAGCUUGAAGGAGUGGACUGAGGUGACAUCUCAGAGAACUCUGUGCUUUGCUAAGGUUUGACUUCUCUUGAAGGGCAGUGGGGAGACUUUGAGAAGAUUAGGAAAAUGUCAGGAACAAGGUUAGGCUUGCAUUUUACAAAGAUUAUAAUAAUUUAAGCUGUUCUUAAUUUUGUAUACUUUUUCUGAAUAUGUACUAUUUUCAUAAUAAAAAUAAGUUUUUAAAAAGAAACCUUAUUUUGUCUGUGGUAUAGAUUGGAUUAGACAUGGAAUGUGAGAUGAGAUUCAGGGAAACCAGUUAGGAAGUUAUUGAAACAGGAGAUUGCUAAAAUGGAGAAGAGGAUAUUACCUUUGGAGCCAGGAAGACAAGUUUGAAUGGACCCUGGCUUUUCUACUUCUGGACUGUGUCAGCUUGGGCAACUAUUUUUCUUCUCCAGGUCUCAGUUUUUUCAUCUGUAAAAAUAUAGGUUGCAAGAAUUGUGCAAGUUAAGUUCCAGUGUGUAGUACUGUCAGCAGAUGUAGUUCUAAUUCUCAUGGUGUGAAGAGUAUGAAUUAAGACAGAUGCAGUGGGGAUGGAGAAGGGAGAAUAGGUGGCAGUGAUGUUAAGGAGGUGGAUUGUAUAAACCUCAGAGACUGAUGGAAUGAUGUUGUAGAGGUGCCGUACUUCCUGGGGAUCCCACUUGGGUGGGAUUAAGCAGAUAGUGAACUCCAUCCACUUAAAGAAAAUAGGAAAAAGGUCAGAGUUAUUGGUUGAGGGGGUGGGGAAAAGUUGGGAGUGAUGGGAAUUAUGAACUCAGUGUGGAACUUGUUAUACUUGAGAUGCUCUCAAGACAGAUGGCUUUUUGGGUCUGUAGCUCUCUGGGAGAGUUGGGGAUCCAUGAUGGGUAUUGGGGAGAUAGUACUUUCUAAGGAAAAUGUUCUCAGAGUAAUGAGUAGAGGGCCAUAGGGAGCAUGAGUGUUUUAAGAGGAACGCAACAAAACAGGAGCCAUAAAAAGGGGUUGGGCGGGAGAUGAGAAAAGAAAAUGGUCAUAUAUGUUAAGAGGGGAAGCAGGAGUUUAUAAGCUAAGAGAGAAAAAAUUUCAAGAGGAAGGGAGUGAUUAAUAUUGUCAACUGGCACAGAGAGGUCAGCUAAGGUUGACACUGAAAAAAAUGCUUUGGAUUUAGCAACUGGGGGUGGGGGUGAGGGUGGUGUCACAGUUUUGCCAGAGAUUCUUGAGUGGAGUACUAGGGCUUGAAUCCAUAUUGCAGUCUGUGGAAGAGUGGAAAGGAGGUAUGAAUUCCACUACCAUAGGGUAGAAUUGUCCUCUGUUCAUUCUGUGAGAGGAAAGAGAAAAAGAGGGAUGGUGGAGUUUUGUUUGUUGGUUUUAAGAAGUGAACCCUUGCAUGUGUGGAGAAGUAGCCAAACAAGAGAGAAAGAAUAAGUGUGAUUCUGAACUAUGUGGGAGGGGGUGGAAUUUUCUGGCACAGGUGAAGGAAUUAGCCAGAAACCAGAAAAGGGAGGUCACUUCCUCUGGGAUGAGGGGAAAGCUGGCAUCAAUGGGUACAGAUUAAAAUAGAUAAAAGUGUGGGUUGGGGAGGUGUGAGAUAUUGAGGAAGUUCAUGCUGAUGAUCUCAAUAUAAGUGUGAAGAGGUCAAUGAGGAGAAUGGCACAGGCCAUAAGGCAUGAGGAUUAGGAAGGAAGACUUGGUUUUAUUAAGCUGUUUGGGAGGCCAGGAGCAGAACAGUCCAGAAGGGACUGUUGAGUAGUGCUAUAGUUUCCCUCAGGUCAAAGAUAGUUCAUAGGGUGAGUGUCCUCCACCAGUGUUCCCCAUUGUACCCACAGGACUGAGGAAGGGGUAGAUGGAAGCAAAGGGGAAGGUAUUGAGUGUACUGAGGUCCUGAUUAGGAGGUGAGGGUUGAAGGGAGCUUCUGAAUUCUGAGGAUGUAUGCUGUGGUAGACAGCAGGACUGGUGAGUGCAUGUUUAGGAAUAGAGAGGUCAAGUGGCCUCUCUUCCUUCUUCCUCUAACACCUGUAAUCUGAACAGAAAGGCACAGGGUUAUCUGCAAGGCUAUUUUUAAUUGGUCUCUAGUUGGUGGUCUCUGUUGUUUUCUCUUUCCUGGGAGGAGGUGGCAACUUUUAGAAACCUAAUUUAAAAAAAAAAAUAAUGUUUAUUUAUUUUAGAGACAGAGAAAGAGAGACAGUGUGAGCAGGGGAGGGGCAGAGAGAGAGGGAGACACAGAAUCCGAAGCAGGCUCCAGGCUCUGAGCUGUCAGCACAGAGCCUGACACAGGCUUGAACUCAUGAACUGUGAGAUCAUGACCUGAGCCGAAGUCAGCCGCUUAACUGGCUGAGCCACCCAGGCGCCCCUAGAAACCUAAUUUAAAAGAAGUAAUUUAUGCAAUUUGGAGUCUUUAGACAAUGAGACACAGCAAAGAUCUAAAAACAUCAUUGAGGCAAAAGCAGUAUUUGUAGAGGGAUUACAAAUAGCUACAGGACCUAUUCUAAAUUAAGUGAAAAAAAAUCAUUACAAAACAGUGCAUGGAUUAUUCUUUCUUUUUUCCCCUAAAUUGUCCUGAAUCUUUUAUAUCUUAUCUUUGUGAGAAAAAAUAAAAUGAGUUAUAAGUAGCUAUUGAUACUGGAUUUUUCAUUCAGGCCAGUGUGUGUGUGUGUGUGUGUGUGUGUGUGUGUGUGUGUGUCAAGGAUUCCUCUUUGCGUUUUGUGUCAUUGGAUGUCAAGUAUGAUUACUAAACAAGAAUAUCUGUGGGAGUUAUCAUCAGUAGCUAAAAUUCUCUUUGCAGUUAUUUUUUAAAAUAAUCGGAAUAACGUAUUAAAUUCAAACUGUUUAGGAAUCUGUCUCUCAAGUAAAAAUAUCUUUAAAAUUCUGACAGGAGAUGGACAAGGAAGCACUCAGUCUGGUGUUGGAGAUAGCAGGAUAGUUUUGGAAGGAGCCAAUUAUGCCAGUAAAUGCUUGUUGCUGAAGCUACAAGGCAAGCUAAAGGUAUGCUUGCCCUUUUUAUAGGUUCUCUCCCUAGGUUGCCUUGAACUGGUCUGUUGGGGGAGGUAGUGAGGAGAGAAAUUAAGCCUUUUAGGAAAGCCCAUCACUGACUCUUGUGGGCGAUGGGGUUAGUGUAGUAGCAGCCAAAUUUCCUACCAGAAGUCACCUUCGUGUCAUGAAAAUGACAGGAAGUGUUCAUAGUACCACUUUUCUUAAUAGCACAAAAUGGAAACUCAAAAAUGCUGACUAUAGGAGUAAAAGAUAAAUACAUUAUGGUGAAUUCUCACAAUGGGAUAUUUACUUCCAGUGAGUGAAAGUACAUACACAACACCAAGAUGAAUCUGUCACAAAAUGCUGAGUGAAAAAGAAAAUCCCAGAAAACUAUAUAUAGUAUAAUACCAUUUUUGUAACAUUCAAAAACAGGCAAAGGAAAAAUAAACACCUAGUUCGGAAUAGUGGUUACUCCUGAGGUGGCAAGGGUGGAGGGCAGACAGAGGACUGCAGGCAGAGAGCAUAUAAAUAGAUAUAAGUUAUUGUUAAUAUCAUUGUUUGGGUUAAAUGGUCUAUUCGUAGGUGUUUAUAUAUUAUUUGAAAUAAGUUAAAUAAAGAGAGCCAUAAAUGGGUUGAUGGAAAUAUUGCAUGAGAAGCCAAAUAAGUAUAUAUUUCAAGCGGCAUGACGCUGUAGGCAGAUAAUACGCCCGGGACAUGAGCCCUCUUGGCAAGCCGAGCCCUUCUCACCUGGUGAACAGACUCUAGAGACUCUUCCCACAUGGAUUUACCUUCUCGUAUUGAAGAUGGACUACAAACAAAGGAUUUCAGAAAGUCACUAAGUUGCAUGAAAACAAAACCAAAAGCAUAACAAUAUCUUAUUGAGUAGGUAUGUGUAGGUGUGUCUGUAGGAUGGGUAUCCAGUAAUAGGUUAAUGGAAUGAAAGAGUAUGUACAUUAAAAUUUUUUAUAGAUGCUGCCAAAUUACUCUCCCAAAUGUGUUGUGCUAAUAUACACUCCACAACCUGUUUUUUUACAUCUUUGCCAACACUGGUAAUUAUCAAUGGUUAUCAAUCUAUUGGCUUGGCCAACUGGCAAAAUACCAUGUCUCAUUUUUGCCUCAAACAACCAAUUUCUAUGUGAGCUUUUGUUGUGGGAGUCAUUAGUGAGUUGAAGGCUCUGUGCAUAUUUUUGUUCCAUUAUUGACAAAAGAAUGGUCAUAGUUAUAUUUGCCUAAAAUUCUUUGAGAGGAGUUUUGACCUGUAACUAGAUCUACCACUCUCUAAUCCAUUUGGUCAGGAGUAGUAUUUACCUAAAAUACUUGGGAUAGAAGGGGAAGGAAGGGAGAUGUAUUUGGUGCUUUUAUGUGCCAAGUAGUGGGCUAGAUAUUUCAGUGGGCAUGUUCUCUCAGCUAGUGUCUUCUUUAUGGCAGCCCUCUGAGAAAGUCUGGAGACUCAGAGAAAUGAACACUUGCCUCAGUUGUACAGUUAGUAAGUGAUUCCGCUAGCUCUCACUUCAUUUCUCAUAAUUUUUUUUCCCUUAUGCCUUCUGUCUGCUAACAGAAGACAGCACCAUUUUAAGGAUCUAGCCUUUUAAUAGUUCUAUUCCAGUGGUUCUCAACCUUGGCUAUACACUGAAAUCUCCUGGGGAACUUGAAAAAAUAUUCAUGCCCAAGUUCCACUCCUAGAGAUUCUGAUGUAAUUGGUCUGAGGUGUAGCUUGGACAUUAGGAUUUAAAAAAAAAAAAAAACUCCCACAGAUUCUCCUUUUCAGUCAAGCUUGAGAGCCACUGGUCUAAUUCAGUGAUCUUCAGAUUUUUUUUAGACUUGCAUUACUUAUAAUUUGAUUUUGUGACACUCUCUUGCCACUUUAUCUCCUAAAAGUUUUGCAACUUUUUUCCUUUGGUUUGUUUUGAGGCUUUUGGAAAAAUUCCAUGAUAGACUUUGGAAUAAUUGCAGCUAUUCUGGUGAGAGAUGGGUAGAAAGACUGCAUUACUAAAUUGAGGUCAAGAAUUGCUGAGCUAAUUAUUUCUCAGAUCUUUAUUUUGCAGUUUUUGAAAUCAGUAAACCAACUGCAGCAUGACAUAAGCAAUCUUCUUCUUGAAGAGUAUCACUUCACUUUAAUAUUAGUAUCAUUUAUGACUUUUCACAAAUACCUUUUAAUCUGUUACCAAACAUCAAAUAGGACAAGUCGGGGAGCUCAAAAAAGGAAAUAUGUCAAAAAAGGAAAAAUGCAAUCUUAUUCAGCUUUUCUGGGAAUAUUUACUCACUACCUUGUACAAAGUAAAAUACCUUCUGAUUGUCUUUUCUACAUACACAUGAUGAGCUUAGUUGGUAUAAACAUUUUCCCCGUCUAUGAUAUCAAGAUGUCUUCUCCAACCUGCAAUGCAGCUUUAGAAAAACUGGUAUCGGGGCGCCUGGGUGGCGCAGUCGGUUAAGCGUCCGACUUCAUCCAGGUCACGAUCUCGCGGUCCGUGAGUUCGAGCCCCGCGUCGGGCUCUGGGCUGAUGGCUCAGAGCCUGGAGCCUGUUUCCAAUUCUGUGUCUCCCUCUCUCUCUGCCCCUCCCCCGUUCAUGCUCUGUCUCUCUCUGUCCCAAGAAAAAUAAAUAAACGUUGAAAAAAAAAAAUUAAAAAAAAAAAAAAAGAAAAACUGGUAUCAUUAUUUUGACAGCUCAGAUGGGGCUCAUAAUGCUUCUUACUCAUUCAAUUGUGGCUUAUUAUUUUAAUUGAAGUAUAGUUGACCCAUAAUUUUGCAUUAGUUUCAAGGGUACAACAUAGUGAUCCCACAGUUCUAUACAUUAUGCUAUGCUCACCACAAGUGUAGCUACCAUCUGUCACCAUAACAAUACCACUACAAUACCAUUGACUCUGUUCCCUAUCCUGUACCCUUCAUCCCUGUGACUUAUUCAUUCCAUAACUGGAAGCGCGUUGUGGUUCAUUUUUACUAUGUGUUGAUCUUUGAUAUUGCAUUUCUUUGUGGUGUGGGCAGCAGUCAUAGGAGAGCCAUGUGGUGAUUCUAGCAGAGGCCUUGUUUUAUCCUUUCCAAAGCACUUAUUGUUAUUGUUAAUACUUAAACUUGUAGGUAUUUUUCAAACCAGCUUAAUGUAACUCUGACAAUGGGAUCCUAUUAAAUUUCUGUGUAAACUAGGAGAUUUUCCCUUCUCCUUCUAAUUUUCUUUUGUAUUAAGUCUCAUUCAUCAGGACCUAGUCCUAAGAUCAGCUUUGCAAAAACCAUGCAGCAGAAAAGGGACCCAGUGUGGUGACAUGGGAAAAGCCAGAGUUGGUGUACUUUGCUUUUAAUUCUGCUUUAGUAAUUUCCUAUUGAAUUUUGAGUUAUUCUGAUCAUAAUUUCCUGAGGAUCAAACAGUAGACUAUAUGUGAAAGCACUUGGAAAUAUACAGUGUAGUGGAGUUCAGUACAAUUUGUUUUUAACCAGUUUAUUUUCCUUCUGAUAUCUUCCAAGUCAGUAAAAUAAACCAAAAACCAUCUUGAAGCUUCACUGUGGUAUGUGCUGAGUGUGUAAGAUUGGAGGUAGAAGGUCUGGUGUGAAUCAGGGGAAAUCAUUUCCUCUCAGCCUUAGUUUCCAUCUUUAAAAUGAGGAUACUAGAUAGAUGCCAUUUCAGAGGAUGGAUGGAUUAAAUGCAAUCAAGAAUAUGAAAGUACUUCAUAGAUAGCAAAGCACCUCACAAACAUUAACUAAUUCUUUGUUUAUGUUUGGUUGCACAACCCAUCCUUGAAGUUGUUAAAAUUUAUCCUUCAAGUCAGACAUCUUUUUCCUCAGUCCCAAGUAAGACUGCAAAGUCUCAGGGCUCCUACUUUCUCCCAUUUUGCUGCUCCUUUCCUAGGUGCUCCCAUGUGGAAAUCUCUAUCUUCAGACCUUUCUUUCUUUCACUUGCUGUACUCCCACCCUUCCCCCAAAUUAUAUGGACAUUCUCCUUCCCUGUCUUAUAUUUUAUUUAUUAUGAAAUUACACGUCUAUUUAUACAGAUGAAAAUUACACUAGUUUUUUAGCAGUUGAUUUUCAGAUGCUUGUGGCUAGCAUUUUAAAUGACUAAUCUAUCAAAUUGAUCCAAAAUAAAUGUUACUAGAUUGUGUUGUUCUUUCAGCAAGUAUAUGGUGUUUUAUCAGUGAUCAGAGUACCAGAACCCACAGUAAUGACAAAUGUAAAUAUUCAAGUCUGUGUUAGAUUUGAAGUAAAUGUGUUUUUUUUAAUGUUUUAUUUAUUUUUGAGAGAGAGAGAAAGAGAGACAGAGACAGAGACAGAGUACGGGCGGGGUAGGGGAAGAGAGUGAGGGAAACACAGAAUCCAUGAGGCAGGUUCCAGACUCCAAGCUAUCAGCACAGAGCCUGACGCGAGACUCGAACUCAUCAACCACGAGAUCGUGACCUGAGCCGAAGUCGGAUGCUGAGCCACCCAGGUGCCCCUUGAAGUAAAUGUUUAAGGAAGAAAGUGCGUUUUGUUCCAUUCAAAGUACACCUUCUAGUCAGCUACUCACUGUACUAGACUACAGUGCUGCCCUUAGAUGGAAAAAACAUCACACUUUUUUUCCCUUUUGUUUUGGAUUCAGAUGAAAAGUUAUUUAAUAAUAUCUUGAAUAUAUUUUAAACAAUUUUAAUAACAUAAUAUAAUAAUAUAUAUUUAAUUUUUUGUUGAACUUUGAUUCAAAUACAAGAUUAUAAACUUUUAAAAUAUUACACAAGUACUGAACACAUAAAUAACAUGGCAUCCCUGUCUUUUAAAAAAAAGCCCCAGUCAGUUCUGUUCCAAUUUUAACAGUAUUACACAAUGUUUUCUUGCAAGAAGAAAAAAUCCCCAAUGUCUUUUUUUUUUAAAGCAUCAUUUUUCAGGAGGAUAUUCUUCUAAAUACAGAGUUCCUAAAAUCAACUAACUUCCUGCUAGUCAUGAAUACCUAACAUUGAGCAGUGGAGUUUUGAAACUUUUCUAUGAACUUACAGGAAAAAACUAAGAGUGAAAAAACAAACCAGACAAAUAUUUCUGAUUAUCCUAGAGCCUUUUCUUCCUGUGAGUUCUUUAUCUUUUGCUUUCUUCCAGGUAUUUUACUAAGUCAUACAUUUCAACAACAAAUCUUCCACAACUACUUUUAUAUAGCCAAAAAAAUUUUUGCUUAUCUUGGAUAAUUAAUGAUUUUAAGGCAUUCUUAAUAAAAACAAUGCCUCCUUUCCUUGGGCUAUGUGACUGCUUGGGCUGAAAGAGACUGAGGGAUUAUUUAGCUCCACCUGCUCUAUUUAUUCCCAGAUGUGGGAACUGGGCCCCACGGAGAUGGCAGUUUACUUGAGUUCACAUGGAUGGCUCACUUCAUUGGGGAGUUCUUGAAAAAGAAUAUGGAUGGGUAUAUCUAGAUAUGAGAUAAGAACUAUCUGAGUUGUAUUUGUUUAUUGAUGAGCUAUUUGUCAUUUUAUCAUUCAUUCAUUCAUUUAUUCAUCCAUACUUCUGUUUUUUGGGAAGGUGGAAUAGUAGAAGCAGAGUUCCCGCCCUAUCACUGAGCUUGGGAAAGUUUUAUAUAUAACAGAGAUGUUCAAGGAAAAGUAAAGGACUUUUUGAAAUUUGAAAUUUACUCUUCAUUUUGAAAUUUACUCUUCCUGGCCUGGUAGUCUUAGUUCUCCACCCCUGGUCUUAGAAAAAUAAGAUUUUAAAGUGUGUGUGUAUGUGUGUGUGCACCCAUGUGUGCAUGUGCGUGUGCACCCUGCAUCCCUGAGAAGAGCCUUGGCUUAGGCACUUUCUGGGCAGAGCCAUCACUGCUGGCUCCAUUGUCAGACAGGUCUAACUAAUUGUUUGAGAGUUUUUCAUUUAUUGAGUUGAGAUCUGUUCCCUAUAAUUUCUACCCACAAAUCCUAGUCCUUCUUUCUGGAGAAACCCAGACCCAGUAUAUUCAACUGACUCCUUUCUUCCCCAUGAAGGCCUUUCUUUUCUGGAGUAACCACCCCUUACCCUUUAGCUUUUCUCCAUAGGGCAUUAUUUUCAGAUUUCUGAUUAUUAUUAUUGGGAUUCAGUCUGGUUUUGAAUGGUGUCUUUUCAAAUGUGAAACUAAGAACUGAAUAUUUCUCCAGAUGUGGUUGUGCUUUAUGGAAUAUAUGGCAGAACCAUAAUAUCUGCUGGCAAUACUGUAUUGUAUUUCUAUUAAUAGAGGCUAAAUGCACUUGUUUUCUUGGUAGUUGCCUUUAUACUCUUGACACCCUUUAAGCUCAGAAACAACUAACCUCCCUGGAUAUUUUCUGCAUGAAAUGUUAUCAUAUCAGUUCUCCUCUAGUCUAUGUUUGUGCAUUUAAAUAUUUUGAACUGAAAUUUAUCUGUAUUAGAUGUUAUAUUUUGGUUUCAUUGUGGCAAAAGUAUUUGAAUUCUUGACCCUGUUUUUGAUUGAAAUCAUUUGUGUUUUUCUGGCAGUAGAAAAACAGUUUUCAGCAUUUUGAAGGAUGAAGUGCCUUAUUUUUCUUAGAAAUAUCUAUCAAAAGAAGCAUUGUUUCUUGACCUUAUCCUAGGUCUCAUUAAAAAUAAAAAAUGUGUGUGUGUGUGUGUGUGUGUGUGUGUGUGUGCAUUUAUACUACAUUCUGGAUAGUGUAGAGUACUUUCCAGAUCUCCCCUUCAGAACCAAGUCACUAAUCCUCCCAGUAAGUGAGAAAGUUGGAGGCUGAAAGUUGGAGAAAGUUGGAGGCCUCUCUGGGAAUUGCCUUCAGCCAAAGUGUUGUCUCACACUAGAUCACACCACUUUCCAAGGGGCAGUCUAUUUACAAUGAUUCGUCAGGAAGAAGAACAAAGGCUCAAACUCAUUGCUAUGAGGAAGGGCCAUCUCAGCUCCAGAGAUUGCCAGUGUGAUAGCUGAAUCCUUUGUUGUGAUUGCACUGAAGUUCAAUACUUCUUUCUGUCCACACCUGCUUCCUUCACUCCCCCACAGGUGACAAUUCCAAGGACCCUCCUCAAUAAACGUUCUACAUUCAAAACUCCUUCAGAGUAGUUCCUAGGGAAAUUGACCAAAGUGAUUUGGUGCCAGAGGUGUUCUGAGGAAGCUGACUCUAAAAUGGGAUUUUGGAACUAUGCGACUGCAGCUGGCUGGCAAUAACAUUUAAUCUCUACCAUGAAGUAGUCAUUCAUUGUUUACACUUUCACUGGUGAUGAACUGGGAUGGGGUACCAUGGAGGAGAAUGAACUGGCUGGUGCAAAUCUCAGACUUUUGAGAGGUGAGAGUCGUAAAUUAUAAGGAUAAUGGGAUUAUUUGGCUCUUGCUGAGUGUCUUUAAUUAUAAUAGAAAGACAAGGAUUAAUUACCAAUCAAAGAGAGAGUAUGGAAGUCAGAGUCCUCCUUAGCAGCAAAUAAAGAGACUCAUCUCCUGCAGCUUGAGGGCAGAAAAUACUGAAGACCAAAAUUUAAUUUUAAGAAUGGUGCAUUUUCAGAAAAGGUUAAAUUUUCAGCCCCAGCAAAUUUUCUAUGCCAAGGUCAUAUGACAUAUUUUGCUAUACCAAAAUUUCCUAGUUUUGGAAAAGAAUAAGACCCUAAAGCUUGAGACGGGAACAUCUGUGUCAAUGAACUUAACUCUCCCUCAACUUUUUAGGCUUGCAAAAGUAGCCUUUUCUUUGUUGGAGACUGUACCCUCUACCUGAAGGCAACAUAGAAGCUUUUGCCUUGCAAAACCACAUAGACUAUCUCCCUCAGAUCUUGACCAGUAGCUAGUUUCAAAUCAAAUUUAAUGUAGCCAGGGAAGUGCUGAACUUGCUAAAGAAGGAAAAAAGGAACUAAACCCAAAAGGAGAUGAAGAACCUAGCAGGAUGACUAAUCAGGAAGCAGAGAGCAAUUGUCUUUUUCUUUCUUCCUUUCUUCCUUCCUUUCCUUCUUUCUUUCUUUCUUUCUCUUUCUUUCUUUCUUUCUUUCUUUCUUUCUUUCUUUCUUUCUUUCUUCCUUUCCCUUCCCUUCCCUUCCUCUCCUCUCCUCUCCUCUCCUCUCCUCUCCUCUCCUCUCCUUUUUUUCUGUUUUCUUUAUUCUCAAGUUAGUUAACAUACAGUGUAGUCUUGGCUUCAGGAGUAGAAUCCAGUGAUUUAUCUCUUAUAUAUGAUAUCUAGGGCACAGCCCAAAAAGUUCCCUCUUUAAUGCCUGUCACCUUUUAAGCACCCCCAUUAACCCUAAAAGCCACAAUUCUUUGUCCAGUUUGUGGACCUGAGCCAGAUUUUAUUUUUAUCUUUUUUCAAUAUAUAAAGUUUAUUGUCAAAUUGGUUUCCAUACAACACCCAGUGCUCAUCCCAAAAUGUGCCCUCCUCAAUACCCAUCACCCACCCUCCCCUCCCUCCCACCCCCCAUCAACCCUCAGUUUGUUCUCAGUUUUUAAGAGUCUCUUAUGCUUUCUGAGCCAGAUUUUAGAUUUAGAAGCCAUAAAUUGAAGGAAAGCCUAGGUUUUUAGGAAGAAACACCGUGCAACAGCACAUAUGUGGUAAUAUUUCUUCCAGUCCUUCCCCAAAGGAACUAAGGCCAUUUACUCAGGUAACUGUAUACUGGGAAAAGGGGAAUACUCAAAUAUUUUGAGGGGUGUUCGAGACAGGGUCCAAGUUUACAUUGAUGUCUAGAACCUAUGGUCCCCUUCUGUGGAAAGAGUGGGUAAGGUGUAUGAAGGCCAGUAAUAAAUGGAAUUCUGACUCAGGUCUGGCUCACAGUGAGUCUAGUGGGUCCACAGAUCCUGUAUGUGAUCACCCUUCUGGGCUCAGAAUGUAUAACUGGAACUACUAAUAGGUAGUUGUUUGAAGUUCCACUUGGGUUCUUUGGCUUAUGGGGUAAGAAUUACUGUAUUGAGGAAGGCCUGGUUGAAGCCUCUGAAGUUACCCUUCAAUCCUAUACAAGAGAAUAAUUCAACAAUAAUAUUCUAUCCUGGAGGCAAUGGAUAGAGAGAGAUUAAUGCCACCAUUAAAGACCUAACAGAUACAGGUGGUUCCUAUCAUAUCUACAUUUCAUUUACCAGUCUUGUCUGGCCUCUUCAAAAACCAUACAGAUCCUGGAGGAUUAGAGACUACUACUGCAAAAUCCACCAUUAAUAGCCCAUUUGCAGCUGCUGUGCCAGGUAUGGUAUCUGUGCUGGAACAGAUUAACACAGCCUCUGGUAUGUGGUAUUUAAGCAUUCGUUUGGUGUUUCUGUUCUUUUCAAUUCCUAAUAGGAAGGAAGAUCAGAAACAGUUUGCAUUCACUAGAAUAAUAGUUCCAGGAUUAUGUUAAUUUUCUCACCCUCUGAUAGAGUCAAAAGGAAUACCCUAUCUGGACAUUUCUGCAGUAUAUCACCUUCAUCCUGCAUAUCAAUAAUGCUACACUCAUCAGACUGGAUGAACAAAACAUGGCAAACAUAUUGAAAGUGUUGGCAGAUACAUGUGCUUUAUAUAUUCGAAGAUAAAUCUUAUAAAGAUUCAGGUGCUUGCCAUAAUAGUGACUUUCUCAAAGUCCAUUGAUUUGGGGCACACUAGAAUAUCUGUCCAAAAUAAAGAACAAAUUCUUGAUUUUCAAACCUCCUAGCACUAAGAAGUAAGUACAACAUUUACUAGGCCUCUUAAAAUUGUAGAAGCAGUAUCUUCUAUACUUGAGUAGGCCUAUAGUAGGGAAGUGUUAGCACUAUUUCUGGGUUUGGUGCAGCCUUCCUGCUUAGGCCAUACGACCAAGCAGACUCUGUGAUAUGAGAUGUAUUGGUGGUGAGAAAAGAGACUGUGUGAAGUUUGUGGAAAUCCCCAGUAUUAGUCUGCUUGGGCUGCCAUAGCAAAAUACCAGAGACUGGGUGGCUUAAUGGAAACUUAUUUUCUCAUAGUUAUGAAGGCUAGAAGUUCCAGAUCAAGGACCAGCAGAAUUGGUUCAUGGUGAGAGCUCUAUUCUUGGCUUACAGAUGCCUGCCUUCUAACCAUAAGGCCUCUUCUCAGUGCAUGGGCAGAGAUAGAGAUUGAGAUAAAUAGAUAGAUGAAAGAAAGAAAGAAAGAAAGAAAGAAAGAAAGAAAGAAAGAAAGAAAGAAAGAAAGAAAGAAAGAAGAAAGAAAAAGAAAGAAAGAAGAAAGAAAAGAAAGAAGAAAGAAGAAAGUGAGGGAGAACUUGGGUGUUGUGAGGGCUCCAACCUCGUAACCUCAUUUAGCCUUACUUUCUUAAAGGACCCAUUUCCAUAUAUAUCCCCAAUGGGGAUUAGGGCCUCAACAUAAAAUUUUGAGGGACACAAACAUUCAUUCUUUAACCACCACCUAAGGAGAAUCACAUGCCAUACAGAGAAUUAUACACCAUUCAAUAAACAGCUCCUGGGGUGCUACUGGUCCCUAGACUAUGGGAUACCAAAUGAUCAUGCAGCCAUAACUACUUGUCAUUAAGUGGAUUGGGUCACACAACCAAGUCUAAACUCUGGUGAGCCCAGGAAUUAUAAAUAAAAGUUGUAUAUUAAUGAAGCCCAUGCCAUUCAGCAUUGUUGCACUGGGGCUUCUUUCUCAGUUCGCACAGAGGACUGCUGGGACAAGGGUCCUGAUGACUAGCUAACAGAGAAAAAAAAGCCUGAUCUUUAUUCAAAGAUUAGUGGGUAUAAGCCAAAAAUAGAUUUCUCCUUUGCCCCUCUCAGAGAUGGCCCUAAAAGACAGUGGUGAGGAGAAAUCCUCUUAGUGGGUAGAGUUUUGAGUGUGCCUUUGUUACCCAUUGUGUUGGAAAGAGAAGUAGCUUGAAGUAAGCAUAUUCAUAAUCUCAUAGGGUAUGGAAAAUGGUGUCUCUGGUUAGUUAGGGGAGUGGAAGGAAAAGACAAGAAGAUAGGAGAUAAAGAGGUCUAGAGAGAUCCAUAUAGAUGAGCACACGGAAACGGGCACAUAGUGUGAAGAUAUAUCCAACUCCACCAGAGAGCAUCCAUCAUGGAAAAGGCAUUGAAUAACCAAGUAGACCAAAUGACUUACCUGAUGUCAGCCCAUCUCUGUUGUUGGCCAUCCUAAUGCUGACAUAAUGGGCACAUAAGUGAAAUAGCCAUGGUGGCAGUGAUGAAGGCUAUCCAUGGGCCUGACAGCAUGAGCUCUCCCUUAUGGGAUUCCUAUAGUAACUACUGCUGCUGAAUGCCCCAAAUCCAGCAAUAGACACCAUCUUAGUCACUUUGGGCUGCUCUAACAAAGUGCCAUACAUUGGGUAGUUUAUAAACAACAGAAAUUUAUAUUGCACAGUUCUGGAGGUUGGAAGUCUGAGAUCAGGGUGUUAGCAUGAGGGCCUCUUCCAGGUUUCAGACUGCCAACUUCUCAUUGCAUCCUCAUAUGGUAGAGAGAAAAGGAAAGCAAGCUUUCUUGUGACACUUAUGAGGGCAGUAAUCCCAUUCAUGGAGGGUUCCAUUCUCAUGACCUCAACUAAUCCUAAUCACCUCCCAAAGGCUUCACAUCCUAAUUACUAUCACAGUGGGGGGUAGAGUUUCAACAUAUGAAUUUUGCAGGGGCACAAACAUUCAAUUCAUAACAGAGACCAAUCUUGUAUGGGACCAUCUCUCAAAAGACUGUCAAUUGGUGGCAUCUUGAUUACACUGGAUGCUUUUCACCCUGGAAUCAGCAUGUUUUGGGUUGGGGGUUGCCUUACUGUCCUUAUAUAGUGUAUCAACCAGUCCAACUAUCCUGUGGCUUAGAGAGUUUUUGAUCCACCCGUGCAGGAUUUGCAUAACAUUGUAUCAAACAAAGCAGCCCUUUUUACAGCAAGAGAGGUGUGGAGGUGAAUGCACGAUCAGAGGAUCCAGUGGCUUUAUUAAAUACCACACCACCCAGAAUUUGCCUACCUAUUAACAGUGAUAGAAUGACCUUGUGGAAGCACAAGUGAGGUGCCAGCUUGGAGACAGUAACCUGUAAGAAUGGGGUGUAAGUGCAACAUGUCCCCUCAAUCAACUAUCAUUAUAUACUACUGUGUCCAAGAGGAAGAAUACAUGGAUCCAGGACCAAGGUUGAAGGUAGAAAAAGACCUGUUUAGAAACUCUCCCAUUGGCCCAUUUGGAGGAUCUGAGCUUCCUGUCAUCACAACUCCCUUUAUCUGUGGGUUUAGAGGUUCUGUUUCCCAUAGGAGUAACACUUCUAUCAAGGGACAGUAUUAGAGUCCUAUUUAGCUUUCAGCUAUGCUGAAAGCCCAUCACUUCAGGUUUCUCAGACCAAGAGAAAGCAGUCAAGAAAAGAAGUCACCCUCCUGGCAGGGGUAAUUGACCCUAAAGAGAAAGAAGUAAGGCUGCUGUUAUACAGUGGGAUAUGGGAAAAUGUGUUUGGCACUUAGGUGAUCCACUGGGGAUUUUCUUAGUACUUUCUUUGCCCAAUUUUAAGAGUAAAUUGGAAAAUAUAUCAGUCAUGGCCUGGGGAGGGCAUGAUGAUAUGGUAUGCAGUCACCUUAGGGCUGAGGUCUGGGUCACCCCACAAGUUAACCUUCCUACCCCAGAAGAGAAACUAGCUGAGGGUAAGAAGAAUCUAGAAUGGGUAAUAGAGGGAGACAAUGAGUAUCAGCUACAGCCUUACACCAGCUGCAGUGAUUUUGUCCCACUAACAUCUUUCAUAUGGGCAUCCCCAGGAAAAGAGACCAAUCAGGACUUGCCCCCAGAACUUAUCAUAUAAAGCAAGUGGAUACAAGUGGCACAAAUGCUGGGCUGUAGUGGAUAUGAUGUGUUGCUGAGAUCCCUCUCUUCAGGACUGAGGCAUUCAGCUACUGGACUGUUGAUGGUCAUAGUUCUUGGUGAAUCCCUAUCUGGGCAUUGCCCUCAACUGAAGGGAGCCACAUUACCCAAGGUUAUGCCUCUCUCUAGGGGAUAGCCCACAUUAAAUGACUGGCAAGUGUGGGUUAUAAAGCUCUUGACUCAUGUAGUACAACUCAGAAGGACUGUCCUAGCUCCAGAGAGCCCUGUGGGAUUAGCUGAGUCCUUUGUGGCAUUUGCCAUACAGUUCAGCUCCUCCUUUUGCCCAUUCCUAUUUCCUUUAUUCCUCCAUAAUUGUUGAUUCUGAGUGCAUUUCCUGAGAACUUUGCUGCAUGGAAUCAUCCAUCCCAGAGCCCAUUUCCCAGGGAACACAACUGAAGUCCUACUCUUUCCUAUUCAGGUAGGUCAACAAAGAUCUGAGAUCCCAUUCAAACUCAUUACAUACAGACAUGCAAAUAUGCUUCAAUAUACAAUCCUGGCAUGUGGUUUUAUUUAGUUGUGGGCUGGAGUAGGCACUUUACAUGUCUUAUUUUAUUUAAUACUUUCAACAACCCUGGGAGGUAGCCACCUUCAUUCCCAAUUUAUAGAUGAGGAAACUGAGGCAUAGAGAAGUUAGGUGUUUUGCUGAAUUCACACAAGUAGCUAGCACCAUAGCUGGGAUUUGAGCUUCAUCAUUCUGCCUCCAACUAUACUAUAAUGUUACAAAGGCUUUUGGAACACACUAUAGUAUGUGUUUGUUAGAGGUUCCUAAUGCAUCCUUAGUUGGAAUUAACUGUGUGAGACUGUGGGUAAGGCCUCCCAAGUGGGACUUGAUUCAUUCAUAAGUUUACCUGUGGGAGAACUAGUCUAGUAUAUUUAUUGUGGCUUAUCCUCAGAUGGAGACAGGGGAGUAACUUAACUUGGUAACUUCUUCAGGAUGGAUUUAGCUGUUAAAGGAUUUUAAAUUAUCUAUAUUUGUGUGUCCUAUUGGCCAUGAGAAUGAGAAAGAAACUGAUAGCAAAGGGACAGUAGUUUUUCUGUUUUGACUCCAGUAUUUCUUGAUGCUAUUGAUUAGGUGGUAGUUGGAAGGUAAGCUUGGUUCUCUUACGUCGUGUUGUCAUCAACAAUAGUGAACAUUGAAAGAGAUUAUUCCAGGGAGUGGAGAAAGUUAGAGACCCUUACAAACCCAGUGUCUCAAGCUUUUAUCUAAGUGGCUUUGCUCAAAGCUAGCUUUGGUCAUAUCAUGCAUGUUGCAAAUAACAUUUCCAUUUGAGUUCUGCAAACAGCUGUUGAGUGAUGAGCAAAGGUAUGUAAUUGCAGCUCUCAUAAAGAUUUCAUCUUUUUAUUUUCAGUAAAUUGAUAAUGAUUUAAUUUAAGGACUUCAGCCUUUACUAAUUGCAGAAUGUGCUUCAAACCCUGACCAUGGGGGUAAUUAUUGUGGUGAAGUCUCCUGGUACUCUCUGUCUAUAGUUUAUUGCAUUUGUGAAACUUCUCUUCAUUCUGCCUGAUUUUCACAAGUGAUAUUUAUUGUCUGUGGUUUGUGUUAUGUGGCCUACAGGGGGGGAAAAACACUUGCUUAACUAUUUAAAUAGUCAUAAGUCUAUAGUUUCCUGAAAUAACCCAGCCUAACUUUCUCAGAAAAGUGUGAAAUUCCCUUUUCUGGGAAUUGUUUUUUGUUUCUGAUUCUUGCCCUCAGUGACAUCUAUGCUGGUAUCUUAUUUCCCUGCUAAACAAGAUAAAAUUUAAAAGCAUAAAAAUUAGCAAAAAAUAAGAAAAACUAACCAGGCCAGCUAGCCCCCUUGCUUUAUUCCCUUCAUCCUCUCUUGACCUCAUAUGUUGGUAAUGGCUACACAGUGGGGUAUAUUUCUGGAUUACAUUUUAUAAAGACUGAUGAUUGUCUUCUGGUACUUGUUGUUCCUGUUAUUAACAUUUCUCAGAUAUGAUUUUCCUCUAAAAGUAUUUAAAAGAAAUUCCUAAUGAGUGAACUCAGAAGACUGGUGUAGUAUAGUUUUUUACUUGGUGUAAACCAUGAACACAGGUAAUUUUUUUUUCCUUUUUUCCAUCACUACUUCUUUUUUUUUUUAAUUUUUUUAACAUUUAUUUAUUUUUGAGACAGAGAGAGAGAGAGCAUGAACAGGGGAGGGUCAGAGGAAGAGGGAGACAUAGAAUCUGAAACAGGCUCCAGGCUCUGAGCUGUCAGCACAGAGCCUGACGCGGGGCUCGAACCCACAGAACGCGAGAUCAUGACCUGAGCCAAAGUCGGACGCUUAACUGACUGAGCCACCCAGGCGCCCCCCAUCACUACUUCUUAAGACUUUGAAACUUUGAAAUGAGCUUCCCCAAACAUUAAUGGUUUGAGCAUAGCUGAGAGUUAUCGUCUCUAACUUUAAUUUUUAUUUUAAAAAAAGUUUCAAUUCUAUAAAGAAAAAAAUUAUUGAGGGGAGGAGUACAAGAGAGCCUUCUGAAUUGCUGGAAAUUCUAUCUAUGCUGAUCUGGAAUGGUGCUUAGAUAGCACUACGUGUGUGUGUGUGUGUGUGUGUGUGUGUGUGUGUGUGUGUAUUUGCACUUGUAUAUAUGUAGAAAUCCAUUGAGUUAUAUGCUUUAAGAUUGGUGCUUUAUGCUGCAUACAUGUUAUACCACAAUAAAGCAAAUUAGUAUUUUCUAGUUUUUAAGGGUCUUUUAUUAAAAAUUUUCAAAAUGUUUUAUUUAUUUUUGACAGAGAGAGAGAGAGAGAGAAAGAGUAAGAGUGCGAGCAGGAGAGGGGCAGAGAGAAAGAGAGACCCAGAAUCCGAAGCAGGCUCCAGGCUCUGAGCUUUUAGCACAGAGCCCUACUCAGGGCUCAAACCCACAAACCAUGCAAUCAUGACCUGAGCCAAAGUUGUAUGCUUAAUUGACUGAGCCACCCAAGUGCCCCAAAGGGUCUUUUAUUUUAAAGCGUUUAGAUCAUGAGACAAGGUAAGGGAAAGAAUUUUUAAAGUGUAAAGUAUUAUGCAACUGAAAGAUAUCACAAUCUAGAGAUGUAACUGGGAUAUUUAUUAUUCAGAGUGGAUUAUCCUCUACCUUCUCACCCCAGAUCUUUAAACUUUGCUUCAGUCUCAGCCUGGUGCCAGAGAGAGUUUCUUUUGGUGCCAGGAUAACUCUUACCUCUGACUGUACUGUGGAAAUUAAAAGUUAUUUUACAGAUCUUGCUCAAAAUCUGUCACUUUACUAUGACUUAACAAAACAGGUCAUGGAAUGAGCUGGAAUGGACAUAGAAUGAUCAUGGACAAAGUUUCCAAUGGUUGGAGGGGAAUUCCAUGGAGUCAUGGGCUGCAUUAAAGAAAUGUAUCCUAGAGGGGGAGAGAACACAUCAUGAGUGUAAUGAGUAUGAGAACAGAAUAGAACAUUGACAUUUGUGUUAAUACUUUGUUAUGCCUUUUGUGACAGAGAACUGUUGAUGCUGGCUAAUGGAAAAAGAAAAACUAUCUUUUUUUUUUUUAUAAAGAAAAACUAUUCUGAGUUUCAAACAAAGUCCAUCAUUAAAAGGUUUAAAUGUUACUUGGACACUGUCAAGUUAUAGUAUGAUUGACUUUUGAACAACACAGGUUUGAACUGCAUAGGUCUACUUACACAGUAGUAAGUGUAUAGUACAACACAGUACUGUAAGUGUAUUUUCUCUUCCUUAUGAUUUUCUUAUUACCAUUUUCUCUUCUUUAUUAUAAGAAUACAGUAUAUAAAAACACAUAACAUAAAAACUAUGUGAUAAUCAACUGUUUAUGUUAUCUGUAAGACUUCUGGUCAACAGUAGGCUAUUAGCAGUUAAGCUUUGAGGGGAGUCAUGUUAUACCUGGAUUUUAAACUGCAUGGGGGUCAGCGCCCCUAACCUCCAAGUUGUCCAAGGCUCAACUUUGUGUUCAUUUAGCAUGAAUCUUGUGGAUAGAAUCAACCUGAACAGUAGGGCCCUGCGAGCUGGCCUGGCUGCCUUUUGCUAUUGUGAAGUUUGAUCUCUCAGGAUUAUGAUCUUUCUGAGUCUUCACUGUUCCAUUUUUUCCAUUGCCUGCUAUUUGAUGGUAGCUUCUCUAACUCAUCCCAUAUCUUUUUUUAUAUCUAUGCACAUUCCAUCUUUUUCCUCACAUUUUUAAGUCUUUCCCUGGAUUUGUUUUAAGCCAGCUUGGGUGUGAAUUCUUGCUGUUGUUCCUCUCAUCUGUCUCUCCCUCCAAAGGCAAGCUCAACUGUCAUAUCUCUCACUACUUCAGCCCAUAUUGGUCUCCUUUCCUGUUGUACUUGCUGUCUGUAACUUUCUAUGUGGCAAUGCAUAAUUUCUGACCUCAUUUCUCAAGUGGUUCACAUGAAUGGUUCAUUUCUCAACUUUUGUGGAGGGAAAAUAUCACCUUUAUCUCAUACAGACUUUAGGGGUUAGCACAAGGCUUCAGGGGUAUUAGGGAAUCAAAAUUUACCUGAGGAAUGAAAAAAUUAUGUAUUCAAGGCUUCUAUAAUAUCAAGCCCUUAAUUUUUUUGUUUUAAGUUAAUGGUGUGUAAAAAUGGGUCCGUGAGAAUAUUAUUUUGAAUCUCAAGUAAUCUCAUUCUUACGAUUAUAUUUUUUAUUUAAUUUUAAUUUUCCUUUUACAGUUCAGUCUGACAAGAGGGGCCAUUUGUAUAUGUGUAGGAAAUCUUUUUUUCAAUAUAGGCUUCUAGUAAAUACAGGUUUUAAAUAAUGCAAUGUGAAUACAGCUCAUUAUAGUCUCUAAAUAAUUACCAGGACCCUUCAAUAAGGGAAAUACUUUUCCGAUGGGUCAUUAGAAACACAUUUGUGGUAGACUUUUAAACCAUUAAUAAUCAUAGAGACUGUCCUAAUUGCUUUUGGAGUGAAGAAUUCUUUUGUAGUAUGGAGAACCACUUGCUAAUUCAUCUGUUUUGCUAGACUGGAUUUUCUUAAAUUGACUUGCUUUAAAAUGGACAUACUUGCACUUUAAAAGGCUCCAGAGACCUCCUGUCUAUAUACAAACAUAGAAAUAGCAUUAACGACUGACAGUCACCUCCCCCCCUUUCCCUCUGUCAGUUAUGGGGACUAUUUAAGGUUCUAUCUUUUUCAUGCUCUAGAAGUAAUGUGAGGUUUACAUUCAACUCCCUUUAAUCUGAAACACUGACUGAGCUCCAAACCACUUGGCAGCCUGCCAUUUUUCAAUGGGAGGGGAAAGCUGCAAUGUAAUUUACUCUCCACAUUUUAUAGUUUUCCCUUUAAAAAAACCUGCUUAUACACUUCCUGUAUUUGCAGAAACUAGAGAGUAAUAUGGCUUUUAAAUGUGGCCCUGUCUGGGCAAUUCUGGGGAGCCCAAAGCAGCUGACAGGCCACUGAACUUGGUGUACAGUGAUGAGAGAUAAGGGGCUCUGUGUAUAAAGGUGUUGGGGGAGAGUGUGAAGGAUGAUGUAGGCAACACAGUAGGUGUGAUGAGCUAAAAGAGGAGCAUAGUAUGGGGAGGACAGAGGGUCAGGGCUGGCCUGUGCUACUGAACUUAGGUGUACAAGUAAAUAAUAAUCAUGCCAUCAUUUUAGCCAGGCAGCAGCGUUUACUGAGCACUGACUCACUGCUAGGGAGUUUCUUCACUAUUACCCUGUCUGAACUCUGGUCUUUUAGAGAUUCAGCCAAAAGGUCUUCUGGCCUCACAUACUGUCUUUAUUCGUGAGCAGACAGUGUCUGCCCUGGGCCUUAUCUAGGAAGACUGGAUAAGGGGUGGGAUUCCAGAGGCUUUACUCUCAGGAUGGUGUUCAUUUCAUCAGACUUUUCCCUGCUGUCCUUGUCCCAGUACUCGAUUGCCUAGCAUUCUUCACCAGUUUUUAUCUCCAUUCACUUCCUUCACUCAUUUACUUCUGGCUCUAUCCAUCCAGGAAGUGGUUACUGAACCUCUUACCAUGAGACAGUACCUACUGGAGAGAUAAUGGAUUAGCUAGGGUUAGCUAGGGUUCUCAGAGAAGCAAUGGGAUAGAUGGAUAGAUUAGAUAAAUAGAUAUAUAGAUAGAAAAUUAAUUAAAGAAAGAAUAUUUUGGUAUAUAUAUUUACAUACAUCCUCCCCACUAUAGAAUCGAUCAGUCUAUCUAUCUAUCUAUCUAUCUAUCUAUCUAUAAUCUAGAUUUAGUUUAAAGAGUUAGAUUUUGGAGGGUGGCAAUUCCAAAAUUUUCAGGCUAUCUGGAGACACAGGGAAGAGUUGAUGUUACAACUUGAGUCUGAAGGCAGUCUGGAGAUUGCCUGCCUUCUUCCUUGCGGGAAGGUCAGUCCGUUUUCUUUUUCUUUUUGUUUUUUUUUUUAAGUUUAUUUAUUUAUUUUGAGACAGAGAAAGAGCAUAGGAGAAAGGCAAAGGGAGGGAGAGGGAGAGAGAGAAUCCCAAGCAGGCUCUGCACUGCCAGCACAGAACCCGACGUGGAGCUUGAGCUCACAAACUGUGAGAUUAUGACCUGAGCUGAAAUCAAGAGUUGGACACUAAACCGACUGAGCCACCCAGGAACCCCAGGUCAGUCCUUUUUCUAUUAAGGCCUUCAACUAUUGGAUGAGUCCCAUCCACAUUACCAAGAGUAAUCUGCUUUACUUGAAAUAUCCCUAUUUAGAUGUUAAUCUCAUUUAAAACAUAACUUCACAGCAAUAUCUUGACUAGUGUUUGACCAAAUGCCUUGGUACUAUGGUCUAGCCAAGUUAACACACAAAAUUAACUGUCACAGGUACUAUGAAUCUUACAAAGGAGAGUAAUAUAGGCCAUUGUCCUCAAUCUAUGUUUAAUUAGAGAGAUGCUCACAUCAAUCCAUCAAUCAGUCAAUGACUAUAAAUCAGGUCAUGCACUUUGUGAUGAGUUCUGUAUCAUCUGUAAACAAAAAGCUUUGGGAAUCUAGAGGAAAUAAUGAUUAAUCCUGACUGGGGGUAGUGAGAAAGGCUUUGCAAAAGGGUGCAAUUUAUGGUGGCUGUUGAAAGCUGGGUAGGAUUUUGCUAAAUAAAAGGGUAAGGGCUGAGGGAAAGGAAAACAUCCUAUUCCAGUAAAAAAAAGAAUUUGGUCAUGAGUUUAUAUAUUGUCUAAAAUUAUAUUGAGUGCAAUUUCCAUGUCUUACUGUUCUGGGCACUGAUGUAAUGCAAAGAGGCUGUAUCUCUGCUCAGAAAGAAUAAUGACAAUGGUCACUCUUUGUUGAGUGCUGCUGCUUGCCAUGGGUCAGGUACCAUGACAAGUGUUUAUACUUAUUAUCUCAAUUAUUGUCCUACCACCCUGUAGGAAAGGUUCUCAGCAGCGAAGCUCAGCCAGUACAGUGUAAUAUCAGUGGACUGAAAAGGUACUGCUGAUCAUACUCCUGGGGCAUAGGAAGGACAGGAAGUUGGCCAGGCAAUGAGGUUGGGGCUGAAGUACACAUCUUGUUCAUUGCUGGGCUGGGCCUUGAGCAGGCAAGACUUGAGCCCAGCCUUAGCUCACACCCUAGAUGAUUCUGCAGCUGUUCUGGUAUAGAUGGAAGCUUGUUUGACAGUACCUAUGAGAAUGAAAUCUGUAAUAAUCUUUGAUUCUUUGCUAAAUUUGCUUUCACUAAAUUAAUCACUUUCAUUAUCCCAAGGAAACUGAGAAUUAGAGAGUCUAAGGGAAUUUCCUAGCUGCCUGACAUCAAAACUUUUGCUCUUUCUACUAAGCCAACACUGCCUUAACUCCAGGCUAAUGGACAAACAGUGAUUGCUAUGGUUUGAAUGUUUAUGUUCCCCUACUCCCAAAUUCAUAUGUUGAAAUCCUAAUACCUAAUGUGAUGUGUGAGCAGGAGGUGGGACUUUUGAGAGGUGAUUAGGUCAUGAGGGUGGAAUAUUUUGAAUGUAAUUAGUGCUCUUAUAAAAGAGACUCCACAGAGUUUUCUCAGCCCUUCAACAAUGUGAGGACACAAUAAGAAGUCUGUAACCUGGAAGAAGGCCCUCAUCUAACCAUGCUGGCACCUUGACCUCAGACUUCUAGCCUACAAAACUAUGAGAAAUUAACUUCUAUUGUUUAUAAACUACCUCAUCUGUGAUUUUUUUUUUUAAAUCAGCCUGACAGACUAAAAUAGCAAUUUAAGUAAAUGACUCCAAAGAAGUGGAGUCACUGCUGUAAUUGUGGUGUCUUUAAGGCACAGAUGAUGGAGUGAUGAGAUCUAUGGGAGAUAUAAUCAAAAGUAUAUACAUUACAAGAUGUGCUGAAGCAAGUGGGCCCAGGAGCCUGGGCAGAUGAUGAAGCCAGAACCAAGAUGGAGGUAAUGGGAAUGGAAAGAAAGGAUUCAACAGUCUGUAUAUCCAGAAGAUAAAACUUAGUAACUGAUUUUAGGAAACUGGGGAAACUUAGGUGUCCAGGUGCUAAUUACAAGCAAAGGAAUACCCUCAGCUAAUGAAGUAGAAAAAAGAUUACAAAAGGGUAUUUCCUAGGUCACAGAUUUCCAGGAAAUCUGGAGUUAGGCCUGGGGGUGGGGGUUGGGUCAUGCAGCUAGGAAUUAUGCUUUUACCAUACCCUAGGGCUUCUACGGUGAAGAGUCCACUGUUAGCACCCCUGAACAUUGCAUAUCAUACCACACAUGAUGCUGGACAUAGGAUACCAGAACCUCCACUACUGGUUGCUGCAAACUGUACACCCCUAUGUCUGACCUCAUGAAAGUGCAUACUGUAUAGCUCUGGUUUCCUCACUGUACUCUGGCUGCAAAGGAGGCUAGGAAAGAGAGGCUCUAGCUUCCAUUUUGGACUGUUUGACGAGUUUCUCAAACUUAGAAUAGACCUUCACAAGAGUCCUGGUGAUCACAAACAUGCCUACUCCAGGUGGUGAAGGAGGAGAAGAAUCAAAACUGAUUCCAAGGUUUUUCAUUUAGCAAAUGGGUGAUUGGAGAUGCUGGGACCAAGAUAAGGAAAAUGGGAGGAUGAAUAGAUUUUUGAGGCUGAAAAAAUUAGUUUUUUUCUGAAUACAUUUGAUUUAAGAUAUCUGCAGCACAUCAGUGUGGAGUCAGCUGUACAAUACACAGUUAGAAAUUUGCAUCCCAGGCUCAAGAUGGCAGAUAGAUAGAGAUGUAGACUUGGGAACAAAUAUAUAGAUGAGUGGAUAGAUAAGAUUGAUCCGGAUGUAUGUAACCUUGAUGGAUGUUACUUCAGAAGGGCAGAUAGAAGAGGAGGAAGAGCCACCAAAGGAUUUUGAGGGAAACAAGUUGGGGGUAGAAUGAGAAUAUAAAGAUGGAAAACUAGAGUAUCAUGAAACUCAAAGGUGGAAUGGAAAGAGAUGGUGAUCAAAACAAUGAAAUGCUACAGAGAAAUAAGUACUGUGGGGGCUAAGGGUCCCUGGAUUUCUCAGAAAAAAAAAUCACUUGUGGUAUGCAGAUGUUAUUUUACCUAAGGGCAAGAUCAUGAUAAUCAGAGACUCUGUACCUUUCCUCAGCCGUCAAUCAAUAUACAGCUUUUAUUUUUUGUCUCUACCCAGUUCUCAGGUUCCCUUCUCUUAAAACACCCACUGUCUCUCUUCAAGGAGGUAAGGACUACCCUACCCUACAUUCCUAACAACAAACCCUUUCCAAAUUUGCACCGCAUUUUAAUCUGAGUCUGUAGCUAUGCUUUUCCCAGUAUCACUGCUCCCUCAGCUCCUGUCUUCUUCUCCUCAGCUCUACUCCCCCAGUUCUAUUUGGUAUUUCCCCAAUUUCAGGGUCACUUAUCUAGCACCCAAUGUCAGUUCCUAGGCUCAAACUGGUUCCCCAAUUUCCAUCCUUCCCAUCCCUAUUCCUGAAUGUACUUCCCAUCCACCAGUGGCACUCCCAUUUCCCCCAGAGUUCCUCUGUACUUCAUGUAUCAUAGCCUUUACCUGUACCCGCCACUUUCCUGGCACUGUGUCUGUUGUUCUCAGUCCUUGGAGACUUUGCUGGCCAACCUUUGUCCUACCUUUCUUUGCCUGUCUCAUUUCUAGUUCCUCCUCUCACUUUGGAUGCUGUCAUUCUCUCUUAACUAUGAUCCGUCCUUACUUCUGUACCUUUCCUUUUUCCUUAUUUGCUAACUUAAAAACAAAAGUAAGUCUAAAAAGUUGUUCCCUUUUAGAGACACAUACUGAAGUAUUUAUUGAUGCAAUGAUAUGAUGACUGGGAUUAUUUUCAAACUAUUUGGAAUGCAGGCAAGUGGGUGGGUAUAAAUGGAGAAAUGACUGGUUAUGAGUUGAUAAUCGUUGAAGGUGAAAAACACACAGGGGCUUUUUGCAUCACUAUUUUUGUGUAUGUUUAAAAAUUUUCAUUAAAAACAUUUUAAUGAGAAAAGUUUAAAUGUAUGUAAGUAAAUAAAAUGAGAUGAUAUAAAGAAAAGUGUUAAGUGGCACUAGUACUGAUAUGGCAAAAAUCAGAAAUGGAAAAAAGCCAUGAAGGUGGUAUUUGAGUAGCUGAAGGGAGAAAAACACUUAAGAUAAUAAAGAAGGAUCUCAAAAUGAGUGGGGAUACAGAACAAUAGAGCAAGUUUGAGAAAAGAGGAAAAAAGUCUAAGCAACUCCAUUGUUUAGGUCUGACUCUCUUGGUGAAGAAGUCCAUAUGCUCUCUGGGGGUAAAGGGGAGCAGGUAGGACUUGAAUAAAGAUUUUUGAGAUAGCCAUUGUAGGGAAGGGGAAGGAAGCCAGCUAGAGAUAAGCUGCAGCUGAGGUGGGAGAACAUGAAUCUACAGUGGGGUUGCUCUCCAUUAUCUUAGCAGUCUAGUCUUUUUUUUUUUUUUUAAUUUUUUUUUUUAUGUUUUUAUUUAUUUUUGAGACAGAGAGAGACAGAGCAUAAGCAGGGGAGGGACAGAGAGAGAGGGAGACACAGAAUCCGAAGCAGGCUCCAGGCUCUGAGCUGUCAGCACAGAGCCCGACGUGGGGCUCGAACUCACGAACGGUGAGAUCAUGACCUGAGCUGAAGUCGGACGCUUAACCGACUGAGCCACCCAGGCGCCCCAGCAGUCUAGUCUUUUAAGUGACUCUAGAGAGCCUCCUGGGUGCCUCAGGUUUUCUGCAAAACAUGUCUUUUCUAUAAAUCAGUGAAGAUGUAAACUACCAGUGGGACCUAUUUGUCUAGAAAACUCUGUUUUAUGUACUUGGUUUGAGGGCAGAUUUUUACUGAAAAAAGUUCCACUGCUAAAAUGUUGGACUAAAUAAGCAUUAUUCCUGGCAUAGCUAUUUACUUUGUGGUGUGUUAUACACUUGCUGCUACUUUUGUUGUAGGUGUUCAUAGGAUAUACUGUACAAUGAUGGAUUUUUGAGUCUGUCUCAAAGGGAGGAGAAAUUUGAAAAUGGCUGUUGCCUUUUGGAGUGGCUCACAGAUGUUAUGUGCCCCCACCCUUGGCUUAGGCAGGGUUUUCUGUGUGUGUGUGUGUGUGUGUGUGUGUGUGUGUGUGUGUAUGUAUAAGUGCAUGCAUGCAGGUGCACAUCCACAAACACAUGCAAAAUUUUGCAUAUAAUUUCAAGGGGUUCAAAGACCAAAGAUCCAGUUAAAAUUCCAGAUCCAAGCCAUGUGGCAGAAAACCUUAAUGAGUAACAUGUCCAUUUAUGUUUAGCAAACAGAAGGGUUAUUUUGGCUUUUAGAAAUAAUGAGCAAUAUUGUCACCAAGAUUAUAUAUUCUCUAGGCAUCUGAUGUGAAAACUUGACCUUCUUACCUUAGUCUAGGAUGAUUUACCAAAAGUUAAUAAUUUAAGUCUGACUCAAGGCCUGUUACCCCUUUGAUGUCAGAUAAUUGCCUAAUAUAUAAAACAUUUAUAAUAGUAUAACAUGUCCACAUAGUACGAGUUGUAUUUUAUUUUGUAUUUUAAAAGUAAACUCUAUAUAUAGACUUAUAUCGUGAAUCACCAGCUGCCAUAUUUAAGAGGAAGAAGGGAGGGAACUUACAUUUGUUGAGCAUUUAGGACUCAUUUACUGUUCUGUGUGUAACUUGUUUAGUCAACACAGUAUUGCUAUUAGACAGAUAUUACCUUUUUAUUUGAAUGAUGCAAAAACUAACGUUCAAAAAACCUAAUAUAUUCACCCAAGAUGAUCGGUUAAUGAGUGGCCGAGCCAGCAUUGAAACGUUGGUUUCUUCUAAAUCUUUGCUUAACAGGCACUGCUUUGUUUGUUUUUGUUUUUUGGCUAUCUUAUAUUCGUUUCUCUCUUUUUUGGAGAAUUACUCCCCCUGUUUCCCACCUUCUCCAACUCCAUUCUAUGAUGUGUCCUUGAAACUAUUAAUCAAGGUACCCUGCCUCAUGACUCAAACUAGGAUAACCACAUUCUCUUUGAGUUGUUUAAAUCUUGCAUGGAAAGACUCAAAGAUUGAAAACUUAGUUCGAAUUAAUCUUUGCUAGUAUUAACACCUUGAAUGAACUAUUGACUCCUGCUACCUAGCCCCUCUGGGCUACCCUGCUGGUUCUUAGAUUUCUCUUUGAUUCUUUGAGCUGUUCAAUAUCCUUGAAUAAACUCAUUUCUUUUGUAGGUUAUGUAGAGCUAUGGACUGAACUGCGCUUACCCUCCCCCUACUCCUCUGCCCCUCCCUUACUGCAAAUUUGUAUGUUGGUGCUCUAACCUGAAAUGUGAUAGUGUUUGGAGAUUGGGCCUUUGGGAGGUAGUUAGGUUUCAAUGAAGUUAUGAAGGUGAAGCCCUCAUGAUAAGAUUAAUGUCCUUAUAAGAAGAGACACCAGAAACCUUGCUUCUUCUCUCCCUGCAAUGUAAGGGCCCAGCGAGAAGGCAACUAUCUGCAGGCCAGGAAGAGAGCCCUCACAAGCACCUUGAUCUUGGACUUCCCAGACUCUAGAAUUAUGAUAAAUAAAUUCCUGUUGUUGAAAUCACCCAGUCUAUAGUAUUUUGUUAUGACAGUCUGAGCUGACUAAUACACAUAGUUUCUGUUGCUUUCUACUAAAGAAUUGACUACUGUACAAAACGACUAGCCAGAAGACGUAUUUUAGCUUUUAGUACCUUGGUUCUGACAGGAGGAGGAAAGAAGGACAAAGGUAAAACCAGCAAAUUUAGUGACUUAACAUCAUCUCUUAGGGGAAAAAAAAUGUGAAUAAGGAGGGAGUUGAAAUUAUUUCAUAGAGUGGGAUUUGGGAAUUACUUAUGGAUUAUACUUAGUCUGACACUCCUUAUAUCUUUGUUUGCAUACUCCUCAUUCCUAACUUGGUCAUGAUUUAGGUCUACAUUGUGAUAAGCCAGUGCAGAGUUAGAAAAUAAAUUGGCCCAGGAUAACUUCUCUUUCAGGUGGCAGGACUAAUGUAAUGAAAGCUAAUCCCUAGAAACUGGUCUGCCAGGAAGAAAAGCUGCCCUGAAAUGGGCACCUAAAUUUUUCCUUCCUUCUUAUUGCUUUGGUCUUAAAGAAUGUAAGAAAUUCCUACUUCAGGAAUUUAUUCACUGGCUCUCAGUCACCUCUUCCUAACAUAGGUUCAUCUUUUAUUUUUAGAGCUUUGUUUUGAUCUAUAUGUCUUUUAGCUCUGUGUAGUACAUUCCAUGAGAUGAUUCAGUUCUGAGAAAUCAAGCCAGGUAAAGAUGAAAUACAAGGUUUUACCACCUUUUCAAUACUUUUCAUCUGCUUUUAAGGAUUUAUAUCUUCUUAACAGUAUUUCUUGGCACCAUCUAUAUUUUUUCCUAUAAGUUACAGAGCAUUUUGAGGUUGAUGGCAUCCUAGCAAUUAUACAAUUCACCCUUCUCAUCUUACAGAUGAGGAAACAGAGGUCUAUAGAAGUAACUGGCUUGUCAAUAAUUAUAUAGUUAGUAACUGAAUAAAGUCUUGAACACACUUUUUCAGAUUCCGAGUUCACCAUGCAUUCUACUUCCAUAAGCUGCCAGCCAAUUGACUAAGCCAAGAUAAUAAAAGCAGUUCCCAUUCAGCCUGAACUAAAGAAAAAAGUGGAAAAGAAGAAGAAAUAGAAAAUUUUCAAAGUAUUGAAUUUCACUGAGCCAAAGGGGAAGAUUUUGAGCCAUGUGGAGGAAAGAGGCAGAGAGGUGGUGCUUUUAGGAAGGAUUGUUUUUAAGCUUACUGCCAAAUUGCUUUCAUCUCUGGGCAAGUGCCUGCAUGUUUAUUUCAUGGGUUAAAUGAUCCCUUUAAGGUGAAUUAAACACUCUCUCAUUUCCUUGUGAAUAAAAGUUUUUAAAAGAACUUUUUCCCUUGGGAAUUUGUCGCAUUAAAUCCACUUGGUUUGUGCAUCCAUGUUGAAAACAGGCAAAGGGGAACUGGGACUUCAUCUUAUUUCUCUAAUUGGCUUCUGUGCCUUCCUGUCUUGUGAGAAUUGAACGUUGUCUGGGUACUCCACUCCUUUUUCAGCUCUGGAGUGAACAUCCAGCGUCUGCUUGGUAGCUUGUCUCUUUCAGGACAACCACACCCUAGGUCAGGAUAGUUUGUUUUCAGUAUAGGGCCAGCUGUUCCAGAUUACUUUUUCAGGGUUGAAAACCUCCCGUUUGGACCUUGAGGCAAAGGCUGAGAAUAAAAAUGUAAAGGAGGGUCAAAUAACAUUUUGUCAGAUUGUUGACUUUGUGUUUGGAACUGAAUCUGUCAUUAGUGUUCUCUAGUAUUCCUGCUCUAGACAUAUUGCUCUAAAGAACAUAUGAUGAAAAGUCAUAAAUAUUAAGUGAAAACAUACCCCUCUCCUUUCCUCUAGGCCACAGAAGCAAAUAUUAAAAAAGGCGUGGAACUGUGGAAUUUAUCUUCUUCUCCCUGAAUAAAGAAGUAUUUCUUGAUAACACUAGGGUGUGGGUUCUGGGCCUGGGCCCCCAAGUCCCUCUGUGUACAACUAAAAGACAAUGAUCAAAGCAGAUGUUUUAGUGAGGCAACCAACUUUGGAGCCGUCCUUACCAUAAUGGACUACUGAAGUUGAAUAAUUAGUAGCUACAGAAUUUAGAACAGAGUCUUCGGAAGUCAGUCUCUGUAGCUGAAAGCAUAUGCCAUGUCAUAAGAAUUUGCUAUGUCACAAGAAUAUUCAGUGAAUUCUUUGAAACAAAGAAAAAGGAAAGUAAUAAAUAUCAAGUUCAAUGAUUGAAACGUGUUUUGUAAAGUUGGCUGUUUUUUCUCUUGUAUUUAGAUUGUACUCAUAAACCUUUGAAUCCUAAGUCCCUCUGAGUUUUAAUAAAUGUAAACAACAAUAUAAACAAGCAUUUAAAAAUAAUUAAUUCAUAAUCAUAGUUCCCUAUAUGAUGAUACAUAUUUUUGCAUAAUAAUUUCUAGUUCUUUUCAUAGGCCUAUGUGUUUUAUAUUUACAACUAUAGUAUUUUAUAUUACACUUUUUUUCAUGAAACAUUCUAUAUGUCUCCCAACAUUAAAAUUUCCUAUGUUUUUAUAUUGUAUUAAAAAUUGCUAUUUUAAAAAAAUAUUUAGGGGCGCCUGGGUGGCGCAGUCGGUUAGGCGUCCGACUUCAGCCAGGUCGCGAUCUCGCGGUCCGUGAGUUCGAGCCCCGCGUCGGGCUCUGGGCUGAUGGCUCAGAGCCUGGAGCCUGUUUCUGAUUCUGUGUCUCCCUCUCUCUCUGCCCCUCCCCCGUUCAUGCUCUGUCUCUCUCUGUCCCAAAAAUAAAUAAACGUUGAAAAAAAAAAAAUAUUUAUUUUGAGAGAGAGAGAGAGUAUGAGUGCACAAGAGGGGGUGGGAGGAGGGCAGAGAGAGAGAGACAGAGAGACAGAGAGACAGAGAGACAAAGAGAGAUUCCCAAGCAGGCUCUGUGUUGUCAGUGCAAACCUUGAGAUUAUGACUUGAGCCAAAAUGAAGAGUCCGAUGCUUAACUGACUGUGCCACCCAGGCACCAACAAUUGCUAUUUUAAAUGAUUGCUUACUCUUUCAUAUUAUUUUAAUUUGCUAACUUCUACUAUUGGCCACUUAGCUCAACUUUUAUUAAAUUAUGUUAUAAAGAUACAGAUGUAUAUAAUGGAUACCAGUGUAUUGAGCAUCUUCAUGUCCAUAACUCAUUAUUUUAUUAGUAUUCAGCUGAAUUAUUUUCUCAUAAUUAAAUUCCCCAAAAUGGUAUGAAGGUUGAGGAUUAUGAAUCUUUAUGGUUCUUGCUGUAUAUCGACAUAUUGCUCUCUGAAGUGUUAAUAUAAUGUGACAUAUGACUUCUGCAUUGUUAUGUAUAUUGGGUAUUAUCAUUUGCUUGUUUUUUUUAAAAAAAUUUUUUUUCAACGUUUAUUUAUUUUUGGGACAGAGAGAGACAGAGCAUGAAUGGGGGAGGGGCAGAGAGAGAGAGGGAGACACAGAACCGGAAACAGGCUCCAGGCUCCGAGCCAUCAGCCCAGAGCCCGACGCGGGGCUCGAACUCACGGACCGCGAGAUCGUGACCUGGCUGACGUCGGACGCUUAACCGACUGCGCCACCCAGGCGCCCCAUCAUUUGCUUGUUUUAAUUUGUAUUUCUUUGAUUAUUACUGGAAUGAGCAUUUUCCAUUGUGAAGUUUGUCUUAUUGAUUUUACUAAUUGUGUUUAUUUGGAUGUUAAUUGUCUAUGACAGUUUAACAACUUAUUUUUUCCUGUUGAAUAAGUUUCUCUGAGGAACAGUACACUUUGACUUCUGGACACUUGACUGUCUAUUCUAAAGUGAUCUUCAGGCCAAGAACAUUAGAAUAGUUUUUUUCUUAUGUGAGAUUUAUCUGAAACAUCUCACUACAUUUUAGUUAAAAUAACUAUUUGUACCAUGAGGAGACUAUCCUGCCUUACUGUAUCCUCACAUGGCAGAGAAAGAGAGAUCAGUUCAGCUCCCUGGUGUCUCUUCUGAUAAGGGCAUUUAAUCCCAUCAUAGGGCACUACCCUUAUGACCUCACCUAACCCUAAUAAGCUCCAAAAAGCCCUGUCUCCAAAUACUAUCACAUUGGAGGAGAUUAGGGCUUCAACAUGUGAAUUUUGAGGAGACACAUUCAAUCUGUAACAGUGCCCUUCUCCCUUAGGUCAUUCCAGCUUCUAUCCAAGUAUACACUCUCCUAAUUAAGAGCAAUUUGGUGAGUGUUAAUGACAGAGGUAAAAUUUCAUGAACACCUGAUAGAACUUUUAAAAAGUCUAAUCAGUAGAUAAGGAACAAAAUGAAACAGAUAGAAAGUAUGGAAAGAAAAUAGUUGGGCAUUUUAUGUCAGGGCCAGUCACUAAAUAUGAUUUGUCUUGUGGGUAUUUAUGGUAAUGUGGUAUGUGUUGGGAUUAAGAAUCCACUUGGAAAAGUAUUUUUAUGUCUUAUAACUCAUGAAUUAUGAAUUAUGAGUCCCUGGGAUAGAGCUUCUUAAUGCAAGGAUUUUAGCAGUACUAGGAAUUACCAAUUUGGUACCUUCUCUGUGCCCACCCCUCCCCCCCCAACCCUCCCUUCCUUUCAUUCCCAAUGCACAUUUCUCCACCUAAACUCCUACAUACCAACCGGCAUCAGACUAGUUACAUAUCUGGCUACUUCUUUAUUUUCUUUUGUGACUCACAAAUGAAUCAAUAUCCUGGCAAGAAGGCUGUUUUUUUCAAAGGGUGUUUUGCAGGUAAAUACAAACAGGAUAACUUGUGUGUUUAAAAACACUUUUAAGUAACUAGAUUAUUCAAUUAUAUGAUUCUUAUUUUCAAUACUUCUCUUAGGAUUUAAAAAAUUCUAUCAGUUGAUAAUUUAAAAAAUUUAGCUAGUUUAUAGAAUCUGAAUAAGUCUUACUCAUACAUAGUAAAAAAUGGAAACAUUACAAAAAAGGUAUACAGUGAAAAAUAAAUUUAUUUCCUACCCCACAUUUUCAGUUACCUUCUCUCUUUUCUCCUCAGAGGUAACCUCUACCAUUUCUUGCUAGUAUUCUAUGGAAACAUUCUUUAGCUAAUCAAAUUUAAAUAUUAUUUAUAGACCCCCUUGUAAAAAACCCAAAUAUGAAAUACCACAUACACUUUGUUUCUAUUAUUAUUAUUUUUUUUUACCUUUAAUUUAACUGUGUCUUGUUUCUUGGAGAUUGGUCCAUAUCAGCACAUAUAACUUUAUCCACUUGUUUUUACUGGGUAUAUGAUGAGGAUAUGCUAUAAUUUAUCAAAUUAGCCCCCGAUUAAUACAUAUUUAGGUUACUUCUAGUCUUUCAAAAAACAAACCUGACUCAAUGAGGAGGGUUAUAUAUAUAUAUAUAUAUAUAUAUAUAUAUAUAUACACACACACACACACACAUAUGGAUUUGUGCAAGUAUAUUUAUAAUAUAUUUGUAAGCUGAAUAAUAGCAUGAAGAGAAAUGUGGUGUUGUAGUGGCCAAAAGCAUGGAUAUUAGACUUUAAUACCUACUACUUGCCUACCACUUAGUAGUCAUAUAACCUAGGGAAGUUACUUAACUUUCUUUGCCUAGGUUCCCUCAUCUGUAAAAUAAGUAUAAAAGCUAUUACACACCUUGGAGAUAUAAGUCUUAAUGGAGCUAAUGCAAGCACAGCAUUAUUGGAGAGUUAUUAGAGAGUAACUUUUUUUCCCCAACUUUAAUGAAGAACUCACUGCAAAACUUGUUACAAGUAUUGAUAUGCUUGAUGCUUAAUUCUGGCCAAAGAAGAUAUGUGGGAGGGUAAAUUGAGAGUAGGAGUUCCUGCUGGAGAUAGAAAUGGGAGGCUAAAUUUCGUUUCAUUUGUGUUUGAACUAUGGAUUAAAAAUCAUCAUUUGGGACCUCAAUGUCCUUGUCUCUGAUAUGCAGGGAUUCGAUUAGAUUAUCCCUAAAGUAACUUCUAAUUUAAAUAGUUAUGGCGGUGCUUAUUCCAUUCUCAAAAUGAGUUGUGAUUUAUAUAGUUUUGAUAAUUGUGGGAGAUAAAUUUAACUCCUGAUUUAUGUAACACUGUCACUUUGCACAUAUUCUCCCUUUGUGUAUAAUGACCUUCCCCUUGUCUAACUGUAGCUGAGCUCUGAGUCAUCCUCAGAGACUUAGGUCAGGCUGGGCCUUCAAUGUGAAGCCUUUCCUGAGUGCCUCAGCUGAGUUAGGCAUUUUCUGCCUUUGAAUUGUCUUAGUCUCUGUGUUCUAUGGUGAGGAAAGAGUUUUCAAAGAUUAACUGAUAACUUUUAUUUGUCACCCCAGACUCAGCUGUGGUAUUGUAUUUUUAAUACAUUGAGAUAGAGAUGGCACAGUCUUUUCUUGCAUUUUAAGUCUCAAAAGUCUGGACCCUUCAGGGAAUGAAAAAGGCAAAGGGCAUAGAGAAACUAAUUGCCAGUAAAAGAUAUUCUGAGCAAGUAGAGUUUCCAUGCUACAGAAAAAAGAAAGCGCUCUAACCAGGGGAAAGCAUGGAGUGAGUAGACAGGUGGGCCUCUGACAAAGGAGUGAGGCUUCCUGGUGUUUUCCAGAGCACAGCACAGGGAUAAGGAGAGUGACAGAAAUCCCUCAGAGGUAUACAGAAUCUGAGCACACAGAGAGGCUAGGUUUUCUUUGCUGGAUAGAGCCCAGAUAGGUGAGAAGAACCCAGAGUAGAAAUGGCUAUAGGGUACCCAGGUGGACAGGCCUGAGGAAGCAUGCAGAGAGGUUCCACAGAGCCUGGCAUGCUGUGGAGGCAGGGAUAAUAUUCUUGUGCUCUGAGAGGAACAUGGAAAUGGUAAAGGGCUGAGGAUGGUCCUGCUGACUUUCCUGGGGCCCAUUGUGCUGUGGGAACCACAGGAUGGACCCCUGUACCUUAAAGGGGCAAGGCAGUUAAAGAGAGUUGGACCCCAAGGUACUGUUGACAGGGAACAUCAACAGAAUCAGCAGACAUUUGCAGAGACCAACUACUGAAGACAAGAUAGAGAACAUCUUAGCUACUACUCUAGGCCGAUACUCACCCAUUCCCAGCUUACCCCAGAGACAUUCACAAAUCCCAAUUCAAAUGAGAUCUAGUUCCAAAGCCUGGAGAAAUAGGAACUCCAUGGUAGAACUUACAUUCAUUAGACUUUUUAAACACUUAAGUGCAGAAGGAGUUUUAUAGCACCUCUAGUACUUCUCUAUUGCAUCAAAAAUAUUUGAUUCAUUAUCUGCUCCUCCAGAUCACAAACUCUUUGAGGGAAAGCACUAAGUGUUUAUUUUCUAAUGUAUUUGUUUCUGUACUUUGUAAGCACUCACACAGAGGAGGGGUGCAGUAAGCUUUUUGAAUGAGUAGAGGGACAUUUAUUUGAUGGCUGUUCUGUGCCACAACAUAUCCUAGGUACUUACACAGCCUGUGAACUAGGCAUUAUUAUUUCCAUUUUUUAGUUGAGAUUACUAAGGCACAGGGAACUGAUAGACCCCAUUCAUGGGCAGUAGGAGGCAGAUCUGCAUUCACAGUCUAGGUCCUCUGACACCAGACUGCCUUUAUAGGUAAAGUGAUUCUUUUAUUGUCUGAAUAUAACUGUGGAAUAAGGAUGAAAAUGAAUUUUUUGCUUCUUUUAGUAAAUGUUUACCAAUUUCUUGCUUUAUUACUUUCAAAAUAAAGAGUAGAGUUCUUUGUUCAUUUUACCUUUAUUAUUAGUUACAAACUAGGAAAAAAUAGUAUAGUAUAACCAUGAUACCACGAGAUCCCUAUUAAGCUAAAUAUUCUUGCUAAUACUGCCUUGUUUAUUUAUACAAGAAGUAUAUAUUCUUUGUAGACAAUAUGUAAACUCAAAGUAUAAAUAAAGGUUAAAAUUCACUUAUAAUUCCUCUUCCUGCAGAUACCCACUUUAAGUUAUAUUUCACCCUUAUUUAAGAAAAUUAGAAAAUUGAUAUCAGUAUUUUAUGUCAUUAUAUCAUGAGUGUUCUACAUAGCACAGGGUGUUUAGUGCUCAUGAAACCAAAUCUAUGUAGAUUAUAGUUCUUACUUCAGAGAAGUUACUUCACGGGCAAACUGAGACAUUCAGUAUGUAAAUUCUUACUUUAGAUAGUCUUCCAGAAGAUAUUUAUUUAUUUAUUUAUUUAUUUAUUUAUUUAUUUAUUUAUUCAUCUUUGAGAGAGGGAGAGACAGCACAAGUGGGGAAAGGCAGAGAGAGAGGGAGACACAGAAUCUGAAGCAGUCUCCAGCCUCUGAGCUGUUAGCACAGAACCCAACGUGGAGCUCGAAUUCACAAAUCGCAAGAUCGUGACCUGAGCUGAAGUUGGACGCUUAACUGACUGAGCCACCCAGGCACCCCUCUUCAGGAAAACUUUUAAAGACUCAAGGAAGGAAAGUAAAAAUAUACAUAUAAUCCAAUAAGACUAUCACACAAUAAACUUUAAUUGCAGUUAGAAAUACCAAAAAGAUAAUAAAAAUCACCUUAAGCAUUGUUUAUGAAUGGCCAAACAAUCCUGCUGGAGAGAGAAGGGGCCUUAUAUCCAGGAAGGAUUUGACCACCUGAUCCCAGUGUAGUCUUUAUAUCAAUGGACAGAUUUAUGACUUCAUCUGUUCUCUUGAACUAAAGAGAGAGAGGUUAGAAAAGUCAGCCAGAAGCAUAACAAUGAUUGAGCAAGUGUAGCAGCAACCUCCCUCCCACUCCAGAGGGGGUAAACACUGGUUACAACAAGGAGUAAGAGGUUCAUACUAGAUUUACCUUUCAUGCUUUCUAGAAAAUUAACGUAUCUGUUUCAGACCAAUCAAAGAAGAAAGGCAUCUCCCAUCCAAAGUUUUAGAAUCUUCUCAAUGGGAAUAGAAACCAUGGUAGAAUUGUUCUGGCUUGUUUCCAUAAUGUUUAAGAAAGGAGGCCUGGAGGGCAUUCUAAAUUGACUUGAUGGUUUUAGGUUUGUGACAUGUGGGAACUAAUAUUAUUUCCAUGUCAAUGUACCCUGUCAGCUGCUGCAGAUUAAAAUAUUAUUAGCCCUUCCCUUUAAUUGGCCAUGUAAUAAACCCAUCAUCUCAAAACCAUGGCUUGCUGGUUCAAACACAGCCUUGGAGCCGCACUGCUUGCUUGUGAAUCUUGAUUCUACUCUUUUUUUUUUUUUUCAACGUUUAUUUAUUUUUUUUGGGACAGAGAGAGACAAAGCAUGAACGGGGGAGGGGCAGAGAGAGAGGGAGACACAGAAUCGGAAACAGGCUCCAGGUUCUGAGCCAUCAGCCCAGAGCCCGACGCGGGGCUCGAACUCACGGACCGCGAGAUCGUGACCUGGCUGAAGUCGGACGCUUAACCGACUGCGCCACCCAGGCGCCCCUUGAUUCUACUCUUUAUGGGCUUUGAGACUGUGGUCAAACUCCUCAAGAUCUUUAUGCCUCAUUUUUUUGUAUGUUCUUAUCUCAGGGAGGUUUUAUGAAGGAUUAAAUGAGUUAGCAUAUGUAAAGCACUUCAAAUAAUGCAUGAUACAGAAUAAGAACUAUAAAGGUAUUAAACAAGAAGUAGUUUAAUUGGGUUCUUUGUGUUUGCUGGUGAAUGAGAGGUAAAAAAAACUAAUUGGGAGUGGGCUAAUGAUACAUGGCUGACUUGGACAUCUGAUAAUAAUGAGAAAGUGCCAAUGUUUUUGUGACAUAGUGGGUGAGUGGUUAAGCAAGAAACAGACAGGUUAGGGCUGAAUAUUGCAAGGGUCUUUAAGCUCAAUGGGUUACUUUACUAAUCAAGGUAUGUUGGGGCUGGUCUGGGGGGAUGAAUGGGAAAAAUGGGUUAUUUUAGGAACAGGAUGAAUAUUUGAAGGGCGGGGGGCGGGAUUGGUGAUUGGGAUUUCUCAGAUACUUAUCUGGGCUGUGAGUGAGUUUAUUAAAAGAAGUAAACUGAGGCUAUGAAUAGAUUGGAGAUACCCAGAAUUAUUCCUAUUUGCUAGGCUUUUGGAUAAAUGAGAUAGAAUUUUAAUAUACGAUUCACUAUUUUUGUUGCCAUUGUUGGUUGCUAGCACAUAAACCACUUCUGGCUAAUUGAAUCAGAGAAGUAAUUGUAUUGCAAGUGGGGAAGCUCAAACAACCAAGAAGAAAGGCAAGGCAAAAGAUGUAGAUUGCCUGGGAGGUACAGCCACUGGGGGACUGGGAAGCAGGGACUGAAGGAUGCAGGAUGGCCAUUUCAGGGUUAGUCAGCCUCUUGUCGCUUGUUCAUAUUCCAGAGGAAGGAAUCUGAUCAGCCUAGCUUGGGUCAGGUGCCUACACCUUGAGUAGAGGAGGGCACAGCAUCUAAAUAGGCAACCACACCUGACUGUAUCUGAUGGAGGAGUUUCCCCAAAACAAAAUCAGGGUGCUAUAACCAGAAGAGGGAAGAAAGGAAACAAAAUGGGCAAAAAACAACAAAUGUCCACUAUUCUAUAUUGCUACAAGAUACUGUGGAGGAAGACAAAAGGCAUAUGGAAUUAAGGAGACCCUGAAGACUGAUUUUUAAUCUUUCUCUCUGGUUGCCUACUCCUCUGACCUUGAAGCUAGACCCCAAAUCCUGGACUUCUACCCGAAGGAAUCUUUAUACUCUGAUGGAAUUUUCUUCUGAUCCUACCACAAUAUUAAGACAGUUUGAAACACUUCAUAGAUUUUUAUGAAAAUGGUGAUAUUCUUUCAUUAUAUACUUAUUGGAUGUCUACUAUCUAUCAGUAAAAGACAAGCCCUAUCUCCUGCCUUUCAGAAAUUUAUAGUUAAGGAAGUAAAACAGACAUAUAAACUUACAUUACAUGAUUCCAAGGUAGUGUGGAGAAUAGUAUUAUAGAGAAAUAAAAUAAGGCACUGUAAAAUCUGCCUAAGGGGUUUCAGUGAAGGUGGUAUUUGAACUAAGUUUUGAAAAAUGAAUGAAAAUUUAUAAUUUUAAAUUGAGACAUUUAGUAUGAAACCAAAAUUGUGACCCCAAAUUAUAGACAUUAUUCACACCUCUGUCAGUGGCACCAAUUUUAUCUACUGGCAGUGUAAAAAUUGUUCUUCAGUCUUCUAAGCCUAAGAAGUGAGCUCAUAAGUAAUGCCUUGAAAGUAAAAUACUGAAAAACAAAUAAACUAUUGCAUUUCUAAAUUACAACUAUUUGUAAACAAAGCCUCAUUCCUGAUAACCGUAGUUUCAGGAACUUAACUAAAUGUGAAAUGUACCAGGUCCCUCUACGACUCCUAGAACUCCUCAGCAGAUGUCACUCGUUGGUUGGGCAGCUUGAAGGUCAGAAUCUCCUCUGCAAGGCUCUUGGGUCAGCUACUGACUUUUUAGUACAAGGACUGCUUAUGCAUUUAACAUUCAUAUCUUGGCUAGAACUCAUUUCUAUUGUGCUUUUGGGUCUGGAUCUCAAUCUUCUCUAGAAACUAAAAUGAGAGUCAGGAAUAUAAUGGUAACAAGAACUAAAAAUGAGUAUGGACAAGAAGAAUCUCAUCGCAAAAUAGGAUGAUAAAGCCUCACUAAUUAGGAGAUUACUCUCAAUUAGUAAAAAUAUUGUCAGAAUCUCUUAUAAUGGAAGCAUAUUUUCCUGUGGCAAAUGAAUAUUUCUCAAGUGUUGGAAAAUAUUUUUUCCCUUAUGUCAAUAUGUAUGCUUUACCUUGUUUCAUAGCACAUAUCUCUGUAAACUACCUCAGAUCAACUUUUAGACCAAGUUGGGAAAACGAAGAGGAAAUGAAUCAAUAAAUGAAUAUACUAAUAGGCUCUAAAAAAUAAGGUCCUUUUGAAAAUUGCAUAAUUAUCUAAUUUAAGUUAAUGAAAACUAUCCAGAGUCCUAUAAAAUGCUUCUGUUGGCCCCAUUAGUUUGCCAAAAAUAAACCAGGAGUUAGAAGAUCUGAGUUGUGUGUUGGCUCUGCUCCCAUCUACCUGUGUAAGCCUAGGUAAAAUACUAGAAUGGCCCUGAUGGAUUAAGUGACCUCUGAGGAAAUUUCUGCAUGCCGUGGUUGGCCCUACCCUUCUGAAAUCCCUUCAAGUCACUUAUCAAUUUGCCUUAAGUGCUACCAUUACUUAAAGUAAAUCAGCCCAUACCAUAUAAUUUAUGAGAUAUUAGGAUAGACACAUUUGGAUGAGCUCUAUUUUUCAUUUUAGUAAACAUUCCUACUAUAUGUUUUGGUCAAAGCCUCUCUGAUUCAAAUUUAAUUUAAAGAACAUGCAGGCAAAAUUACUACCUCUAAAGGCUAUUGUAGGGUAGGGAUAGAUUCUAGGUUACAUUGAUUUCCCAUUUGCAGGAACUUAGAACAACUUGUUCAAUAGUUAUAUGAUUAACCUUCAUAUAACUGCUAUAAUAAAUAGUAUUCCCUAAGUGUUGGAGAGAAAUCCUUAACCAUGACAUUUUGAUAGAUUUGAUUUAUGUAAUGGAUUAUUUUAUUAUCAGAGGCUUCAUUUGCAUUUUCCCAGUCAUCUCAAGGUAUGUAACACAGAAAAGCUAAGAGUGUACAUGCUUUUAUUUAUUUUUUAACAUAUCCCACCUAAAACUUGGAACACCAAUUUUCUUAGGUCAAAUUUGAACUUUGAUUUAAUUACUUCCUUUUUUAAGGACUGUACAUUUUCUUCAUCUUUCUGUUUUUUUCCUAGGUUCUUGUUCAUUCUUGCUCAUGAAACCUUUCUGUAUACCGGAAGUGCAUAAUAGAGGAAAGGCUCAGUGGAAUGGAGGAAGAGAGAUAAUCAUAGAAACCCACAUUGAGCUAAAUGACCCCUGGGAUGCAAUUUGAAGAUGAGUAUUCCAAAUUAUUUUUUCUCUGUCCAGAUGAUAGACUAAUAAGGGAAUCAAUCAAUCAGUCAAUCAAACUCAAUCAAUAAGAACCGAGCAAGGCUCAUCUGAGCAAUGAUGGAUGGUACUUGAAAGUGAAUUAGUGACUGAUUUGGAGAGAUUUCAGAGAGGUAGAGCUAACAGUGGCAAAUCAAGUUAACUUGUAUAUAUUGCUGACAGGAUGUGGGCUGGGCAAUAGCAAAUUCUUUCCAAUAGCCUCCAACUGCUUGUGAAGCUGACCUAGAGGCUGCUUCAAAUCUGAUAGAUUGAAACAAUUCCAUCUGAAAUCAUUUUUUCAGCCUUGUAAUUUUUGUAAUAAUAUGUAUCAAGCCUAGAAACCUGCAUUUAAGCAUCUGAAUACAUCUGAACAGAGGCAAACAAUUCCCAACAAUGCCUCCAUGACAAUAUGCUGUUGGUUGCUAAUUGGAAAAAAGCACAAGUAGUAAUUGGAAGGCAUUCUGUUGCUUGCUGGAAGGCUUCUCCCCUAAAUGGUUAAAAUAUUCAGCUUUAUAGGGUAACAACCUGAUUUAAAUUUUUGGAGUGUUGCGUUAGCAAUGCAUAUUUACUUUUUUUUUUUUUCAGUCAUGUAGGAUGUGUGCACCAGCUUAAAAAUCAAGUCAUGCUCCAAAUGGUUACUAAUAUGGCCACUCCUGGGACCUCCUCUUUACUCCCUCUAGAGAUGAAAUCCCUCUCGUGUCAAUUCACCUCAAUGCCUAUCUAAGCCACUGCCCUUCCUCCCAGUCCUUUUCAGGCCAUGGUGCCAGCAGGCUCUUUUCCCCAGGUGUUGACAAUCAACCCUUCAGCAAGAUGAUUGCCAAACAGAAGAGGA
rnacentral:lncRNA from 1 species